rnacentral:lncRNA from 1 species
AUCUGGAAACUAACAAAAAAUUACCAACCAAACAUCGUUGCGGUACCCAAGCAAAGACUAAGGGAAUGAACCAAAUGUUGGAGAGAUUAGAGCAAAUGCAAAUACAGAUGUAAGAGCAAUUAACCAAAUUUCAACAAGAUAUGAGGGAUCAAAUGUUAGAAUUCCAAAGAAAUAUGAUGAGCCAGUUAGCCCAGUUAUUGGCUAGAGGGUUAGAAAAAGGAAAAAAACCCAGUGGUCUACUUUAGGGAUGAUAAUGAGGACCCUACAUAUCCUCCAGGCUUUACCUUAACAAACACCCAAGCACAACCAAAUGCAUAUCCACAAAGGGUAUCUGUUAACAUCCGACCCCAAUACCAAAUCAGUACUUCAACACCGGUGAAUUUCCUGACAGGCUCAGGUUCCAAUCUGAGGGGCAAUCUAACUAAUCUCGUUGUUCUUGAUGGUCUAGUAAAAACAAAAUAGGCGAGAGUGGAGUUCCUAAAAUAAUUUGAAGAUCGUUACAAACAGAAAUGGCCAGAGGGGAACUCCCAAAUCAGUAAUUUAAAGGCCUCGAGGAAGAGGAAAAAAUAAGGUGAAUAUUGCGAGUAGGUAUAACAAGGGCUAUUCAAAGCCGAUUACCACAAGCCAGCCAAGGACGGUCCCUACUAGCCAUCAGAUCCCCCCAAGGUAAGAAUCCAACACAAAGCAAAACACUGAGAAGCUCCAAUUUACGCCAAUCCCAAUGUCGUACCGGGAACUGUAUCAUAGUUUAUUUGAUGCACACGUUGUUUCCCCUUUCUACUUGAAGCCCUUACAACCUACCUAUCCCAAAUGGUAUGACGAAAACACACAAUGUGACUACCAUGCGGGAAUUACGGGGCAUUCUAUAGAAAACUGCACUGCCUUUAAAAAGCUAGUCAAAAGGUUUAUCAAUAUGGGCAUUGUCAAAUUCGAUGAUCCGCUCAGUACAGAAAAUCUGCUACCCAAUCAUAUUGAUAAUAGGGUGAAUGCGAUGAGUGAAGAAAUGUUGGAAAAUAUUCACAUCAAUGCCAUAUACGAAAGAACAACUGAAGAAGGGACCUUGUUAGAUAUACGCCCUUAUAAACCUGGGAGUGUUCUAAAUAAUUGGAUUGUAGAAGAAACCCCUGUAGUAUUUAGAGCUUACUCAGAUAAUAUUCAGAAUAUACUUGUUGUUUUUAGCCUAGAGGCAAUAAGAACUCCUUUGUGAAAUAGGCUCAUGUCUGAACGUUAUUAUUUUAAUAAAAUACAUAUUUGUAUGCAUUUUGAGCAAAUAUUCUUUCAUUCUUUCCAUACGAGUAAUUAUUUUAGAUUUUUUCAUUCUUUUGGAUUUUCUUCCAAAUCAUUCUUUCAUUUCAUUCGUAAUCAGACUGUACAAAUAAUUAUUCAUAAAUGCAUACAUUCUUUGUACAUUCUUUUGUAUAUACAAUAUGUCCCUAGAUAUCAAUGACAUGAACGACACUAUUAUAGACUCAAAAUCUCUUUUUGAGUGAGACAUGUGUUUAGAGGGAUCCCAGGACUUUGAAGAUGACAUAGAUUGUAGCCUAUCUCCGGACUUGUUGAGGAUGGUAGAGUAAGAAAAGAAACAACUUUUACUUCAUGAGGAGACAAUGGAGAUUGUGACCUUGAAGGAGGGAAAACUAGUAAAAAUUAGAACAUGCAUAGUCGAAAAAUGAUGCAAGACCUUGUUGAGUUACUUCAAGAGUUCAAGAUGGUCCUCUACUAGGGCACUAACAUUGUAAUCUGAACAAUAUCAUGAUACCAUAAAUUUGCAGUAUGUUCAGUAAAAAACCUCUACUGGGGCAAUGCCUUUCUAUUAGGCUUAUCACAGUUUGCCCAGUGAAGUCGAGUUUCUAUCUCCCCGAGUUUUUUUAUGGAUUUUAUCCUGAUUGAAAGUCAAAUGUACAAAAAAUAAUUUCGCCCUAGAAAGCUCUCUGAGAGAAACCUGAUAUCAAAUAAGAUCCUCCGUAUACAAAAUGGAUGGAAGGAUCUUGUGUAGAAGACUUUAUCUGGAAAAUCAUUGAUUCUGAUCGAAAGGAAUAACAAUGACUUGCCUAAUCCUAUGGUUUUCAAAAAAAUAAAAAAAUAAAAAAUCAAAAUAAAAAACAAAAUCAAAAUAAUAUUUCAAAAAAGAGAAUAAAAAAAUAUUUCAAAAAAAUGAAAAUGAAAAUAAAGAAAAGAAAAGAAAAAGAGAAUGAAAAGAAAAGGAAAAGAAAAAGGCGAAAACCCAUAAAGAAUGCUUUGUGACCAAAGGAGAUUUGAGUUAAAAACCCGAAUAGGGCGAUUCAAAUUUUGAGCAAAGUAGGGCAUGGAUGUCAUCGGGCCGAUAUCACCGAAGGCUUCUAAUGGGUAUCGUUUCAUUUUUGAGGUCAUUAAUUUCUUCACCAAACAGGUAGGGGUUGCUUCAUACGCCAAUUUCACCAAGUCAGAAGUUAGCAAAUUCUCGAAAAAAGAGAUCAUAUGCUGGUAUAGAAUGCCAGAGAGGAUUAUAUCGGGCAACACGUUGAACCUGAACAACAGCACGAUAGCUAAGGUCUGUAAUCAAUUCAAAAUCAGACACCACAAAUUGUCACCGUGUCACCCAGAAAUAAAUCAUGCGGUAGAGGUAGAUAAUAAGAAUAUUAAGAACAUUGUGGAGAAAAUGGCUGAGACCUACAAAGAUUAGCAUGAGAAGGUACCACUCGCUCUCUUGGCUUAUCGAACAUCUGUCCGGACCUUCACCAGGCAAUAUUUUUUUCUGGUUUACGGAAUGGAGAUGAUUUUUUCCAUUGAAGUCGAAAUUCCUUCUUUCAGAGUCUUGGCAGAGUUAAAUUAGAGGAAGUAAAGUGGAUCCAGUCUCGAUAUGAUCAGUUGAAUUUGAUCAGAAAAAAGGGCUAAAAGCUAUUCACCACAGUCAAAAUCGAAUGAUACGAGCCUACAACAAAAAGGUUCGUCCCAGAGAAUUUCGUGAGGGAGACCUUAUGUUGAAAAAGAUCCUUCCUCUAUAAAAGGAUUUUAGAGGGAAGUGGAUGCUAAAUUAGGAAGGACCUUAUGUUGUAAAGAAGGCAUUUUCCAGAGAAGCUUUGAUUUUGGGCGAGAAGGAUGGUAAAAACCUGCCAAAUCCUGUAAACUUAGAUUCAGUUAAGAAAUACUUUGCCUAAAAAAGAAGAAGGGACCAAGGUGAAAACUCACAAAGGGCGCCUUGAGUCCUAAAAAAAGACCAAGGUGAAAACCCGCAAAAGGCGCUUUGAGUUAUAAAAAUACAGUAAUGAAAAUGAAAAAGUGAAAAAAGUAAAAAAAAUGGAGAGGCCAAGGUGAAAACUCGCAAAGGGCGCCUUAAGACCAAAGGGGAUUUGAGUUGAAAACUCGCAAAAGGGUGGCUCAAAUUUUGGAUCAGAAUGGAGCAUGAGAUGAUCAAAGCAACUCAAAUUUUGAUCAGAUUAAGGCAUGCGGUAAUCUUGCUAAACCUGAAUCAACAGGAAAGGGCAGGCAACAUCUUGGGGCAUCGACAGAGUACUAUAGAUCUCUUAAGCACAUGUCAAACUCAAAAUGAUCUUCAAAAAGUUUGUACAGAGAAGUUCAAGUUGUGAUAUCUGGGGCAUCUAGUCUUCAUACUAUUUAUAUUAAAUUUGCUGUUCUUGGAAUACUUCAUUCUUUUUGAAGAUACAUGUUCCCAAUCAAUUCUUCUUUCAUUUCCUUGAUAAUUUAUUCAUAUCGAGCCAUGCUCCCAAAUCAAUCCUUUUUUAUCAAUUUUUAUGAUCUUUUUGCAAGCAUGUUGCAUUAGAAUAAUGAUUAAUGGACUACUAAUACUUUCACAAGGGAAGUUUUGUAUAUUACUCUAGAAGUUUCUAAAUAAUACAAGAACCUAAAGCAGGGCUAUUGUUUAGAACGCACCAAGUUUAAAGGUUGAAAUAUCUAAGAAGGAAAAGUCUAAAUUAAGACUAUCUCUUUGGAUUUUGUUGUCAAAAGCAUUGAUUGAACAAAACAACACGAUAUUAUGUUGGUGAUAAAGCUUUAAUGAACAAGCAAGUAAUGAUCACUGAGUAAUAGGAAGAGGUUUUUCUCGGAGAAAGAAAUUCUACAAUUAUGCAUAAACAUUUGGUAUGGCAUCCUGGGAAUGGUGAAGGAGACCAAAGAAAUUUAAAUCAUGUAUUCUUGAAUUGAAGUAGGAGAGGAUUGAGAAAGAGUCAGAUAUUAUACUCCUAAAUUACAGUGGGAGGAAAAUGGUUCAAAUUUUAUGUCCCAAAAGUACAGUGGAUUGAGCCUUGAAGACUACAGUGGGGGUAAUCCGAUUAAGUAAGAUAUGAGUUCUACCAGCUAAAUAAGAUAGCAUUCUGACGUGUUGGUAAUAAAACCUUAAUGAACAAUGAGCAAUAACAACUCAAACAUUAAGGGGUCAUUUUCAUGACAUUUUGCAUACACAUCUAGCUAGGAAAUUUUGAUUCAUUCUGAUCAUAACAUCCUAAUUACAAAGCAUGAAUAGGCCCAUGAAAUGGAUUCUACAGAUCAUAUUUCCUAAAGAACAGAUUGGUGAAACCACAAAUCCUAUACCGCUGAAGUUACAGUGGGAUGAAUUACAGUAAUUAUGGCGAAUCUUAUCUUCUUGGAGUUGCAGUGGAGCAGAUUGAAGCCAUCAGCCUUAUCUCCCUGAAGUUACAAUAGAGUAGACUGAAGACAGUGAAUCUUAUUUCUCGGACUUUACAGUGGAACAAAUUAAAGCUACAAGUUAUGGUGAAUCUUAUCUUCCUGAAGUUGCGGUGGAGUAGAUUGAAGCCACCAGCCUUAUCUCCCUGAAGUUGCAGUGGAGCAGACCGAAGACAGCGAAUCUUAUUUCCCGGAUGUUGUAGUGGAACAAAUUAAAGCUACAAGUUAUGACGAAUCUUAUCUUCCUGAAGUUGCAGUGGAGUAGAUUGAAGCCACUAGCCUUAUCUCCCUGAAGUUGCAGUGGAGCAGACCGAAGACAGCGAAUCUUAUUUCCCGAAUGUUGUAGUGGAACAAAUUAAAGCUACAAGUUAUGACGAAUCUUAUCUUCCUGAAGUUGCAGUGGAGUAGAUUGAAGCCACUAGCCUUAUCUCCUUGAAGUUGCAGUGGAGCAAAUUGAAGACAACAAAUCUUAUUUCCCUGGCAUUGCAGUGGAACAGAUUAGAGUUACAAAUUAUGGCGAAUCUUAUCUUCAUGAAGUUGCAGUGGAGCAGAUUGAAGCUACCAGCCUUAUCUCCCUGAAGUUGUAGUGGAGCAGACUGAAGACAGCGAAUCUUAUUUUCCUAGCGUUGCACUGGAACAGAUUAGAGCUACAAAUUAUGGCAGAUAUUAUCUUCCUGAAGUUGUAGUGUUGCAUAAUAAAACCAUCAUCCUUAUCUCCAUGAAGUUGCAGUGGAGCAGACUGAAGACAACGAAUCUUAUUUCCUUGGCGUUACAAUGGAACAGAUUAAAACUACAGGUUAUGGCAAAUCUUAUCUUCCUAAAGUUGCAGUCGAGCAGAUUGAAACCACCAGCCUUGUAUCUCUGAAGUUACAGCGGAGCAAACUGAAGACAGUGAAUCUUAUUUCCCUGAAGUUGCAGUGGAACAUAUUAAAGCUACAAGUUAUGGCAAAUCUUAUCUUCUCGAAGUUGUAGUGGAGCAGAUUGAAGCCACCAGACUUAUCUCUCUGAAGUUACAGCGGAGCAGAAUGAAGACAACGAAUCUUAUUUCCCUGUGUUGCAGUGGAACAGAUUAAAGCUACAAGUUAUGGCGAAUCUUAUCUUCCUGAAGUUGCAGUGGAGCAGAUUGAAGCCACCAGCCUUAUCUCCCUAAAGUUGUAGCGGAGCAGACUGAAGACAGCGAAUCUUAUUUCCCUGGCGUUGCAGUGUAGUAGAUUGAAGCGACAAAUUCCUAUACUUUUGAAGAUGCAGUGGGAUGGAAUAGGACCCCUUUAAGAGAAGAAGCAUCAAUGAGUCGAGGCACAGUAGGACCAGGCAAAAUUAGCCCUUUUUGCGUCUUUGCUCCAUUUUCAGUAUACGACAACGAGCAAAGAGAGGUAGCUGUAAUAGGCCAAUUUUGGCCAGGCCCAAUAUUAACCAAAUUAGAAAAGAAACCAAAUAAAAAAUUAAUAGUCCAUUUACAUCAGCCCAAAUUUGCACAGCCUAAUAAACCAAACACAUUUACGGUGGCCUAGUACAAACACUGGCCCAAACAGAAACCCUAUCCUUUCUCUAGCCAAACAGACCGUGCCGCUCCUCUGUCAGCUUCUCCACGCGCGCCGUGCCUUCCACACACUUCUAGCUGGCCGAACUUGCAACGAACAGAAACAAACAGUAGCAAUAAAUGCGAAUAAUAACAAAGGGUUAUUCUAGAAAAAAUAAUGGCAGAAUAAGAGAAUAGAUUUUUGAAUAUUUUUCAUUUUUUUCUCUUCGUUGCAGCUAUAUAAAGCCGAGUACAAAACUGUAAAGGGGGAAUCAAAAGAAAAUGAAAAGCAAUAAAAAAAUAGGAUAUAUUUCGAAGGUAGAUCCUACUGUUUUUUUCAUUUAUAUUUAUUUUCUUUUUUUGUGCUUACUGGCUUUGAGAAGAAGAUAGAAAUCAAAAAAGAGAAUAAGAUAAAAAAAGGUACCUUCUUUGCUUCAUCGGAGGGAGAGGUUCACCGAUUUUGAUGAAAAUUGGCCCUUUUUUGGAGUCGGGAAGUCGAAAAGCCCAAAAAAUGAGCUUCUUUUGAUUUUUCAGCCACCGUGUACGGCGGUGCUGUCGCUGGCGAUUGGCGGCCGUCACGGUGGCUGGGCGCCGGAACUUGGCCAGAUUUCUAGAGGGUUGAGAGAGAGGGGGAGUGUGUUUUUGAGUUUUUUUUUUUGUGAAAAGGGGAUCAAAUGAAGUUUUAAAAAAAUUUGGGCUUAAAUACCCUUAUCAAAACGAAGCCGUUUUGAGUUUUAAGUUCAGGGGCCAAAACGACGCCGUUUCGGUCUUAGUUCCCUCCUUACCCGCACAUCGACCAGACCCAGGGGGAGGAUCCUCGUGUUUUGCUUCGAUGGGUUAUUUUCUCCCCUGGCCCUUCCGCAUUUCUGUUAUUUCUAAUUUAAUCUCUUUUGUUUAUUUUCACUAUUUUUUUAAUUUGACCCCAGAAUUUUGUUCAGUUUUCAAUCGGGUCCCUGACCCACUGAUGCGCUGGAAAGUGGACACGUGUCCAGGGAUUUGUUUUUUAUUCAUUUGGUCCUCGGCCUUUUCGCGUCUUUGAUUUUAGUCCUUUAUUCGUUAUUUUACCCUAUUUUUCACCUUUAAUUUCAUUUUUGUCCUGAUUUAGUCCCAAAAUCUGUUUGAUUUCAAUUUAUUUUUGCAAUUUAUUUAUUUUAAACUUUUUUAUAUUAUUUAUUUUAAAUUAUUUUAUUAUUAUUUAUUUUAAAUUUUCACAUAUUAUGCAUUUUAAACUAUAUUAAACUAUUAUCCGUUUUAAGUUUAUGUAUUAUUUAUUUUAAACCAUAUAUAUUAUUUAUUUGGAAUUGUUUUUUACAUAUCAUUUAUUUUAUUUCAUUUUAUUAUUUUUUAAAAGAAAACUGUUUUGUAUAUUAUUCAUUCGAAAUUUCUUUUUACAUAUUAUUCAUUUUAAACUUUUUACAUAUUUUUUUAAAAUUGUCUUCUUGGUUAUUUAUUUUAAUUUGCUUUGCAUGUUAUUUUUAUUUUGCGUUGCAUAUUAUUUACUUUGAAUUGCUUUAUAUUAUUUACCUCAAAUUGUUCUAUAAAUUAUUUCAUUUUCUUUGAUUGUUGAUAUCGACAUUAAAAUGGCAUGCAUUGUGACUAUUGCCAUCGCGUAUACUAUGAUUUGUUUAUUUGUAUUUUCACAUUAUUGCUACUCGUUAAUGUAACAUUUUAUUCAUGUAGUGUUUCAAAUAUUGCAUAUUUGUAAAAAUAUAAAAUUUUAAAAAUGAGCAAUAUUUAGUAUUUUGGAAUUCGCAAAGUCGUUUCCUAACUUAUGGGGUUUCGAUAUUCUCGAUAAAUCCAAAUAAAUGAACCUUUUUUAAAAACAUAAGUUUUUAAAUAACCUCGGGAAUUAAGAAGAGAUCGUGUUCUAACUUACGAGAUAUGGUUUCUUUCCAAAAUCGAGAUAAUCGAAUAUCUUUUAAAAUAAAUAAAUUUUCGGUAUUUAUUCUCGUUUCGAGGGUUUAAGGUAUUGCGUUCUAACUUACGUGACGUACUCCUUUUUCUCGAUUAAUGUAAAAUAUUUUUUUGAAAUCAAUUAAGCGAUAUUGUAACAAAGGAUCGUAUUUUAAAUCUCUUCAAAGUUUUCAACUUUCGACAUUAAGGCGUUAAUUAAUCAAUUAGGUACCAAGUUUGGGCAUGACGAGGGUGCUAAUCCUUCCUCGCACUUAACUGACUCCGGAACCCAUUUUCUCGAAUUUCGUAGACCAAAAUCAUUGGUUUAGUAAAAUCAAAAUAUUUUAUUAAAACGAUUAAAUUGCAAGGUGAUCCGAUCACACCUUGGAAAAAAUAUCGGUGGUGACUCCCGUUUUUUCGUUUUCAUUUUCAAAAUAAAAGUCGACCCCGUUUUCCAAAAAAUGGUUUCGAAAAUAAUAAUUUAUUUUUAUUUUUAUAUUUUAAAUUUAACUUUAAAAAGUUUCUUAAAUUCUUUACUUUAUUAAUACUUGUAUUUAAAUAUUAAAUUAAUUGAUUAUAUUGAAAUCUAACAAUAAUAAUGUGUAGCUAAGAUGGAAACUUAAUGCCUAUGGUUUUCUUCUAACAUUCUAAUCCUUACUGCAUUUUGAUUCUUCUCUAUUAUAACUCUUUCAGUUCAUAUUUGAAUAAACACUAAGAAAGCAAUUGAAGAUAAAAGGCUGAAAAUUGGGUGAUAUAAAUGGUGAGCGACAUGGAUGAAGACUUGUUAUGAUAAAUUUGAAAAUUAUAUGCCAACUUGACUUAAUUAAUGAAUGAAUGAAAUGAUGUGAAGCUGAAAUUUCAACGGGGAAACUUCUCAAACCCUUCCCUAAGGAACUAACAUUGAAUUAACUGGGAAGGAGUUAGGAAUGGAUUGGGCCGUUUGGAUGAAUUUUCCGUAAACUUCAUAUAAUUGAGAUUAGGUAGCUACCCUUGCUUCACACGUUUAUCCUUCGGCUUCUCAUCUCAGAUUUUUUAAUUUAAUUUUAUUUUUGAAAAUGGAUCAAAGAAAGAAAAGGAAAAGUUGUGGGGAAUGCAUGGACCACAAUUGAUGAGUGGAAUCCCAAAUUUCGUGAAAUUGGUGAAACUGGGGGUCUGCCUAUAUAAUGGAGUUAAAGGAUCACUUCCAAAAGCAGAAGUGGUCUUAAUUAAUUAAUUAAUUAAUUAGUGUAUUGAGUUGGGAUAAUGGGGCCGAUAUGGUUUAGGGUAAUCUUGAUAACUGUGUUGGUAGGUGCAGUGUGGAGUGAUGGGUGUUGGGAUGAAGAGCGUGUUGCGCUCUUGCAAUUCCAAUAUGUGUAUUCACGCGAGGUUUCAGAUUGUUGUGAAUGGGAAGGGGUUGAAUGCAACAUCACCACUAGACGACUCACUCAACUCUCUCUAGGCAAUGGUUUGUUCAGGUAUCUUGAAUUCUUUAAUGCCUCUUUGUUUCUUCCCUUCGAAGAAUUGAGGAGUCUUGAUCUCAGUUAUAAUGAUCUAGUUGGUGUUGUGGAGAAUGAAGGUACUUAACUCUUUGCAUUUUUAUCUUUCUCUGCUCUCCCAGUUAGAUUAUAAAACUCUGUGUCUUGCAGGGUUUGGAAAGCUCUCCAAGUUGAGACAUCUAGAGAAUCUGGACUUAAGUAACAAUAGAUUAAAUGAUAGCACGUUAUCAUCUUUGAGUAAAAUUUCAACUCUCAAGUCUCUAAAUUUAAGUGGAAAUGUCCUUUUUACAGGACCACAUCAAACUAACGGUAAUAUCAUGUCUAUUUGUAUUGCUAAUGUAAUUAAAUUAGACAUCUUCAUAUAUUUUGUUUAUUUUACUACUUGUAGCGCACCUUAAGUGGUUAUCAAAACUUGGUAAUUUGGAAACUCUUGAUUUAAGUGUAACCAAAAUGAAGAACAACUUGUUACAUUUGGGUGGCCUUUCAUCUUUAACAACUUUAAAGCUUGAAGGAAAUGAUUUAGAAGGAAGGAUUCAUCUUCAAGGUAAGGUUCUUUCACUGCCUUUGUUGCUUUUUCAUUUGUUUUUCCUUUUAAAGCAAUCUUAGUAAUAUUUGAAUUGGUUUGAACAGAAUUGUGUAAUUUGACAAAUUUGAAGAUAUUGGAUUUAAGUGAUAAUCGAAUUGAGAGCAUAAGGAGUUUCCAUGGUAAAUAUGUUUACAACUAUUCGAUUAUGUUUCCAGGUAUUUUUGAAGUAUUAGAUAUUGUUAGCUCAUGUUUUAAAACUGAAAUGAAGCCAAUUUUAUGCAGGCAAUGGAAGACAACUGAAUUUGAUCAAUUUAGAAGAAAUUGAUUUGAGUGAUAAUAUGUUCAACAAUAGCAUACUAGCAGAGCUUAGUGGGUUUUCAAAUCUAAAGUCAUUAGAUAUAAGAUGGAAUAAGCUGAACGGAUCAAUAGAUGCUAAAGGUAAAAAAAAAAAAUUAUUUACACUUGUAUAAAUUUAAGGUUAGUAUAUGAUAAACUGGUAGCGUAUUUUUUAUUUAUUUCACAAACAACCUUAAAAAAUUGACACACACACACAUACAUAUAUAUAUAUUAUAUUUAAUAUUUUAAUAUUUUACUAUAUCCUUAUACAACACUUAUUACUUCCUUAACACUAUUUAUGGAGCCUCAAAAUUUUAUCGGGAAUAUACCAAAUAUUUUCCUAACUUUAAAGGAAUUAGUUUAGGCUUAAAUAUAAUCUCAUGUUGUAUUAUUUGAUUGGAAGUGAAAGACUAAUUUUAUUUGCGAUUUUCCUAGAAUUUUGUGGUUUGAACAAUUUAGAGACUCUAUACCUGAGUGGCAAUGAGGUGAACCAAUUUUUUACUUCUAAAGGUGUGUAUUAAAAUUAAUAUGUAGCGACAGUUUGUCUCUAUUUUUGAAUGAACAAAAUUUAAUUGUCCAAAAAAAAAUUUAUACAUAUAUUUUUUUCAAAAGACUUCCAUAGGAAACUAACUACAUUUUUGUCGCAGGAAAUAUAUUAUAUUUGAGGAAGUUAAAGACCCUCUACUUAACAGAGAGUUAUUAUUUAAACGAAACUGUGGCUAUUCAAGGUGAGUUAUGGUUAUUGUCUGUAAUACUUAUUGCAAAAAAAUACAAACAUCAAUUUUAUACAAAUUAAUUCUAAUUUCAUUUUAUUUUAAUAUUCACAGAGUUGCAGGUAUUGAGUAAUGUGGAGAAUCUGUUCUUGGAUUUUACUCCAUUGGACAUCAGCUUUUUGCAAAGCAUUGGCAUCUUGACUUCUCUGAAAAUCUUGUCUUUGUCUGACUGUGAUCUAAAUGACGCUUUACCUGCUCAUCAAGGUAAUACAAUUACUACAUUGUCUAAACUUAUACCUUCAAUUUUUUUUCUAAUUAAUAUUUUUCAAUAUAACAAUACAUACCAUAAGUCACACAUGGACGCCCUAGUCUUUCUGUUUAUUGAACCAACCACAAUCUUAGAGAAAUAAGAAACCUCAUUCAAUAUUUCCUCUUCAAAUUGCAGGUUAAUGCUAUCUUAACGAUCUUGAAGAAUUGAAUCUCAAUGGAAAUGCUCUAAGUGGUGCGAUUCCUUCAUGUUUGGGUAACUUGACAUCUCUUCGCUAUUUGGAUAUCUCUAAUAAUCGCUUCACUGGAAAUAUUGCCUCCACUCCCCUCACAAAUCUCACAACGCUUCAAUUCCUCUCCCUGUCCAAAAAUCAAUUUCAAGUUCCAGUGUCAUUCAAUUCCUUUGCAAAUCAUUCUCACCUUGAAGUCCUUCUGGCGGAUGAAAACAAGUUGGUUGCAGAACCAAUUGGUUUCCAUAUAUGGCGGCCAAAAUUUCAACUUAAGAUCUUUAGCUUGUUCAAUUGUACGAUAGAAGAACAUGGGACACUACGACUUCCUAAUUUCCUCUAUUUCCAACAUGAUUUGAGGUCCGUUGAUCUUUCUCUUUGCAAUUUUGGCGAGCUAAGGUUCCCACAUUGGUUGCUACAGAAUAAUACAAGAUUAGAAAAACUAAUCCUGAAAGAUAGUUCAAUUGUGGGUCCUCUGAGCUUAUCGCCACAUCCUAAUUCCAAGCUGUCGGUACUCGAUAUAUCCAAUAAUAAGAUACAGGAUGAAAUUCCCAGGAAUUUUUGCUCACUUUUUCCACAUUUACAGUACUUAUUCAUGUCUCAAAAUGCCUUGACAGCUAAUAUUCCUCUUUGUUUGGGUGGUUUGAGGAGAUUAGGAAUGCUAGACUUAUCCCAUAAUAGUUUGUUUGGAGAAAUUCCUGAAGAGUUGGGCAUGAGUCUCUCUUUAUUUUAUCUUAGACUUUCAAACAACAGCUUGAGUGGCAAAAUAUUCCCCAAAUUUUAUCAUUUAUUUAAUUCGUUGGAAGCAUUAUAUUUGGACGGAAACAAGCUUGAGGGAAAGAUUCUUGAUUUUUCACCCAUUAGCUUUAAAAAUCUCGAGUUAGAUGUGAGUGAUAAUCAUUUCUACGGCAAGCUUCCAAGAUGGUUAUGGAAUAACACAGAAUUGGAAAUAUUGGAUUUCUCCAAAAACCAUUUCGAGGGCCCCAUUCCCAUGGGAUUAUGCAACUUGGUCAAUCUUGAAUUCCUGGAUCUUUCUCUAAACCAUCUGUCUGGGACUAUUCCAUCUUGCUCUAAUCUACAAAGGGUGUUGCAUGUACAUUUGGCCAAAAAUAAACUUGGUGGAACACUGUCAGAUGCCCUUUUUAUAAACUCUUCAUUGGUAACAUUGGAUUUAAGUGAAAAUAACAUAACAGGAAGAAUUCCAGAUUGGAUUAGCACGCUACCUGAUUUGAGCGUUUUUCUUCUAAAAGCAAAUCAAUUCGAAGGUGAAUUUCCUGUACAUUUAUGCAGACUGCAAUCAUUAAGCAUCUUGGACCUUUCACAGAAUAAACUUUCUGGUCAUAUACCUUCCUGUUUAAGUAAUUUAACUCUCAAGCCAAGGAGUGAAAAGUCUUACACUGGAUCUUCUGAGUUUGGGCUUCCUUUAUUUGUUGAGGUAAUGGUAGACAUGGGACUAAGGAUAUAUAAUCUCAUAGGCGGUUCAGAGGGAAAUAAACAUUAUCCUUUUACCUUUCAAGAAGAAGAGGUAGAGUUUUCAACAAAGGGUGCAAGAUACACGUACAAGGGCAAUAUUCUUGAAUUGUUGUCCGCAAUUGAUCUCUCUUGCAACCAAUUCACAGGGAUAAUCCCACCUGGAUUGGGGAAUUUGAGUGAAAUCCGAGGGUUAAACUUGUCACAUAACAACUUUACUGGACCUAUCCCCACAACUUUUUCAAAACUCAAGCAGAUUGAGAGUUUGGACCUUUCCUACAACAAUUUAAAUGGAAGAAUCCCCCCUCAACUGACUGAGGUGACUACUUUGGAGGUACUCAGUGUCGCACACAAUAACUUGUCAGGGCCUCUCCCUGAUAGGAAAAAUCAAUUUGGGACCUUCGAAGAGAGCAGUUAUGAGGGAAACCCUCUUCUUUGUGGACCUCCUUUGAACAAGAGUUGUCAUGAAGGUGAUUCACCAGGAACUCCAAGUGCUUCAUCUAGUGAAGAACACGGUUUUAUAGACAUGGGUGAUUUCUAUAUCAGCUUUGCAGUUUCCUUUGCAAUUAUAUUCUUGACAACUAUCAUUGUACUCUAAAUAAACCCAUAUUGGAGACGAGCAUUCUUUUAUUGCAUCGAAGACCAUAGUGUUGAAGUCAGCCCUCCAUGCAGCAGGCAAGGUGACCAUGCAAAGGUGGCCAUGCAAAGGUGGCCAUGCAAGAAGAAAACGUAGCAGGCAUUCGAGCCUUGGUCUGCAGGAGGUGAAGCCUGAAGCUUGAAGUUGCCGAUCCACUUGCUGUUUUUAGUUGCAUUUUGAUAUUUUGUAAUCUAGUUCAUGUUGAACUAAGUAGGUAAAUGUUUUGGUAUUGAUUGACUGAAAAAAAGUUGUACAAGCUAAUCUUGUAAGUUUCAAUGCAAAUUAGUGGUGUUAGGUAGUUGAUUAGGUGAUUACUUGUUUGUUUUACUUGUUGACCAACAUAUGUAAUGGCUUAAUGCCUUGUUGAUGAAAAAAAAUGAAAGAUAUCAGCUCAUUUUUCAUUCAAUCUUCCUCUCUCUUUUCUGUUAUUCACUAGCUAGUUUCUUUUCUGCUUUUGUUUUCUGAGUUGGUUUCUUCAGCAAGGCUCGAGACUUGCUAUCCAAGCAAGACUGAAAACAGUCUGUUGCUGCCUCUUUGCACCAACACAUAGCAUCGCCGGCUAUUUCUUCAUUGUGGAUUGUCUUCGCCGAUUGCUCUACUUAAAGAAACAACUAGCGCCAUGCUUCUUCAAUGGUUGUAGUUCUCGAGUUCAAGGUUAGUAGAUCUUUGUCCUUUUUUAUGUUCAAGAUGGAAGUGUGUAAUGUUAUCUAAGCGCAAUGACUUUUACUUUGAAACUUAGGCUUUGUAAAGUGAUUUGUAUCUGAUUUUGGUUAUAAGAUACAAUGGUGGUUGAACCCAACAAUGAUAAAUUUCAAAUAAAAAUAAAUAAAAUUUGUAUAUAAAAUAUUAAAAUUAAAAAAUAAAAAUAUUGAUAGAAAUAUCACAAAAUUAACUAAUCAAUAUAAUAAAAAUUUAAUCAAUACAAAAUCUUAGUUUUAAUUCAUGGGUUUGAUCAUUGACAUAAAAAUAGAUUUCAAUACUCUUUAAUAAAUUAGUUAUUGUUAACAUUGAAGCACCUUGCAACUGAUCUCCCCCUCACCUUCUUGACAAUCAAAAGAAGUUUAUUAAAAUUAACAUAUUUAUUGCGCUUAAUUUUUAAUAUUUUAGAAUAAGAUGUCAUUAAUUUUAGAUUUAUUAUUCGAUUUUUUAUUAGUUGCAAAAGCAAGCCAAAAAGUAAAAAAAAAAUUGAAAAUACGACAUCUCUAAAAGUUUUGGGAAAAAAAACAAAGUUAAUGGAUAAACUUUUAUUUUGAAAAUAAUACUUUUGAUAUUACAUUAGGAUAAUAUUAUAAUUUUCUAAUAUUUUAUCUUCUGAAUAUUUUUGAAUAACUCUUUAAUACUAUGUUAGAUUAGAAAGUUUAAAUAAGAUUAGAGUAUUAUAUUAGGGUAAACUACUAAAAUAGUCACUUUUGUUUGGUUCAAAUUACAUUUUAGUCACUUAUGUUUGAAAUGUUACGUUUUAGUCACUUAUGUUAUCAUGUUAUAACAUUUUAGUCACUAAGCUGUUAGUUUCUGUUAACAGUGUAACAAUAAGCUGAUGUGGCACGUUAAAUCAUCAUUUCAAACAAAAAUUCUAGGUUAAUUUAUACAAUCGAUCCCCAUAUUUUUUCGUUUGGAGCAAUUUAAUUUUUUCUUUUAUGUUUUUUUAAAAUUUCUUUCUUUUCCAUUCUCUUAUGCUUUCCCUUUGUUUUCCUCCGUUCUCCAUCGCUUUCAACGUAAUUUUGCUAUGUUUUAUUUUUUUUGAAAAAUUUAAUUUUUUCGAGUGAGGCGAGCUUGUGGACUAGUUACAAAUGGAAAACAUAGAAAAACUAUGUUAAAAGUGUAAUCACUGAAUUUUGUUCGGUCUGUAGUUCGUGUUUUGUUUUAUUUUAUUUCAUUUUAUAUAUGUGUUUUUUUUAAAUAAUUUUGUGGGAUUGGCCUCAUUUGGGCUUAAUGAUUGGGUCCAAUGGUUAGGCCUUUGGGGUUUGGGUAAUUGGGUUUUAAGUAAUUUGAUUUUAAGCUUGUUUGGGCUUUAGCCCAUUUUUAUUUUUAUUUUUAUUUUUAUAAUAAUUUUAAAUAUUAAUUAAAUAGUCAUAAUAAAUAAAUAAGAAAAAGGAAAAAAUAAAUUUUACAUUUUAACCCCUGUACUUUUUGAAAUUUACAUUUUGACCCUAAACUUUUCUAAAAUUUACAUUUUAACCCCAAAAAUUUCUAUAAUUACAUUUCAACCUUUAGACUUUCUCAAAAUUUCACUUUGACCCCUAAACUCUCAAGAAAUUACAUUUUGUCCCAUAUUUUUGCUAAAAUUACACUUUUGCCCCAGAAACUUCGCACCCGUUACAUUUUGGUCCUUCUGGGCAUGAGAAGACAGCCCCCAAUCUGCAUUCUUGUGUGCAGCGGCUUCCACGCCUGGCACCCCCAAUGCAUGGCCUCCCUUCCCCGCUGCCACCUGAAAACAAAGAAGAAGAGAACAAAACAAGGAGAUUAAAAAGAAGCAAAAUGAGAGAAAGAGGGAGAGAGGAUUAUUUUUUGGUAGCAAAAAAAAACAACAGUAGAGAAACCAAAAAAUCAAACAGCAGCGAGUAAAAGCCCUCACCACCGUCGCUCGACCACCGCCAUCGUCAUCUUCCCCUUUCCUCCGCCGCCGACUCCUACAACACAAUCAACCAACACAACAAGCAAAGAGAAGAUAAAAGUACAGUAAAUAAAAAGAAAAAACAGUAACCCAAAGGAAAAAGAGAGAAAAAAAAAGAAGAGAAAAGAAAGAAAAAAGGAAGAGAAGGGGAGGCGCGCCGGCCACCGCACCACCGGGCGGAAGGAGUGUCAUUGACGGCGCAAAAGGGCUAGGAUUCAGCCCGAAGAAGAAGAAGGGAGAAAGAAAAAGAGAGAAAAAGAAAGAGAAAAAAGAAAAUAAUAAAGGAAAUAAUAAAAAAUAAAAGUAGCAGCCCAUUAGACUUAGUAGCCCAAACUCAACAAAUUUGUCAAAAAAAAAAGGAAAAAGAGAAGAGAAAAAUCUGUAGCAGGCCGAAGCAGUAGGCCCAAUCGGAGCCCAAAUCCUAGCGCCCAGCAGACUGGUGCCAGCAGCCCAGCAGAUCCGACCCGAUUUCUGGCGGCCCACUAAGGCCCAAUCUACAGCAAAAAAGGGAAAAGAACCUGUCUUUCAAACCCAUAACUUUGGGCUUUUGGGUAUUAUUUUUUAAAUAUAUUUUAUUUUAUUUAAUAUAUUUAAAUGGUGUUUAAUUUAAGUUAAAUUAGUAUGUUUAAAAAUAGUUUUCAUAAAUAUUAUUAUGUCAUUUCAAUUGCAUUUUUUUUAAAAAUAAUAACAAUAAUAAAAUUAUUUUAAUAAAUAAGGCAACGAGGCGGUUUAGCAUCGAGUCACCGAAUUCAUCGCUAUGUUGGGUGAAUAUCGAUAGCUUGUGUUAAAUUCGGGACGCCCUUUUAAAAAUAAAAAAUUCAAAAAUCCUCAUAUUUAAAAAAUUUCUCGUGUUUUAAAAUCCUCGUGUUUCAAAAUUGUCGUGUUUUCAAAAAUUUUAGUGUUUUUAAGAAUUUUCGUGUCUCUAAAAUUCUCGUGUUUUAAAAAAUUUUCGUGUUCUCAAAAAUAAAAAAUGUUUCAAAAAUCUUCGUGUUUUAUCAAAAAAUCGUAUUUUGAUCUGGUCGCGAUUAACUAUUAAAUUGAACUCGUAUUUUUGAAAAUGAAGACAACGUGCGUUUAACAAGAUACCAAUUUUGGGCGUCGCGAGGGUGCUAAUACCUUCCUCGCGCGUAACCGACUCCCGAACCCUAAUUUUCUCUGAAUUUUCACGCAGACCUAAAAUUACAUCUUUUUUAGGAAAAUUAAAAAAAAUUCUUCUAAAAGAGACUUUAUUAGGUGUCCGAUCACACCUAGAAAAAAGAUCGGUGGCGACUCCUUUUCAAAUAAAAUCGAGGCACUGUUUUUAAAUUUUCAAUAAUUAGUUCGACUGGCGCCCAUACCCAAAAUUUUUAGGUCGCUACAGCUGGCGACUCCACUAGGGACCUUUGAGAGUCGAGUCUGACAUUAAACGCGCGUUAUCAAAUUUUCAAAAAUUCUUGUUCAAAUUAAUUUUUAAUCGUGAUCCUUGAAAUUUUUUUUUUCAAAAAAAUCAUGCAUCCGCAUCCGGUUUUGAAAUUAAUAUUUUUCUAACCUGUUUUACUUUCGUGUUUUUUCAGCUUUAAGUUUUGUGGUUUUAGUUUGUUUUUUUAGUAAAAAUAAAAAUAAAAAGGUUUGUGAGUUUCUCCCCACACACCGUGCACUUGCAUUCUUGCAUAACAUGAGCUCUCUACCCGGGCUCCGUCCGUUUAAGUGGAAGUAAACGCUACGCCUUCGUGAGUUAACUCGUCCCUCCGCACAGGCUAGUGAAAUACUUCCGGGUUACAUAUGACUUAUGCUUUCGUGAGUUAACUCGUCCCUCCGCAUAGGCAUAAGUAAAUGUAAUCCCUCGAAUUGAGCUCGCGAGCCCUGACGGGCGAUAACCGAGGCUCCGUACUAGCCUUAGUAGGUGACAGUAUGGACAAUUCGAGUACCUUUUCUAGAACCGAAACUACAUAUAGUGAACCGUAUGAGCCACCCGAGUAGAACCAUACCGAACCUCCGUCCGUCGAAUAGUCACCAAAAUAAGUACACGGGAGAAACGCCUCUUACCUUUUAUUUCUUUUGCAUUUACACUUAUUUAAUGAAUUGAGUCUGUUUAAUAAAUUGGGCCGGAUAGAUUGCCUGAUGGUAUGUGGGGUAGGUUUCUUGUAAAGCAUAUUGGGGCAAGAAAAAAGAAAAAAUAUGGGUCUUUUCCACCAAAUUGCAUGAUUGAAUAGCUUAAUUCGUUAAAUUUUCCAUAGUCUUUAUUUUUCUUCUUUCUUCUUUUUAUAUCUAUUGUGAUCUCUGACCAAGGUUAUUUGUUUUUCAUUUUAUUUUUCAUUAUGCAUCGUAGACAUCUCAUUAGGAAGGUGUUGGUUAAAGAUUGGUUGCCAAAAACGGGUUUCUGAUAGAGGAGUCAAUUACACAAGUAACUGAGAAAAAUGCCGUAGUUCGAGAUUGGUCUUUGAGGACUCAGAAAGCGAAAGGGGAUAGUUUAAAAGAAGGAUACAUCUCUGAUCUUCCUGAGUAUGUGACUUUGAAUGCUCGUCAGAACGAUCUCGAAGACUUGACUAGGAUUUGGAAACAGUGGGACUCAGAUACUAGAAGCAUAUUCACUGAAAAGUAUGGGGAUAUAGCUCACUUGAUAGCAAUCGAUGUGAACGAGCAGUUGGUCCAAGCCAUGGUUCGAUUCUGGGACCCAGCCUAUCAUUGUUUCACUUUCAAUCAGAAAGAUAUGACUCCGACCAUAGAAGAGUAUGCCGCUUUGCUUCGCAUCGAUAAUGUGCAACUCAACAAGAUAUAUGUGAAGGAGCCUAAACCAAUGACCUUCAAGAAAAAGCUAAUGAAGUUGACGGGGAUGACUGAUACAUGGGCUGAAAAACAAAUAAAGAAAAAGAAUGAAGUCAGUUGUGUCUCAUGGUUUUCUCUGCGGGAGUUAGUUCAGAAUCAUCCAGAUGUGUUAAAAAGAGUGGAUUUAUUCGCCUUGGCCGUUUACGGGCUGGUUGUCUUCCCGAAAGUUCUUGGGCAUAUUGAAGUUACGGUUGUGGAUUUCUUCGAAAAGCUGGGGCAAAGAGUCAACCCGGUCCCAACCAUCUUGGCUGAGACUUUUAGAUCUCUAAAUGCUUGUAGGAGAAAAGGGGAAGGACGUUUUAUCGGAUGCGCUCAGUUACUGAAUGUUUGGAUCUUUAGCCAUUUUUAGAAGGUAGAGCGCACGCCUUUCCACAUGUUUUCAAAGAUAUUUGCCCCGUUGGAAGCACACAUUGAAAAAGAUUGGCCGAAGGAUGUCACUGAACAACAUUGGGUCUCGGUUUUUCAGAACCUCCGUGUCGAAGAUAUAACUUGGAGAGCACCUUGGAUUCGUCCCUCUGUCUUAUUAUACAAGUGUGGAAACCAAGACUGGGUGCCUUUACUAGGAUUAUGGGGAGGAGUUGGAUAUGCUCCAUUGUUGGUUCAAAGACAGUUCGCUUCGCGACAGUUUGUACCAGUUACCGAUGGAUUGGCACAAUCAGAGUUUGCCUUUAUGGGUGAGGGUUACAUGAAAAAGGUUCGAGAUACUGCGAAUUCUUGGAGGCAAAUCUACCUAAUGGAAUUAGCUCUCUAUGCUGACACUAUCACUGUAGACUAUGACCUAUGGAGGCAACGGCGAGUGAAGAGUCAAGUAACCCCAUCGAUUGAUGAAGCUUACCAGAAUCCGUUCUUAGAGAAAAUCUCAUCCGAGCUAGAAAUUGCAAAACAUGAAUUUGAACGUGAAAAAACCAAACUGUUGCGAGAUAUUAGUUCUCUCUAGGAGGAGAACUACCAGCUGAAGAUUGAUGUCGAAAUUGAAAAAUCCAGAACCAAAAAAGUCCAAAAAGAGGUUGAAGUUACGAGAAAGGAUUUAAGGGACCUUCAUUUGGAAAACAAGAAAUUAAGAGGCACUAUAAGAAAUAGUGGAUUGGGCAAAGCAUCAGCAGAAUGGAAGGAGGAAUUAAGCAAUAUCAAAGGUGGGAUGGAAUUCUGGAAAGCCAAAGCGAAGAAAGAAGAAGAAAAAGCUGCACGUACUAUUGUCACGGGGCUAGACCUUUCGUCUCGCAAUCCGUGCGGCCUUAGGCGAUCCGUUCGUCCAAACUCGCCCAAGUCAGCCUUAACUCCCAAAAGAGAGGAUUCUUUUAGAACUCCUCCAAGGCACCAAUUCAUAUAGCGAAAGCGAUUGUGCCAAAAGAAGCCACAAGAGAACAACAGAAAGCUAAAGAAAGAAAGCACACAAAGUGUUUGAGUAAAUGCUCAAGAAUUCUAUUACUCUUAAGAAUUCAAGUUACAAUGGAUGAUUUACAAAUGAGGGGGAGGCUCUCUAUUUAUAGUUGAGCUCCCCCAAAACCGACGGUCAAGAUACAUGUACAUCGACGGAUGAGAUUCACUAUAUCCCUUGAUUUUAGGGAUUUACAAGAUUUACCAUAUCAAAUCUAAUCUAAUCUUACAAGAUAAGAUUCUAUUCUAUCUUCUAAGAUUAGUUACCAAAAUUGCCUAAGUUGCCAUGUCUUCAUCAUUGGGCCAACCAGGCUUCAAUCUGAUAGGCUUCUUUAGUAGCUCUUUGAAUCGGGCCAGUUCUUGUGGGCUGAAUGUCCCCCAUCUAAUCGAUAGACCUCUAUGGGGCGCUUCUUGCGGCAUGGUCACGGGCUUUGCACUUUGGCCCGUGACAUUCUCCCCCACCCAAUCUCGCAACGCCCUCGUUGCGUUUUUUGGAUGACACUGGCUUGAUUCACUGUGAAACUCUUUCGUUGCCUCGGCUUCUUCCUGACUCGUCUUGCGAUCAGGUUGUCCCUUCCUUCGGAACUUAUGCCUUGACUUCCGUCGCCUCUUAUCUUGAACCGUUCCACUCGUUGGUACAUUCUGUUGGCAAGUAGUCUCCACUUUAACUUGCCCUAAUUUUGACUUGUUUCUGUUGGAAUCCCCUCGAUUCUCAUACCUCGGCUUCGUACCGCCCACAGUUCCUUGGCCUCCUCACUUAUGAACUUUGAAAGGGCCCCUACGACCUUGCCAAGCCAACAAGUCAGAAUUCAAAACACUAUCAGAGUGUUUGCAAUGUACCUUACUCGUAGCAUUUACUCGUCUCGACUGUCCUUGCAUCGCUCCUUUUUCCAUGAAGCCCGAUGCACAACCCACCUUUCCCAAAGGUGUCAGCUCCACAGUCGAUCUCGCAGGCUUCAUAUCGGUCCCUUGCGCCACUAACACUUCCGAAGAGGCUUUCGUAGCAUUCCGUUUUACCGAUUUAAUGUUUCUCCCAUACGAAACAUCUUCGACUAGUUGGAUUGACGAUAACACCUUAGUCCCAACUUUCACAUCCCGAUGCACUGGCACAAUACUCUUUGUUGAUGGACCGGUGGCAAUAUGGAUUUGAUCGGCCCCUAGUUGCAGAGUUGCCUGAAUCCUAACAAGGAAGUUUAAGCCAAGCACAAAAUCGUAAUCACUUAAUUGGAUUACCUCGAAUUCUUCCUUGCUCUUCCAUUCGCCGAUUUGUAUUUCCACAUCACGAACUACUCCUACAGUUGGGGCUUUCUCAGAAGUUGCUACCUUGAUCUUCUUAUUCGAUUUCCUAAUCGACAGACCAAGCUUCUUCGCAGCCUUUUCCGACAUGAACAAGUCCGAUGCUCCCGCAUCAAUAAGAGCACUCCGCUUCUGACCCGCAAUGUUGACGUCCACAAACAUCAACCCAUUUCCAUUCCUCUUCCCAGGAAUGAGCACCAUCGAAUUGACUUUCGAUGUGUUUCCCUCGGUAGGCUUCGCCUCCUCCUUCGGCUCAUCAUUCUUUGCCGAAAUCAUCACUUUAUUUGGACACUUACGCGCCAUGUGUGGUCCUUGACAAAGGAAGCAUUUCAUCUUCUUCCUCUUGUCCCUUGGGUUGUCUAAUCCCCGCUUCGCAUCUCGUGGUUUCCCAUUGCCACUUGUGCUAUCAGUACUGUUGCCCCCAUCGCUAUGUCCCCUUUCAUCUUCUUCAUGGUUUCUCUCACCAUUGCCCCUUCCAUUGGGCUUAGAUGCCUCAAGCUUGUCUCCCGCCGGAUCAAGCUCAACAAAGGACUCUGCUUCGGCCAUGGCUACAGUAAGUUCGGUGAUUCCUUGCCUUCGCAACUCCUGCUUUGCCCACGGCUUUAACCCAUCCUCGAACCAAUAGAAUGAUAGAAUGCUUCUUUCUCGCUCAAGUCGGAGAUUUGAAGCAUCAACUCACUAAAUGCCCGCACAUACUCCCGAACAGUGUCUUGUUGCGUGAGACGACGCAACUUUGCUCGAGCCUCCUUCUCGGCAAACUGAGGGUAAAACUGCUUCUUCAACUCUCCUUGAAACUCCUCCCAAGUUCCAAUAGCCGUUCCUCCACGUUUCUCAUCCGUGGACCUACGUCGCCACCACAAGAGAGCAACAUCAGAAAAGUAAAUCGAAGCAGUGUUUACCUUAAUGCCAUCAUCCUCGAUGCCCAUCGCUCGGAAGUAUUGCUCCAUUUCCCACAAGAAGUUGUCCACAUCCCUCGCGGAUCGUGCACCCUUAAACUUCUCCGGUUUGGGAACAUCCAUUGCAUGUUACUUCGGCCUUGAAGACAACAUCCCAUUACUCAAAGCGGCUUUGUAAAUCGCGAGCUCCCCUUUGAGCUCCUCUAUUUCUUUCUGCAUGGCUAGCACCAUAUCCUCGAGAGCUUCAUCCCUCUCUGCCAGCUUUACCUCAGUGGACUCGAGUAAUUCCGUUAUCUUUUCCCUAUUUGCACCGAGAGAAUCCAACACAAAAUCUCUGAGUUGCUCCUCCAUUGAGUCUAACCCAUCUGUGCGUCCCUCGACCAAUUCAAGCAUCUCUUUCACGUUCCCUACGGAUUCCUCAAGAUUGACCACUCGAUUCUCCAAAGCUGUCAGCAAUUCCCUCGAGCGACUGGCUUUUCUAGCCCUCCCACGGGUCUCCAUUGGCUCACUCUGACCAACGACUUCUUUUGACAUCCCAACAGUGCCUUCGAACCACUCGAAUAACUUGGUUCAAAACCUGGCUCUGAUACCACUUGUCACGGGGCUAGACCUUUCGUCUCGCAAUCCGUGCGGCCUUAGGCGAUCCGUUCGUCCAAACUCGCCCAAGUCAGCCUUAACUCCCAAAAGAGAGGAUUCUUUUAGAACUCCUCCAAGGCACCAAUUUAUAUAGCGGAAGCGAUUGUGCCAAAAGAAGCCACAAGAGAACAACAGAAAGCUAAAGAAAGAAAGCACACAAAGUGUUUGAGUAAAUGCUCAAGAAUUCUAUUACUCUUAAGAAUUCAAGUUACAAUGGAUGAUUUACAAAUGAGGGGGAGGCUCUCUAUUUAUAGUUGAGCUCCCCCAAAACCGACGGUCAAGAUACAUGUACAUCGACGGAUGAGAUUCACUAUAUCCCUUGAUUUUAGGGAUUUACAAGAUUUACCAUAUCAAAUCUAAUCUAAUCUUACAAGAUAUUAUUCUAUUCUAUCUUCUAAGAUUAGUUACCAAAAUUGCCUAAGUUGCCAUGUCUUCAUCAUUGGGCCAACCAGGCUUCAAUCUGAUAGGCUUCUUUAGUAGCUCUUUGAAUCGGGCCAGUUCUUGUGGGCUGAAUGUCCCCCAUCUAAUCGAUAGACCUCCAUGGGGCGCUUCUUGCGGCAUGGUCACGGGCUUUGCACUUUGGCCCGUGACACUAUGAUAGAGUUGAGGAAGAAGAACGUUGAAUACAAAACUGUGACUGUAGAACUAACGGCUAGUCAGUCUGAGCAUCAAGAGCUAAAAGGAAAAAUUCAAAGUCUAGAAAGUACACUGCAAGCUCAUCAGCAACAUUUGGAUGACCUCUUGAGAGCUUUAGAAGAGAAGAAUGGUCAGCAUGACAGAGACGUUCGCGCCUAUGAAAGAGCCCUCCAAGAAAAGGAUAUGCAUAUCGGCAGUUUAAUCAAUGAAAUUCGUAGGGCGGCUGCGCAUGUAGUACAUUUGUCAGAUGAAGCGGAAGUUCUUAGUUGCCAAUACCCUCCAAGCCAAAGAUCAAGCAUAUCGGAGUUCCUAGAACGUAUAAAGAAACAAGGCGAUGUGGCUAAGAAGUUUGUGUAACUGUAAAACUAAUAUGGCAAAACUUUUUGUAAUGGACUCUUUUGAUAAAUGAAACGCCCAAGUAUGGGGCCAUUUUGGAAUCAACACCUAUUUUUGCAUAUUUACGCAUGAUUAACAUUCAUUAAUUAUUUAUUCAUUCAUUCAUUACAUGCUCAUAUCUCUCUAAUCAUUCGCUAAGGUUAAAACCAUCUAAUCCACAGUUACCACACUACGAGUCUGGAAUCACGUCACUCCUAUAGGACGUGCUUAAAAGCUAGAACUAUGGAUGCCAAACUCAAUGAAAGGAUGGAAAGGAUGGAAAGAACCCAAAGAGAGUUGCAGGAGCAACUGGCCAAUUCGCAGCAAGAGGCAAGAGAUUUGAUGGUGAGAUCUCGAGAGGAAUCGCUAAAGCAAAGGGAUCAAAUGACCAAAAUGAUAGAAAUGAUGACGGCCUUGGUCAAAGGAAAGGGACCUAUGCAGAGCCCUGAUGUCGUAGAGCCGCCUCAGUCAAGAGUUAAUCAAGACUCACUUUAUCCCCCGGGAUUUACUCCACCUCAUGUCCACGCAAUGCGAAGAGGAUACCCCCAAAGGGAACCUACAGGCCUGGAACAACAUCUUGCUCCAUCUGCUCAUUUAGGACAAGGAAUGUUUGUAUCGAACUCUGGGGCUAAUCCUUCAGAUCCAAUUGUUCCAGACCUAGAUGAUCCUGUAGAAGUAGCAAGGCUGAGAAUUGAUGACAAUAACGCUCAGGAUAAGUAUAGGAUCCUGGAAGAGAUGAUCAAGGCAGUAGAAAGCACUGAAGUUUUCUCUACUUUGAGUGCCAAAGAGCUCAGUUUGGUACCUGAUUUGGUCCUACCCCCAAAAUUUAAGGCUCCUGAUUUUGAGAAGUAUGACGGAACAAGAUGUCCAAAGGCGCAUCUGAUCAUGUUUUGUCGAAAGAUGACUGGUUAUGUAAACGAUGAUAAAUUGUUGGUGCAUUGCUUUCAAGAUAGUUUGGUUGGCUCAGCCCUUCGAUGGUAUAAUCAACUCAGUAGAGAGAGAAUCCGAUCAUGGAAGGAUUCGGCUUCAGCAUUCUGUGAGCAAUAUAGGCAUGUAUCGGAUAUGGUGCCUGAUCGACUAACUUUACAAAUGAUGGAAAAGAAGCCGACAGAGACUUUUCGGCAAUAUGCACAAAGAUGGAGGGAUAUCUCGGCUCAGGUAGAGCCUCCGUUAACUAAGACAGAGAUAACAGUCCUCUUCAUUAAUACUCUCAAAGCGCCAUUUUACGAUAAAUUGGUAGGAAGCGCCACAAAGGACUUUGCGGAUAUUGUAAUAUCCGGGGAACUUAUCGAAAACGCCGUCAAGAGUGGGAGAAUGGAAAGCCCCGAGAGUUCGAAGAGGGCGGUACCUGUAAAGAAAAAGGAGGCAGAGGCCCAUAUGGUUGGAACCGAGAGCCACUGUGCUCCCAUUUCGUACUCCGCCCAAUCACGACCUCAUUACCGCCCACCUUCAAACUUCUACUUUCCUCCUCAAGGUCCUUACUACCAGGCACCUCCGUCUUACCCUGUUUAUGCUGUGAAUAACCAAAGGCCAUUCACCGUGUUCCCGCCAAACACCAUGCCUGCACAAAGCCAACCCAAAAAUGAACAAAGACCAGCAAGACCCAAUCCUGAAAGACCUCAGUUUACUCUAAUUCCUGUAUCAUAUGGAGAGUUAUACCCAAAACUGUUGGAAAAACAAUUAAUUUCCCCACAUUACAUGGCACCCCUGAAGCCUCCAUUUCUGAAGUGGUAUGAUCCUAACGCUAAUUGCAUGUAUCACGCUGGAAAUCAGGAGCAUUCUACAGAAAACUGCCUUGCCUUUAAAAGGAGGGUUCAAGGUCUCAUCGAUGCUGGUGUUCUGCGAUUUGAUGGUGUUAGCAAUGUGACGAGAAAUCCUCUUCCUAACCAUACUAGUGGCAAUGUAAAUGCGGUGACAAAUGAAGACAAUUGGCGAGCCAAAGUUCAUGUUGCCGAAGUAAGGACACCUUUGCGGAAGGUGUGGGAGAUGAUGAUUGAAAAUGGCCUACUCUGCCCGCCUAGUAGGAUUCUCAAGGAGGAAAGUAAAAAAGACCAGAGUUCCUGUGAUUUUCAUGGCAUCGAAGGGCAUGAUAUCCAAUCUUGCAAGGAAUUUACAAAAUUACUUCAGGACAUGAUGGAUAACAAAGAGAUCAAGGUCCUUGAUAGUGUGGAGAGGGCUGAAGAAGGAGAAAUAUGUGCCUCUGAUAAUCAAUCGAUGGUUCUCCCUUAUAGCGUCGAUAGACCUUUGGUAAUUUAUUACGAGGCGAAGAAGGAAGAGGUUAGUCGAGAAGUGAAACCAAGUUUGAUAAUCGAGGUACCUGCUCCUUUCUCUUACAAGGACAACAAGGCAGUACCGUGGAAGUACGAUGUCAAUAUCGUUGUGCCUGAAGGUGAAAAGUCAAAAGUUAUGAAUGAAGAUGUCAGUGGAGUAGGACAUUUUACUCGUAGCGGAAGGUGUUAUUCUCCCGAGACAGUUGAACCAAAAAAGAAGGUUGCUGGCCUGAGCCAAAAAGGAAAAGCACCAAUGUAUGAGGUUGAGGAUGAUGUUGAAACACAACUUGAGCAAGAAGUUAAAAAGGCUGUGAAUGAGGAGGAAGCACAUGAGUUCUUAAAGUUUAUUAAGCACAGUGAAUAUAGCGUUGUAGAAUAAUUAAACAAGCAGCCGGCCCGAAUCUCAGUACUAUCUCUAUUGUUGAAAUCAGUGCCACAUCGAAAUGCCUUGCUAAAAGUGUUAAAUCAAGCUUAUAUCGCGAACAAUGUAUCUGUGGAAAAACUUGAUAGGUGGGCAAACAAUCUGAAUGCAGAUAAUUUCAUCUCUUUUAGUGAUGACGAAAUACCAACAAAUGGUAGGGGCUCCGUAAAAGCAUUGUACAUCACAACCAAUUGCAAAGGUUACAUAUUACCAAAUGUGCUCAUCGACAAUGGAUCGGCACUCAAUGUUAUGCCUUUGACCACGCUUUCUAGGAUGCCGGUUGAUAUGUCCUAUCUGAGGCAUUGUCAUUCUGUAGUAAGGGCAUUUGAUAGGACACGGCGAGAAGUCAUGGGAAAGAUCGAAAUUCCUUUAAAAGUGGGGCCAUGUGUAUAUGAUAUCGAGUUCCAGGUCAUGGACAUCACGCCUUCAUACAAUUGCCUCUUAGGAAGACCUUGGAUCCAUUCUGCUGGGGCGGUUCCAUCGUCUCUCCAUCAAAAAGUAAAGUUCAUCAUGGAUAGCCACUUGAUUAUUGUCGAUGGUGAAGAAGACAUCGUUGCAUCGAUCUCUGCUGAUACACCUUACAUCGAAGUAAGCGAAGAUGCUGUAGAAUGUUCUUUUCGCUCAUUGGAAUUUAUUAAUGCGGCAUUUGUCGCUGAAGGGAAUAAGAUCCCCAUUCCCAAACUGUCAAGGAAUACCAAGAUGGGAAUUAAGCUGACUGUGGGAAAAGGAGCUCGGGCGAGGAAAAGUUUGGGAAAAUAUCAACAAGGGAUGGUUAGAGCUUUGAAACCAACGAACCACAAGGGUCGAUACGGUUUGGGGUUCAAGCCAGAUAUACAUUAAAGAAGGAAACAAUUGCAGAAAGAUCGACAAAGAAGAAUCACAAGAGCUUCAGGCCAAGAUUUAGAAUGGGAGCCGUUGGCGUAUCCUCCUAUGUCAAGAACAUUUACAUCAGCAGGAGUGAUGUACCCAGGGCAGGACAAUCCGCAAGUCACAUUAUUGAUUGAAAAGGGUCUUCAGAAUAUCAGCCUAAAUGCUAUUGACAAUGAGAGUGAUGAAAUUAAGAAUGCUUCAAUGAUACGCCCUUGUCCUCCAAGAUAUGUUUUGAGCAACUGGACUGCUGAGGACCUCCUUGUAGUUUUUAAGUCCCCUUCAGAGUAAUGCUCAAUGUUAACCCUUCAUUUUGUGUGUCCUUAAACAGUAGGGUUCCUUUUGUAAGAGCUUAUGUUUGCUCUUUAUCAUUUCAAUGAACAUUAAUGAAGAUGCAUUUUGUUUUAUAUUGUCAUAUUCUUUUCAUUAACUUUGUGACUACUCCUUCUGUUCAUAUCCUCUUCUGGCAUAUGUCUCAUAUCAUCUCAUAUCAUUGUGUGUUGAUUACAAUACCUCAAUACUCUUCUAUAGCCUUUUUCCAUUCACCUUUCAGGUGUUCAGAUAUCAAUGGCAUGAAUAAUCCCGUUAUGAAUCCUGAAAUCAAUUUUGAGAAGGUUGUUUGUUUAAGAGAAUUCGAAGCUGACGAAAAUGUUGAAGAUUGUGUCUCGUCUCCUGACUUACUGAAAAUGGUGGAACAAGAAGAGAAACAAAUCCUACCCCAUCAAGAAUCUGUUGAGGUAGUGAACUUGGGGAGUGAAGAAGAGAAACAAAAAGUGAAGAUUGGGACUUCCAUUUCAAAAAACACAAUGCAAGAUUUGAUUGUCUUGCUCCAUGAAUACAAGGAUGUGUUUGCCUGGUCUUAUCAGGAUAUGCCAGGAUUGAACACGGAUAUUGUGGUUCACAAGCUCCCACUAAAACCAGAAUGCAAGCCCAUUCAGCAGAAAUUAAGAAGGAUGAGACCCGAAAUGCUGUUAAAGAUAAAAGAAGAAGUCAAGAAACAAAUUGACACUGGCUUCCUACAAGUCUCAAAGUAUCCAGAAUGGGUAGCUAAUAUAGUCCCAGUGCCGAAGAAAGAUGGCAAGGUGCGAAUGUGCGUGGAUUAUCGUGAUCUGAAUCAAGCAAGCCCUAAGGAUAACUUUCCUUUACCGCACAUCGACACUUUGGUAGAUAAUACGGCAAAGCAUUCUCUGUUUUUUUUCAUGGAUGGUUUCUCAGGAUAUAAUCAGAUAAAGAUGGCUCCCGAAGACAUGGAGAAAACUACAUUCAUAACAAUGUGGGGAACCUUCUGCUACAAGGUAAUGCCGUUCGGAUUAAAGAAUGCUGGGGCAACAUAUCAGAGAUCCAUGGUGACGUUAUUCCAUGAUAUGAUGCACAAAGAAAUAGAAGUUUAUGUCGAUGAUAUGAUUGCCAAAUCUCGGGAAGAAAGAGAGUAUGUUGGGAGUCUUAGGAAGCUGUUUGAAAGAUUAAGAAAGUUCCAGUUGAAGCUUAACCCGGCCAAAUGUACAUUUGGGGCUACCUCAGGAAAACUGCUAGGUUUCAUUGUUAGUGAAAGAGGUAUCAAGGUUGAUCUAGAUAAGAUAAAAGCUAUACAAGAAUUGCCUCCCCCGCGUACACAAAAGGAAGUCAGAGGUUUUUUAGGAAGGUUGAAUUACAUUGCUCGAUUCAUUGCUCAACUUACCAAUCAAUGUGACCCAAUUUUUCGACUCUUUCGAAAAAGUAAUCCGGGAGAAUGGAACGAGGAGUGCCAAGUGGCCUUCGACAAGAUAAAACAGUAUCUAUCUAAUCCUCCUGUGCUAGUACCGCUGACCCCUGGAAAACCCUUAAUAUUGUACCUGACCGUGUUUGAGAACUCAAUGGGUUGCGUACUGGGACAACAUGAUGAGUCGGGGAAAAGAAAGAAGGCAAUUUACUACCUCAGCAAGAAGUUCACAGAAUAUGAGGCAAAGUACCCUUCAAUUGAGAAGUUUUGUUGUGCAUUGAUUUGGACGGUUCGAAGGCUCAGGCAAUACAUGCUGUAUCACACGACAUGGUUAAUUUCAAAACUGGACCCAAUAAAGUACAUGAUGGAGUCACCUGCACUCUCAGAGAGAAUGGCCCGAUGGCAGAUCCUAUUGACUGAGUAUGACAUUGUAUAUGUGAACCAAAAGUCGAUAAAAGGAAGCGCAAUAGCUGACUUCUUGGCAAGUCGAACAACGGAGGAAUACGAGCCUUUGAGAUUUGAGUUCCCAGAUGAAGAUUUGAUGUGCAUUUUAGAAAAAGAGGGCGAGUCAUCAAAAGGAAAGUCAUGGAAGAUGAGCUUUGAUGGUGCAUCAAAUGCAUUGGGGCAUGGGAUAGGAGCAUUCUUAGUGUCACCUGAAGGGGACCAUUACCCGCUUACUGCUAGAUUGAAUUUUUUCUGUACAAAUAAUAUAGCGGAAUAUGAGGCUUGCAUCAUGGGACUUCGUGCAGCUAUCAAUAGAAAAAUCAAAAUUUUAGAGGUACACGGGGACUCGGCAUUAGUCAUUUAUCAAAUUCGUGGAGAUUGGGAAGUGAGAGAUCCAAAAUUAGUCAAAUGUCAUGAUCUCGUUGCAGAGCUGAUCAAGGAGUUCUAUAAAGUGACUUUUAACUACUUUCCACGAGAGGAGAACCAACUGGCUGAUGCCCUAGCCACCUUGGCUUCGAUGUUCAAGGCAAACAGAGAAACUGAGAUAAUGCCCAUCCAAAUGAGUAUAUAUGAGACCCCCACACACUGCUUUAGUAUUGAGGAGGAGUCAGAUGGACGACCAUAGUUCCACGAUAUCUUGGAGUAUAUCAAGAAUCAAAGGUACCCCGAGCAAGCAAACGAGAAUGACAAAAGAACAAUCAGGAGAAUGGCGAUUGGAUUUGUUCUUGACGGGGAUAUUCUAUACAAAAGGGGAAAAGAUCAAGUGCUCCUGAGGUGCGUGGACGCUGUUGAAGCUAGAAAGAUACUUGAAGAGGUUCAUGAAGGAAUUUGUGGAACACAUGCCAGUGGUUUCACCAUGGCCAGGCAGAUUAUGAGACUUGGUUAUUAUUGGCUGACGAUGGAAAGGGAUUGCAUUGGUUACGCACGAAAGUGCCACAAAUGUCAAAUUUAUGGUGACAAAAUUCAUGCAGCUCCGUCGCCCCUUCAUGUCAUGACUUCUCCGUGGCCUUUUUCCAUGUGGGGCAUGGAUGUUAUAGGGCCAAUUUCCCCGAAAGCUUCCAAUGGGCAUCGAUUCAUCUUUGUGGUUAUAGACUACUUCACAAAAUGGGUAGAAGCCACUUCGUUUGCUAAUGUGACAAAGGCUGCAGUCUGUAGGUUCUUAAAAAAGGAGAUUAUAUGUCGAUAUGGUCUGCCUGAAAGAAUAAUUUCAGAUAAUGCUUUAAAUUUGAACAACAAGAUGAUGAAAGAAGUAUGUGAGCAAUUCCAGAUAAAACAUCAUAAUUCUUCGCCCUAUCGCCCAAAGAUGAACGGAGCAGUAGAAGCCGCUAAUAAGAACAUUAAGAGGAUUAUUGGAAAGAUGACUGAGACAUAUAAAGACUGGCACGAUAAGCUACCAUUCGCUUUGUACGCAUAUCACACCUCGGUACGGACGUCUACGGGGGCAACUCCUUUUUCUCUGGUCUAUGGAAUGGAAGUCGUUCUGCCUAUCGAAGUAGAGAUCCCAUCUCUGCGCGUCUUGAUUGAGACAAGGUUAGAGGAAUCAUAAUGGGUUCGAGCUCGAUAUGAUCAGCUAAACCUUAUUGAAGGGAAACGCUUGAAGGCAAUUUGUCAUGGACAGAUGUACCAGAAGAGAAUGAUUACGGCCCAUGAUAAAAAGGUGCGGCCAAGAGAAUUUCGCGAAGGAGAGCUCGUACUGAGAAAGAUUCUCCCGAUACAGAAGGACUUUCGAGGAAAAUGGUCACCAAAUUGGGAAGGACCAUACGUUGUAAAGAGGGCAUUCUCAGGAGGGGCUCUGAUUCUCACUGAGAUGGACGAGAAAGAAUUACCUAAUCCAGUGAACUCAGAUGCUGUGAAGAAAUAUUAUGCCUAAAAAAAAGAAAAAAAUAACAAAAAAACAAAAAAACAAAAAAACAAAAAAAACAAAAAAGCAAAAAAAGUAAAAAAAAAAGAAGAAAAAUCAAGAUGAAAACCCGAAAAAGGGCGUCUUGAUAAACAAAAAGAAUUGGGAUGAAAACCCAAAAGGGCGUCCUAAUGAAGUGAGCUCGAACUUAAGGUGCAAGAUGACUUGAACAGUGAGUUGAAUGACGAAGUUGCAAUAUUUGAAGCAUUCUCAGAAGCUCGAAACCUUCUACACAAGAAACCGUGCUUGAAUGGAUCCAGGACAAAAAAAACGUGGAGAAGUUCAUGCAUUGGAUAUCUAGAGCAUUUCUGGCCAUUGAAUUCGCUUUCUUUUCUUGAUGACGUUUUAUUUGUUAAACUUUCUUUGUCAAUUUCCUUUGUUUUUUGCUUUCUUUUAAAGAUGAAAUGAAUGUGAGGUUUUUCUUUCAUGCCUACUUUGCCAUUUUUUCCAUGCAUCUCGUGUUUGAUUCAUUUAAAUGAUAAAUAGUAAGAUGACAUACUCUAAACAAAAGAAAUGUUGAAAAUUACCUGGAUGAGAAUUUGACAAGUACAAGGGCCCGAAAGCAGGAACAAUGUUCAGCAGGGGGCAAGAGAGUGAUAUGUGGAGAAAUGUGAAUCACUCACAGAACUUGAGGAUGAGUACAAAACUGGAGAGAAAAGUCAGGAAUUGAGGAAAUGAAUGCGGAACCUCACGAAAAUCAAAAGUGGGGCAUGUGACAAAUAGCCUAGGGUGCAUGGCAUGAUCAUGUAGACACGAAAGCAUUUAGGACAACACGUGCAUAUCAUAAUAACAUCAUACAUGACAUAUACAUGUAUCUUAGUAGAGCAGGGAAUACUGAGAGAAAGUUGCACAGAAUCAACGAAGAAGAAGGCUUUAGUUUCACCUGAUGUUUUGAAACCCUGUUUCUUUCAAGAAUUAUAUUUUUCAAUUUUUGUUUUUCAAAAAUCAACUCAUAAUACGAGAGGUGAGUUGAGCCUCGGGUCACGCUGAGGUAUUUUUAAAUUGCUGCUUUUCAAAAAAUCAACUCAUAAUGCGAGAGGUGAGUUGAGCCUCGGGUCAUCUUGAGGUCUUUUCAAUUUCUUUUUUUUCAAAAAAAAAUCAACUCAUAAUGCUAGAAGUGAGUUGAGCCUCGAGUCACGUCGAGGUAUUUUUCAAUUUUUGGUUUUCACAAAAAUGAACUCAUAUUGCGAGAGGUGAGUUGAGCCUUAAGUCAUAUCCUGAGGUAUUUUUCAAUUUCUAUUUUUCAAAAAAAUUCGACUCAUAUUGCGAGAGGUGAGUUAAGUCUCGGGUCACAUACCGAUGUAUUUCUUUUAAAUUUCUGCUUUUCAAAAAAAUCAACUCAUAUUGCCAGAGGUGAGUUGAACCUCGGGUCACAUAUCGAGGUAUUUCUUUUAAAUUUCCGUUUCUCCAAAAUCAACUCAUAAUGCGAGAGGCGAGUUGAGACUCGGAUCAUGCUGAGGUAUUUUCAAUUUCUAUUUUUCAAGAAAAAACGAUAAUAGAUUUUUAACAAUCGAACAAAAUUCAGUGCUUUUAAGUCAUUGCUCUAUCUCUGUUUCACAGCGACGAGCAAAGAGGGGCAGCUGUAAUCACUGAAUUUUGUCCGGUCUGUAGUUCGUGUUUUUUUUUAUUUUAUUUCAUUUUAUAUAUGUGUUUUUUUUAAAUAAUUUUGUGGGAUUGGCCUCAUUUGGGCUUAAUGAUUGGGUCCAAUGGUUAGGCCUUUGGGGUUUGGGUAAUUGGGUUUUAAGUAAUUUGAUUUUAAGCUUGUUUGGGCUUUAGCCCAUUUUAUUUUUAUUUUUAUUUUUAUUUUUAUAAUAAUUUUAAAUAUUAAUUAAAUAGUCAUAAUAAAUCAAUAAGAAAAGGCAAAAAAUAAAAUUUACAUUUUAACCCCUGUACUUUUUGAAAUUUACAUUUUGACCCUAAACUUUUCUAAAAUUUACAUUUUGACCCCAAAAUUUUCUAUAAUUACAUUUCAACCUUUAGACUUUCUCAAAAUUUCACUUUGACCCCUAAACUCUCAAGAAAUUACAUUUUGUCUCAUAUUUUUGCUAAAAUUACACUUUUGCCCCAGAAACUUUGCACCCGUUACAUUUUGGUCCUUCUGGGCAUGAGAAGACAGCCCCCAAUCUGCGUUCUUGCGUGCAGCGGCUUCCAUGCCUGGCACCCCCAAUGCAUGGCCUCCAUUCCCCGCUGCCACCUGAAAACAAAGAAGAAGAGAACAAAACAAGGAGAUUAAAAAGAAGCAAAAUGAGAGAAAGCGGGAGAGAUGAUUAUUUUUCGGCAGCAAAAAAAAAACAACAGUUGAGAAACCAAAAAAUCAAACAACAGCGAGUAAAAGUCCUCACCACCGUCGCUCGACCACCGCCAUCGUCAUCUUCCCCUUUCCUCCGCUGCCGACUCCUACAACACAAUCAACCAACACAACAAGCAAAGAGAAGAUAAAAGUGCAGUAAAUAAAAAGAAAAAACAGCAACCCAAAGGAAAAAGAGAAAAAAAAGAAGAGAAAAGAAAGAAAAAAGGAAGAGAAGGGGAGGCGCGCCGGCCACCGCACCACCGGGCGGAAGGAGUGUCGUUGACGGCGCAAAAGGGCUAGGAUUCGGCCCGAAGAAGAAGAAGGGAGAAAGAAAAAGAGAGAAAAAGAAAGAGAAAAAAGAAAAUAAAAAAGGAAAUAAUAAAAAAUAAAAGUAGCAGCCCAUUAGACUUAGUAGCCCAAACUCAACAAAUUUGUCAAAAAAAAAAGGAAAAAGAGAAGAGAAAAAUCUGUAGCAGGCCGAAGCAGUAGGCCCAAUCGGAGCCCAAAUCCCAGCGCCCAGCAGACCGGUGCCAGCAGCCCAGCAGAUCUGACCCGGUUUCUGGCGGCCCACUAAGGCCCAAUCUGCAACAAAAAAGGGAAAAGGGCCUGUCUUUCAAACCCAUAACUUUGGGCUUUUGGGUAUUAUUUUUUUUAAUCUAUUUUAUUUUAUUUAAUAUAUUUAAAUGGUGUUUAAUUUAAGUUAAAUUAGUAUGUUUAAAAAUAGUUUUCAUAAAUAUUAUUAUGUCAUUUCAAUUGCAUUUUUUUUAAAAUAAUAACAAUAAUAAAAUUAUUUUAAUAAAUAAGGCAACGAGUCGGUUUAGCAUCGAGUCACCGAAUUCAUCGCUAUGUUGGGUGAAUAUCGAUAGCUCGUGUUAAAUUCGGGACGCCCUUUUAAAAAUAAAAAAUUCAAAAAUCCUCAUAUUUAAAAAAUUUAUCGUGUUUUAAUAGAAUCCCGAUUAAAUAUUAAAUUGAAUUGAGUUAACACCAAUUCGAUGGUCUCAUCGCCAUAUCGGGAUGAAUAUCAUCGAUUCGUGUUAAAUACAGUAUUUUUUAAAGAAAAAUCGUGUUUCAAAAAUUUUCAUAUCUUCAAAAUCUCUCGUGUUUCAAAAUAAUAAUAAUAAAAUUUCCCGUGUUUCAAAAAAACAUAUUCGUGUUUCUUUCUUUUAAAAAAAUUCGUGUUUUAAAAAAAACAAAAAAAUUAUGUUUUCAAAACUUUCGUGUUUUCAAAAUUUUUGUGUUUUCAAAACUUUCAUGUGUUUGUGUUUUCAAAAAAAAUUCUCGUGUCUUUUAAAAAAAUUUCGUGUUAAAAAAAAUUCAUGUUUUCAAAAUUUUCGUGUUUUUAAGAUUUUUCGUGUCAAAAUAAUUCUCAUGUAUCGAAAAUUUCCGUGUUUUCAAAAAAUUUCCUCGUUUCCAAAAAUUCAGGUGAUUUAAAAAAUCUUCGUGUUUUCAAAAACUCCGGUUUUCAAAAUUUUCAUGUUUUUCAAAAAAUUCUCGUGUUUCAAAAACUUCCGUGUUCUCAAAAAUUCUCGUAUUUCAAAAAUCUUUGUGCUUUUAAAACUUUCAUGUUUCAAAAAUUUUCAUGUUUUCAAAAAAUUCCGAUGAUCAAAGAAAUUUUUCGUGAUUUCUAAAAACUUCCAUGUUUCAAAAAUUUUCGUGUUUUAAGAGUUUUCUUGUUUUCAACAAUUCUUGUAUUUCUUAAAUUUUCGAGUUUCAAAAAAUCGUGUUUUCAAAAAAAAAUUUCUCGUGUUUUAAAAUCCUCGUGUUUCAAAAUUGUCGUGUUUUCAAAAAUUUUAGUGUUUUUAAGAAUUUUCGUGUCUCUAAAAUUCUCGUGUUUUAAAAAAUUUUCAUGUUCUCAAAAAUAAAAAAUGUUUCAAAAAUCUUCGUGUUUUAUCAAAAAAUCGUAUUUUGAUCUGGUCGCGAUUAACUAUUAAAUUGAACUCGUAUUUUUGAAAAUGAAGACAACGUGCGUUUAACAAGAUACCAAUUUUGGGCGUCGCGAGGGUGCUAAUACCUUCCUCGCACGUAACCGACUCCCGAACCCUAAUUUUCUCUGAAUUUUCACGCAGACCUAAAAUUACCUCUUUUUUAGGAAAAUUAAAAAAAAUUCUUCUAAAAGAGACUUUAUUAGGUGUCCAAUCACACCUAGAAAAAAGAUCGGUGGCGACUCCUUUUCAAAUAAAAUCGAGGCACUGUUUUUAAAUUUUCAAUAAUUAGUUCGACUGGCGCCCAUACCCAAAAUUUUUAGGUCACUACAAAAAGAAAUGAAGAAUGGAGGAAAAUAGAGGGAGAAGCAAAAGAGAAUGAAAAAAAGAGUUAAAAGAACUUAAAAGAAAAUUUUAAAAUUUUUUAAAAUAAAAAAAAUAUAGGGACCAAUUGUAGAAUUUAACCUAAAAAUUUUGUUUGAAAUGAUGAUUUAACAUGCCACAUCAGCUUACCGCUACUCCAUUGUUGGCAAUUAAGGACUCAGUGACUAAAAUGUUACAACACGAUAACGUAAAUGACUAAAACGUAACAUUUCAAACAUAAGUGACUAAAAUGUAACCUAAGGCAAACAAAAGUAACUAUUUUGUAGUUUACCCAUUAUAUAUAUAUAUGCGCGUAGAAAGGGGAUGGUCAACUUUGAAUUUAAAUGAAUUGCAAAUUUCAAUCCUGUUUGUCUCUUUUGACUUGCGCUACAUUGCGCAACUGUUUUUUUUUUUUAACUUUUCUUUCAUUCAUUUUUAUUUUUAUUUUUCGUUUUUCUUUGUUAAAACCUUCGUUAAUAUGCUUAUUUUCAUGAGUAAUUAAAUUUCUCAUUUAGCUUUUGGAGAGAGAGAGUUGUAAGAUCCGAAAUUAUACUUAAAAUUCUUUAUUUUGGUAUUUAUUACUUUUCUGGUUAAGGAGAUAGGCAGUGUUAUCUUAUAAAAUUGUAGUGACAUAAAAUAAAAAAGAGCUCAUUGAUUCGGUGUAAUGCAGUGUAUAGUUAGAAGAACUGAAACGAUAGGUAACUAUCAUAACCAGUCUAUCGAGGAAUACAUUGACGUAUUCAAUUGAGUGAGUAGUUGGAUCCGUGAAGGAAAACAACAAUCGAAUUUAAAUGACCCAUGUGAUCAAGGCCAUUGGUUUGUGUCGGACCCUUCUAGUUCGUAAGGCUACUAAAGAGCUAAAUCAUAUAAAUAUAUUUCGUGGUUGUUCGUUCGGUAAGAGUUAGCUCUUGGACAUUCUCGCAACCAAAGUCGUUAAAAUCAAAAUAAAUAUUGACUAGGGGUGUUCAUUCGGUUAACCGGUCGGUUAACCGACCCGAAAUAACAUUAACUGAAUUAACCGACCUUUCAAAAUCUUUAACCGUUAACCGAACCGAAUUUUUUUUCAAAAAAAUUAACCGAACCAAAAUUUUUUCGGUUAAUUCGGUCGGUUAACCGAAUUAACCGAAAAUUAUAUGUUUUUUUAUUUUUGAUUAAAAAUUAACCAAAUUAACCGAAAUAACCGAAUUACCCGAAAUAACCGAAUUACCCGAAUUACCCGAAUUAACCGAAUUACCCGAAUUAACCGAAUUAACCAAAUUGAAUCACUACAUAAUUAAAUUAUUUUUAUACUUUUAGACUUUAGUUUUAGUCUUAGUUUUAAAAUUUUAUUUUUAUUUAUUAAAAUAUUUGUAAUUUAAUUUUAUGAUUGGGUUGGGUUGGGUAAUUGGGUUGGGUUAAAUACUUGGGUUUAGAUGAAUAGUGGGCCUAUUUAUUUAUUAUAAUUUUAUUCAUUAAUUUUUUCGGUUAACCGACCGGUUUCGAACCGAAUUAACCGUUAACCGAAAAAUCAAAAAAUAAUUAACCGACCCCCGACCGAAAAAAUUCGGUUAACCGACCGAUUAACCGAAUUCGGUCUGUUAAUCGAAUUUUUUCGAUUUUACCCGAAUUUUGCACACCCCUAAUAUUGACAGUCAAUGUCUCAAUUUAUAUGGAUUAAAUUUAAGUCGAAAAAAGAAGUUUAAACUUCAGUCCCAAAAUUUCAAGUUCAAAUACUAACUUCUUUCUCUAAUUUUUUUUUUUUUAAAGUUAGUUUAGCAAAUUUCCAUACUGAGAGGAACGAAGAAAGGGAAACGGUUAGUUCGAAAAGCAGAAGAUAAUGCAAAAUUCCGUGAAAUUGGAAACAAAACACAAUUUUCAACGUAUAAACUAUCCACGCAAAAGGCAAUUAAAAUUAGGAAAGAAAGCUUCAUCGUUUCCCUUGUCAUCUUCUGUUAGGAGCUCUACACAACAGUAGCUAAGUUUUAAGAGUCCGAUUAUAUUUUAACCCAUCUAUUAAAAGAUUAGUAAAUUAGUCAUAUAAAGUUUAAGAGUAAACUGGUCAUUCUGUUAAAAGUUCCAUCUAUUUUUUCUGUUAAAUGAUGACAUAAUUGACAAAGCAAGUACGUAGCGACACAUGACGUGCGAUGUGUAUCUCAUGCUAAUGUAGCAUUUCCUCACAACAAAUAUUUAGAAAAUAAAAACUUAAUGAAAUGAAUAAUUUUUUUAAUAAUUAUUUGAAAAACCAUGUCUAGAAUGAACUUAGAUAAUGGUUGUUCAAAUGUACCUAGGCAAUAGUUUGUUCAUAUUCAUCCUAAAUGUGGUUUUUCAAAUAAUUAUUAAAAAUCAUUUGUCUAGGUUCAUCUUAGAUAUGCUUUUUUAAAUAAUUAUUUAUUUUUAAGAAAUUAUUGAUAAUUAUAAGAGAUUAUUAAAAAAUUAAUAAAAUAUUACAAUAUUUUUUUAAUAAUUAUUUGAGAAAAACCAUGUCUAGGAUUGAAUCUGGACAACCAUAUGUCCAAGUUUAAAUGCACCUAGACAAAUAGUUAUUUGGGUUCAAUCUUGGACAUAGGUUUUCAAAUAAUUAUUAAAAAUUAAGGAUUUUUAUUUUAUAUAAUUAUUAAUUUUAAUAUUUUUUUAUAAUUUCUUGUAAUUGUUAGUAAUUUUUAAAUAACUUCUUAAAAAUAAAUAAUUUUUUGAAAAAACAUAUCUAAGAUUACACUUCGAUUAUUUUUGUUUAAUUUUAUGAUGUAAAUAUUUGGGUCUGGUUAUCAUAUUAUAGCAAUUUUCUGCUGCACACUCCAAAAUCAUUUUUGGACAUCUUAUUAAGGUUUUUGUAAUGCCCCAAAUAUUUGAAUGUGUAACCGUUGAAUUCUGUCGUAAUUAAGUCUCUGUAUCUGUGUUCGAGGUCGGGAGUUUGAGUCGUGUUUUUGUUUUUUUGUUUUUUGAAAGUCUUGUUAUUUUAAGUUAAACUAAUCUCUAUUCCUAAGCCAUCGACUUAAUUUUAAUUUAGUACGAACUUAUGUCAAGAAUGAACCUACUAGUUUAUUGGUUAAGCUUCUGUAUUCUGCUUGGUCCUAUGUUUGAGUCCUGGAGUAUGUGAUAGGGAACAUUUUUGCUAAUGCUAGGAAUCUGAUUGGUAGUUAAUUAGGAUUUAACUCAUCUUCUAUUUUUUUCUUUUCUUUUUAUUGUUUCUUCUUCUUUUCUUCUCCUUUCUCUUUUUCGAUUCUUUUAUUUUUCUUCAUUUUGAUUAAAGUCGUAAGUAAAUUCGGGACUAAUAGAAGUUAUACGAUGUUAGUUGCGUAGAUCGAAUGGUUAUUAAGUAAGUUUCACUGUCAAUUCGUUUAAUUCUGCAAUUUUUCCUUUUGUUCUUCGUAGCAUGUUCUGAAUCGGGCAUUCCAAGUGUAUUGUGUAAUUUUCUGAUAAUCAAUCGUUUGGUUUCCCUAUUAAGGUGGGGACAUUAGGAGUAGCGAACCUCAAAACGUCAAUUCGAGUAAUCGUUGUUGAUCUUUCGAUAAGUGUUGAUUUCGUUGAAGGUUUCGUGUCGAAACUUUCGACAUAAGUAUUCUAUGUAUAAUUGUGUAUUAUUGUCGAUAUAAUUGGUUGAUUGAGUUUUUGGAUGGUCGUUUCAGGCUUUGAAAGUCUUCUACAUUGUUUUGACUUCGAAAUUACUUCAGGCGCAUACCAAAAAUCCAAGUUUUUACGAAUUUUGGAAGCUGGAAAACAUGGCUGUUGACACCACACGGCCAUGUGCUAGGCCAUGUGGUAGGCCAUGUGAGCCAAACGGGCGUGUGACAGGCUGUGUGUUAGGCCGUGUAACACAUUGUCUACCAAAUACGAGCCACACAAGCAAGGGACACGAGCGUGUGUCCAAGCUGUGUAAGUCACUGAUUACAAGAUAAGGAUCACACGGCUCAGGGACACGAGCAUGUGUCCAGGCCAUGUGACUUACUGUUGCUAUCAGAGACCACAUGGGCCAAAGACACGGGCGUGUGCCAGGCCAUUUGGGGUCAUACGGGCCAGUCAUUUAGAACGUGUGAAAGUACACAAGCGUAUGGGUCAAAUUUGGAAUUUAUCUCUGAGGCCGUAAACAUCAUCUAACAUGAAUGUAGACAUUUCGUAGUGUAUUUAUGGUCUGAAUUAAACCGUAUGAAUGCUAUGUGAUGAUCUGAGACUGAGGUGUUAAUUAUAUAAAUGUAUACUGAUUGUGAUGACCGUCGAUGAUAUUGAUUUGUAUUACCUAACUAUGAAUUGAAUCUAAAUGACUGUUUGUACGUUCUUGACAUUUGUAAUCUGCAUUUGCAUUGGAUGAGAAUUAUGUAAAGGAGGAAAUGAUCUGUUCUGGCUUAGUGGCUAAGCCACAAUGUAUAUGUGAAUCUAGCAUUUUAUCGUAAUUUGAUUUGGCAGCUAGUCUGCAUCUCAUUGAACGUGUCUGACCGACACUAUAUGAUGUGUACUGCUGGAUGAGUAUUAAAUUCCCUUAAUGGUGUGUUGGGAUGGUCGAAGAUGGUGUGUAGCGGAUAGGGGUAGGACUAACUGCAUCUGUUUCUAAUAUGUUUUGUAGCUGAACUGGAAUUGUUCUGCCAUUUAAUUGAUACGUUAAAACUGUAUUGGAUAUUCUUUGAUUCUGAGUGGAACUUGAGUUUAAGAUUUCAUUAUUAUAAUUGUGUUUCUAAUUGAAUCUAUAUCGGUUAUACAAUGGGUUCUCAACUCAUUGUUGUUGACUAAAUUUGAAGUAACUCACACUCUUGAUCGGGUUGGCAUAGUGGAAGCUCGAUCAAUCUACUUUGUCACCCUUUAUUUAUAUUAUUAAGUAGUUUCAAUAUUUCUUAGUAUUAUAACUAUCGAAACCACCUUUUGACAACAAAAAUUAGUUGUCAACUUAAAAACGAAAAUUGGAGUCGCCACCGAUCAUUUAUUAGGGUGUGAUCGGCUCACCUUAAAAAUGAUUUUGGUCUGUGAAAUUUGAGAAAACAGGUUCGGGAGUCAGUUACGCACGAGGAAGGGUUAGCACCCUCGUAACGCCCAAAAUUGGUACCGAAUUGAUUGUUUAAUGUCUUAGUGUCGAAAAUUUGAAAAUAUUUUAAAAUACAAUCCUUUUAACUUGAAUAAAUUGAAUAAUAAAACACUCUUAUUUCAAAGAAAUAAAAUGUCACACCCAGUGAGUUAGGGCGCAACAUUUUUAAUCUUCAAAAUUAAGUUUAUCUUUUGACUUUUAAAACCCAUGCAUGUUGAGAAGGAUAUUUGGUUAUUUGGGUCAAAUGAAAAAUUAAAACCCAGUAAGUUAGGGUUAAAUUUCCCAAAAUUCCUAAAUACAGAAUAUUGCCUUUAUUUUUAGAAAUCUUUAACUCAAGGUAGCAAAAUUUCAUAUCCAGUAAGUUAGGAUCCAACAUUUUGAAAUCCCGAGAGAACUUUUUAUUUUGAAUCUGUGUGAUUUUAUUAAAAAAGGGAUACUCGGCUAUCCAAAUUUAACGAAAAGAAUUGAAGCCCAGUAAGUUAGGGUGCCAUUCUCUCGAAAAUUGUGAACACCGAGUAUUUUGAAAGUUUUUGAAAUAAAAAGAUUCUCAAAACUUAAACCAUAUUAAGCAUAAUUUUUGAACAAAUAAAGCAUGAUGGAAAUGAUAAUAUGCAAUGCGAAGUCAUAAUUCGUAAACCAAAAAAAAGUACUCUAAUGGAUGACAAAUCAUUGAUAAGUACAAAUAAGCGAUACAAUACACAUAAGGGCAAUAGUCACAUAUCCUGUAAAUACAAACAUUAAUCUUUGCGAGCCAAGAAAAAUACCAAACAAAUUAACAAAUAUGAAACGUGACAAGUUUUUGAAAUAACUAAAAAUAAAUAAACAACAUGCAAGAAAGGAAAUCAUAAUCAAUAAAUUAUAUGUACAAAAAUGAAAGUUUGAAGUAAAUCAAAAAUAUAGGGUUUUUAAUAUAUAUAUAUACUAUGUGAAACAAAAAUAUCUAAAUAAGUUUUAAAGUAAAUGUUUCAUAUGAAGAAAAUCAAAAUGAGUAAUAUAUAAAAAAUAAUAUAUAUAUAGAUAUAGAUAUAUAGAUAUGUUAAUUUAAAUAAAUAAUACAUAUGGAAUGAAAAACUCAAAAUAAAUAGUAAUAUAUAUGAUAAAGUAUGAAAGUAUUAACUUAUAGAUUUAAAAAUAUAGGGAUAUAAAAGAGAAUAGAAAACCAAUAUUAUAAAACUAUGAAAGGUGUACAAAUUAUAUCAAGUUAAUAAAUAAAUGACAAAAUAAUAAGUACUAAAUGUACGUGCUAAAACUUGCAAAUUUAAAAUAAUAGUACAUCAAAACUUAAAGAGUGUUAAUGAUAAACUUAAAAUAAUACUAAAAUCAAAUAUUAAGAUAAUAUUAAACUUAAAAUUAAAUGUAUAUUAAAAAUAACAACAUAAUAAAUGGGCGGAUUAAAUCAAAAUGAUAAGGAUUAAAUUAAUUUUAAGACCGAAUUAGAGAGAAAAAAAUGGAAAUAAAAUAAAGCGGAGGGCUAAAUCGUGACGUGCGAAUAACAUGAAGAUCGAAUGGGAAAUAUUCCCUUUCCUCAAAAUGCGACGUCUUUAGUAGGGACUAAAUUGAAUCAAGAAUCAAAUACACGACUAAAAUUAAAAGGAAAUAAAACAUCAAAAGACCAGAUCAAAAUGUAUCUGAAAGGAGGAGGGGUCGCAUGCGCAAAUAGCCCAAAUUACAGAAAUGCGCGGAUCCUUCCCCGGGUCAGGUCACCGUGCGGGUCGCUGAGGUUAAAUGAUCAAUACGGCACAGUUUUAGAGCCAUUGAAUCAGGCACUAAAUGUUGUCGUUUUAUGCACAAUAUAAAAGCUAUCCAAAACCCUAAAAUCAUAAUCUUUUCCAUUGUCAUUGAACCAUCAGAAAUAAAAACCUAAAUCCUCUUGCAUUCCUUCGCUCCCUUCAAACCUAAAACUUCGUCAGACUCCGAUUUGGACGGAGUAAAUGAGGUUUCAACGACGCUUGCACGAAGGUAAGUUUCUUGCCUCCUCUUCUAUUUCUUUCCUUUUUUUUACAUACAAUGAAUCAAAACAGAAGGAAAAAAAGCAGAAAUAAAAAGAACUCCGGUCACCUUAAAAGAAAUUCUGAUUUGCGUUUGAAAUUUUUGAUUUUUUUAUUGAUUUCGUAUCCAAUGUUUAACCCUUUGCAAUUUUUUUAAUGGCUUUUUAUAACCGAAAUGAAAAAAAGAAUCCCCCCGAAACCCUCUAUUUUCCUAUUUUUUUCUCUAAUAUUUGUUAUUGUGUUGGCAUAUUGUUGUUGUUGCUUUUCCAUUUGCUGCAGGUACGGCCUGAAGGAGAAGAAGCACACAUGCGAGGAGGCGCAGCACGCGCGGGAGGGGGGCCCGAUUGCUGUGGCACUAGAUGCUGCUGUUACUGCCUUAAGGUUUCUAGAAACUAUUUUGGGCGUUGAGCCACAUUGUUAUUAGGCCACUGUUUUAGGAAUUUAGAUUGGGUCUGGGUUAAAUUUUGGGUCUGGUGGAUUUUUUUGUAAUUUGGACUGUUUAUUGGACUAUUUAAUUUUGGUUUUUUCAUUUGGUUUAUUUUACUAAUGGGUCGGGAAAAUUGAGCCUAUUACAAUAACUUUCUAAGAUUUUUGAAUUAUUGACUGGAUUUUAUGGUUCUUAUAAUCUAUCAAACGAUUUUAACUAUAUUUAUAAAAGUUGGUUUUCCUAGCAACGUUAUUGUAACUCUUCGGACUUGAUCUUGAUGCCUAGGCCGGAUUUGGAGUGUUAUAUAUAGUGGCAUUAGAGCCAGAUUUGUCAACACUUGAAUUGUGUUUUGGGCUCAUAAUGUAUGUCAAAAGGUAGUUAAAUGAAAAUAAGAUAUCUGAGUCAUAAUGGACUCACUAAUGUCGAACUUAAAUGAUACAAGAAGAGUUUAAACUAGAGGUGAUCAUGGGCUGAGUCGGGCUGGGACCAGAAAAAUUUUUCGGCCCGCAUCCUAGGCCUGGGCCCGGCCCGGCCCGAAAUAUGGGAUUGAAAUUUUGUCCAGGCCUAACCUAGGAAAAAAUUCCUAAGCCCGAGCCCGGCCCGGCCCGGCCCUUUUUUUUAGUAAACACCAAAAUUGUAUAAAAAAACCUGCAAAGUAUAAUCAACCAACCAGUAUAAUCAACCAACCAGAAUAUCCAUACAUUAACCAAUCAACAUAUUUAAUUUUAAAACAAAGUAUAAAUUGUAAGCUAAAUUAAAUUUUCAACAAUUAUAAAGGAAGUAUCCUAAAAAGCAACCGAAGAAACAUCAUCCUCAUCGUCCUUUUUGCAACCAAUUUAUUAUAUUCGAAAAUGUAUUUUAAAAAUAAAAAGAGUAUUUUAAAAAUGCUUUAAAAUAAAAAAAAUAAAAAAAUAUAUUUAUUAUAUAAAUACUAAAUGUCUAAUGGGAAAUGGGGAAAUGGGAAAUGUAUUUUAAAAAUAAAAAUAUUUAUUUAUUUAUUAUAUAUUCGGGUCGAGAUGGGGCAGGCCCGGGCCAAAAAAGUUUUUCCCAAGGCCCGGCCCAUUUUCUAAACGGGCCUCAUUUUUUGUUCAAACCCAUAUUUUGAACCUAUAUUUUUACCCGAACCCUCCUAUAUUUCGGGUGGGCCAUCGGAUUGGGCCGGGCUGCUCAACCCAUGAUCACCUCUAGUUUAGACUACAUCUAUAAAAUUUUAAUUUAUAGGUUCAUCCUGGAUGUUCUUUUCAAGUAUUUAUUAAAAAAAUAUUUAUUUUGAAAAAUUAUUUAGAAAUUAUUAUGAAUCAUAAGAAAUUAUUAAAAUGUCAUAAAAUAUUUCAAUAAUUUUUAAAAAUUAUUUGAGAAAAAUCAUGUCUAGGGUUAAACUUGUACAGCGAUUUGUCUAGGUUCAAAUUCACCUAGACAAAUGGUUGUUUGAGUUCAAUCAUGGACAUGUUUUUUCAAAUAAAUUUUAAAAAUUUAAGGAUUUUUAUUUUGAAAUAAUUAUUAAAUUAAUAGUUUUAAUAGUUUUAUAAUUUCUUAUAAUUGUUAGUAAUUUUUAAAUAACUUGUUAAAAAUAAAUAAUUUUUUUUUGAAAAACCACAUCUAAGAUUACAAAUUGAUCACCAUGUUUUUUUUACAUCCUUAAUAAUUAUUUUUGUAUAAUUUUAUGCUGUAAUUAUUUUUCUGUAUCAUAUUUGUGUCUUGUUAUCGUAGUAUAGCAAUUUUUGCUUGCAAACUUUAGGACCGGUUUUGGACAUCUUACCUAUGUUUUUAUGUUUGAGAUAUUAUGCCUAAAAAAAAUUAAGAUGAAAACUCGAAAAGGGCAUCUUGAUAAACAAAAAGGAUUAGGAUGAAAACCUGAAAGGGCGUCCUAAUGAAGCGGGUUCGGACUUAAGGAGCAAGACGACUUGAACGGGGAGUCAAAUGGCGAAGUUACAAUAUUUGAGGCAUUCUCAGAAGCUCAAAAUCUUCUAUAGAGGAAGCCAUGCUCGAAAAGAUCCUUGACGAAUAAACGUGGAGAAGUUCAUGCGUUGGAUAUCUAGAGAAUUCGUGGUCAUUCAAUUCAUUUCUUUUCUUUGUGAACUUUUCUUUAUUAAACUAUUCAUUGUCAAUUUUCUUUGUCUAUUGCUUUUAAAAUAAAAUAUAAACGUGAUGUUUUCCCUUCAUGCUUACUUUGCCAUUUUUCAAGCAUCUCAUGUUUGGUUCAUUUAAAUAAUAAAUAGUAAAGUGACAUACUUUAAACAAAAGGAAUGUUGAGCAUUACCUAGAUGAUAAAUUGAUAAGUCUAAGGGCCCCGAAGCAAGAACAAAGUUCAACAGGGGCAGGGGGUGAUAUACGAAAAUGUGGGUUACUCGCAAAACUUGAGGAUGAGUACAAAACCUGAGAGAAAGUCAAGAAUUGAGGCAAUGAAUGCGAGCCCUCACGAAAAUUAAAAAGGGGGGCACAUGACAAACAACCCAAGGUGCAUGGCAUGAUCACGUAGGCAUAAAAGCAUCUAGGACAAACACGUGCAUAUUAUAAUAACAUCAUACAUGACAUAUACAGGUAUUCUUGUAGAGCAAGAGAUUUUGGGGGCAGCUGCAUUGAAUCGAUGCAAAAGAAGACUUUCGAGUUUCACUUGAUAAUCUUUUUGAAAUUCUAAUUUUCUCAAAAUUAUUUCUUUCAAUUUAUGUUUUUCAAAAAUCAACUCAUAAUGCGAGAGGUGAGUUGAGCCUUAGGUCGCAUGCUAAGGUAUUUUCAAUUUAUGUUUUUCAAAAAAAUCAACUUAUAAUGCAAGAGGUGAGUUGAGCUUCAGGUCGCACGCUGAGGUAUUUUCAAUUUAUGUUUUUCAAAAAAAUCAACUCAUAAUACGAGAGGUGAGUUGAGCCUCAGGUCACACACUAAGGUAUUUUCAAUUUAUGUUUUUCAAAAAUCAACUCAUAAUCCGAGAGGUGAGUUGAGCCUCGGGUCACACGUAGAGGUAUUUUUCAAUUUAUGUUUUUUUUAAAAAAAAAAUCAACUCAUAAAUACGAGAGGGAGGUGAGCCUCGGGUCGCACUCUGAGGUAUUUUUCAAUUUUUGUUUUUUCAAAAAUUAACUCAUAAUCCGAGAUGUGAGUUGAGCCUCGGGUUGCACGCUGAGGUAUUUUCAAUUUCUGUUUUUCAAAGAUCAACUCAUAAUUAGAAAGAUGAGUUGAGCUUCAGGUCGCACACCGAGCUAGUUUCGAUUUCUGUUUUUCAAAUAAAAAUAAAAAUUUUGGACAACUGAGCAAAAUUUAGCACUUUUAAGUCUUUACCCUAUCCCUAUUUCAUAGUGAUGAGCAAAGAGGGGCAACUGUAAUAACUGAAUUUUGCCCAGUUUGGGUUUCAGGCCGGGCUAGUCUCAUAUGGGCCCAGGCCCAUCGGGAUUUAAUUUUGGGUUUUUAUAUAUAUAUUUUUAUUAAUUUUAAAUAAUAAUAAUAAAAUUUGAAAAAUACAAAAAAUUUAAAUUACAUUUUGACCCAUAACUUUUCAAAAUUACAUUUUGACCCCUAAACUUUCCUAAAAUUACAUUUUAACCCCUAAAAUUUCCCAAAAUUACACUUUGGCUCCAAAAGUUUUGCUGUGUUUGCAAUCUGGUCUUUCUGGCAGCCAAGCGCGGUUUGCACACCUACCCCCUAUUUUCCGACCAUCGGCCUAGGGCAUGGCCUCCCUCCUUCCUAGCCACUUAAUCCCUGCAAAAAAAACCAUAAAAAGGGGUUUUUACCCCCAAAAAUCGGCCAACAAUCAACAACAAAAAAGAGGAAAAAAUCAAAAAAAAAAGAGAGGAAAGAAGAUAGAAAAAAAGAGAAGGAAAAAGAGGGGAGUGUUGGCACCGUCGCACCACGGGUGGAGGAAACGGUGGCGGCGACUAGGGUUUUGUGGAAGAAGAAGAUGAAGAAGAAGAAGAAGUAGAAAGGAAAGAAAGAAAAAAUAAAAAAUAAUAAAACAGUUGGGUUGACCCGACCUGAAGACCCGAAUCCGACUCGGAUUCGACCCGCGGACAGCAAGCUCCAGCAGGCUAGCAGCAGCCAGCCCAGCAGCAGAAAAAAAAAAGAAAAAAAGCCCGAGUUGUGUAACCCGUUCGAUCAAGCCGUAUUUUUGGGCUUUUCGGUAAUUUUUUUACUUACUUUUAAUUUAAUUCAUAUAUUUUGAUGACAUCUCAUUUUUAAUAUUAUUGGCAUUUUUUAACAUUUGUUUUUUUUAAUUUUAGAAAUAUUUUAUUUAUAAUUUUUUUAAUUUAAAUAAUUUCAAUAAAUAAGGCAACGAAUCGAUUUAGCAUCAAGCCGUUGAUUUCAUCACUAUGUUGAAUGAAUAUCAUUGGCUCAUGUUAAAUACGGGACGCCCUUCUAAAAAAUCGAGAAAUUCAAAAAUUCUCGUGUUUUAAAAUGAAAUGUUUACUUUUGUGAUUACUUGUAAAUUAUUGAAAUACCAUUUUUAAAAUGUGUAUAAUACCAUAAUAUGUAAUUUAUCGAAAUUUUCGUUUUUUUUUAAAUUGGAUCACGAUUAAAUAUUAAAUUGAAUUCGUAUUUUUAAAAAUUAAGACAACGCGCGCUUAACGAUAUACCAAUUUCGGGCGUCACGAGGGUGCUAAUACCUUUUUCAUGCAUAACUGACUCCUGAACCCUAAUUUUCUCUGGAUUUUGACGUGGACCUAAAAUUGACUCUUUUUUGGAAAAUUUUAAAAAUAAGUUUUCUUUUAAAAAGAGAAUUUAUUAGGUGUCUGAUCACACCUAGAAAAAGAUCGGUGGCGACUCUUUUUUUUUAAAUAAUAUUAAAAUUAAGACUCUGUUUUCAAAUUUUCGAAAAUCGAAUUGACUAGCGCCCGUGUAAAAUUUUUAGGUGGCUACAUCCUUAAUAAUUAUUUUUGUAUAAUUUAAUGUUGUAAUUAUUUUUCUGUAUCAUAUUUGUGUCUUGUUAUCGUUGUAUAGCAAUUUUUGGUUGCAAACUUUAGGAGCAGUUUUGGACAUGUUACCUACGUUUUUAUGUUUCUAAGUGUUUGAAAUAAUCCGAUCCAAUUAGAUGUUUAAGUCUCUUUGGGGUAAUAUAUUAUGGGUCCAAAUAAGGAAUUUGUAGCUUAAGCUUAAGAUAUGAUAAAAAUAUUAAAAUAAUUACAAGAAUUGAUCAAAAAAAAUUGCAAAAUCCUUUGACUCCAAUUCCAUAAAAUCAUAUAUAGAUAUAUAUAUUGGAAGUUGAGCAUUGAAUUGACUGCUUGGUUUAGAUAGUAGCAGUUGGAUGAAUUUUGAAUAACAAGUAAGGCUGCUACGUAGUGUUCAAAGUCCAAGGGGAGCAUUUUAUAAAUAAAUGUACCACUUCAAACUUUUAUAGGAAUAAAUUGGAUGGAAUGAUAGAUAUAUGUAACAUCUUGCUUAAAUUUGAUUAUUUUUCUAUAAUUUUAAAAAAAAAAAAGAAAAGAAAAACCAAACAAGUCCAACUUGUGUAUUUAACAAAUCAAGACUAUCCAAUCCAACAUGCUUUUAAUGAAUAAAUAAAAUCGUCAGUCUAUGACAUUUAAAUAAUAAUAAUAAAAAAGUGAAGACCAAAAGGGAGAUGGAUACUUCAGUUUAGUGUUUAAAUUCUAAGUCAAGAAUUUUAUAGAAACAUAGACAAGUUUGCUGUAUUUCUUACAAAAUACAUUACAUAGAUAGUGAACCAUUUCACACUUUACGUUACCCCAUUUUCCUUCCGGGAAGCUACCCACGGUCUAGCUAAAAAUUAACCAUUACUUCUAAUAAAAUAAUUCAAAUUUUUUUUUUAAAUUUUCAAUAUUAUAAAAUAUUAAGAGUUUAAAAUAAUUUUUAAAAAAUUCAUUUUUUAAAUAUCUAAUAAUAAUAUACCACUUUAAAUUUUUUAAAAGAAUUUAUAAUUGAUAUUAUACACUUUCUAACACUAGAUCAAUUCUCUUCAAUAAUAUUUUAAUUUUUAUUAUUGUUGAUUAAUUAAAUAAAAUUAAUUUGAAAAAAUUAAAUAGAUUUAACAAAUUAUAAUAAUGUAAGGUUUAUGAAUUUUUUUUUCAACUAAAUUUAUGAUUUAUGGUAUAUAUGGUUAUUUAGUGUCUAAAGAGGUCUAGGGUUCUGGAUUUUAGAAUUUUAUAUAAAAUAGAUUAAUUUUAUUAAUUUUGGAGUUAAUAAUAAUAAUAAUUGUACAAGCCCAAAUAUGCCCGGGCCCAAGAAAAUAAAUAGACCCAAACAUGCCCAGCCCACUAAACCUAGCCCAAAAUUCUCAAAGAGCAGAAAACCCUAAGCAGUGGCAGCAAACUGGCGCCGCAACUGCUGCCCUUUUGCGCACCUCCGCAAGACUCGGAGUCGCACUCCUCGCGCACCUCCGCAAACGUCGCUUCGCACGCCUUUAGCCAUGCCUGCAGCAACAAACGGAAACAAACAACAACGAAAUAAUAGGAAUAACAUAAAAUAUUUUAUUAUUUUGUAUUUUAUUUUUUUAUUUUCGGUUAUAUAAACCAAUUGUAAAGAAAAGAAAGAGGCAAAAGUUUUACCCCAUAUCGGCGCCGUUGAACCUUCAUCGCUCCGUCACAAUCGGAGUUUGAAGGAGGCUUGGGGGCAUGAACGGCGGCAUUAAGUGGGGGUUUGGGUAUGAAAACCCUAGCAAAGGAUUUCUCUGCUGUUUGGUGCAAAAAAAAAAGAAGGGAAAAUGAGUUGUUUUUUGGGAAAUUUUGGGUUUUGUAACGAUUGCAAAACGGCGUCGUUUAGGGCUUGUUUCUGUGGCCCCAAAACGGCGCCGUAUAGGGCUAUACCCGUGCGGUGACCCGACCCGGGGAGGAUCCGCGAGUCAUGGGCCUAAAUGGUACAUUUUCAAGUUUGGUCCCUUGAUUUUUAGAAGCAUGUUUAAAUCAACUUUUUAUUUCUUUUGAUUUUGGCCACGGGUUUUAUUUUUGUUUCAAAUAAGUCCCUAUUACGGCGCAGUGUUUUAGAGGGGCGGAUUAUUUCUAUUUUGGCCCCUCUUGUAACUCGCGUGUUGCAAAUCAGUCCUCUGUCUGAUUUUAGUUUCAUUUAUUUUUUAUCACUAUUAUUGCAUCAUUUGUUAUAUUAUUUAUAUGCAUUUUAUAAUAUAUAUAUAUUUUUUAACGCUUAUAAAAUGCAUGCAAACAUUUUGUACAUGCAAACAUUUUUAAUACGUAUAUAUAUUUACACAUUUUAGUUUCAUUUUUUUUACAAUAUACAUACAUACAGGAGGUUUUUUUUUAUUUUUUAUUUUCUUUUAAAUUCCCCCCACUUUUUCGUUUUAAUUCAAUUUAGCCCAUUUUUUUUAGUUUUUAUCACAAUUACGCCAUACUAUUAUCUUGUUUUAUUUUAUUUACUACUAUAAUAUUAUAUAUUAUUAUUAUUAUGCGCAUAUGCAUGUUAGUAUGUAUAUACUUUAAUAUUUUAAAUAUAUAUAUCUAUUGUAUGCACAUUGUAUUAUUACUUUGUUUCAUAGUUUUUUUAUACAUAUAAAUAUACAUACAUACAUUUUUUAAAAGAUUUUGUUUACAUACACUUUUUAUUUUUUUUAAAUUAUUAUAAAUAUUUUUUUAGUUCAUGUAUCCCAUUAUUUUAUAUACAUAUUGUACAUAUAUGUAUGUAUUUGAAUAUAUACGUAUGCGAAUUUUCACGAUUGGUCUAUGUAUAUAUACUUAUACAUUUCGUUUUUCUUGCCUUUGUAAAUAUGUACACAUUUGCAUAUUUUCAUACUUUUAUUUUUAUUUUUAUUUUUUACAAUUUUUAUUACAUAUAUACAUGCAUACUUUUAGAAAUUAUUAUAAGUUUGUUGUAUAUAUUUCUUCACUUACCCUUUUAAUGUGUACACUUAUAUUUGUGUGCUAAGUAUGGGCCCACUCGUAUUUUCGAAUUUGCUUGGAUAUUGUACUUGUAUAUAUAUUUUGUAAAUACAUUCUCAUAUAUGUUUUACAUUAAAGUUUUUGUUUCAUAUCGUACAUUAACUUUAACAUACCUUUUUAGAAAAUACAUUUUGGUUUUAACUAUACAUCAAGAUUAUUUUCUUGAUUCAACGGUUUUUUUUUGAAUAAAAGCAAUAUUUGAAGUUUGGGGAUUUUCGAAGGAAAUUGAGCCCUAACGUAUUGGGUUCAGAUUUUCUUCGUUAAUCUUAAAUGACCGAGGAUAUUCUUUAUUCAAAAUGCAUGAGUAUAAAAAUCAUUUUUGGGAACUUAAUAUGUUGUGCCCUAACGUAUUGGGUGUGGCAUGUUACUUUCUCGAAAUGAAGAUUUUCGCAUAAAAUAAAAGUGAUAUUCAAAGUUCGGGGAUUAUGAGGAAUCGUACCCUAACAUAUUGGGACUCGAUUUCUUUACAUGACUUGAACAAUUGGUUAUCCUUUUGCAAAUUUCAUCAUUCAAGCUUAUUUUAAAAUCUUUUUUAACUUUCGACACUAAGACAUCAAAUAAUCAAUUUGGUACCGAUUUUGGGCGUUACGAGGGUGCUAACCCUUCCUCGUGCGUAACUGACUCCCGAACUCGUUUUCUCAAAAUUCGUAGACCAAAAUCAUUUUAAGGUGAGCCGAUCGCACCUUAAUAAAGGAUCGGUGACGACUCCAAUUUUUAUUUUUAAAGUCGACAACUAAAAUUUUUGUUUUCAAAAAACGGUUUCAACAAUAAUAAUAAUAAUAAUAAUAAUGAUAAUAAUAGUUAGUUUGAUGUUUCUUGGUGCAAUAUAUUAUUCAUGCACUCUUAAAAAUUAUAAUGUGGGAUGUUAUUAUUAGGUGCCUAAAAAGUAACUUUGUAGGACCAUCUUAAUAUAAACCAUUUUAAAAAAUUUAAAAAUUCCAAAAAAUAUUUAAAUUUUAUGAAAUUUAUUUAGAAAUUAUUUAAAAGUAUAUAUUUUUAAGAAAUUAUUAAAAGACAAUAAAAUAUUUCAAUAACUUUUUAAUGAUUAUUUAAGAUAAAUCAUGUCUAGAAUUGAACCUAAACAACUAUUUGUCCAAUUUAAAUGCGUCUAGAUAAAUUUGUUGUUUAGGUUCAAUCUUGGACAUGAGUUUUCAAAUAAUUAUUAAAUAUUUAAAGAUUUUAAAAUGAAAAUUUUAAAGAAGACAAUAAAUAUUAUAAAAAAUCUUCAUUUUGAAGUUUCAAAACUUUUAUAUAAAUUAUCAUUCAACCUUUUUUUUUUCGGUUUUACUUUAUUUUUGGUUUUAAAUUUUAAAAGGUAAUAUUUUAUUUUUCUUUAAAAUUUUAUGUGGCAUUUAAUAAUUAAAUUAAUAGUCUCAAUAAUUAAAAAUAUUAAUUAAUAUAAUAUUAAUAGUUUAAAACUGUAAUUAGACUAUUUUUAAAUUUGAAGGUUAAUAUAAAAUGUUGGUCGGAGAUUUCUAGUGAAAUUACCUCAACAUUAAAAUGUUUUUAUUUUAUUUGGAAUUCAUGGGGGACUACCUGAUGUUAUUUAGAAAGAAUCUAGCAGAAACUAAAGCUAAGUAAUCACAAAAGCUUGAAACUCUUUCUUCUUUAACCUCGCUACUUUUGGUUGUUCGAUGUUGAAAAAGAAUGCAAAUGAAAGAAAGCUUAACGUGUUUUUGGUUGGGUGUAAAAAUGGAAGAAUAGAGGAAGAAAGUGACAAAAAUGGAAAGAAAAUAAAAUGGAUAGAUUAUAUCAUUAUUCAUUAAACUAUGAGUUUUUUUAGUCAUCCAAUUUUAAAAAAGUUAUAAAAUAUCAUCCAAUAAUAUUUUUUUUUUCAAUUUUAUUGUUUUGGUCACCCAACUAUCUUAGAUUUUUGUUGUUUUCAUGUUUACGUCAGAUAAAAAAGGAAAAAAGAAAUAUAGGUGGGUGACUAUUUUAUAACUUUUUAUAGUUAGGUGACCAAAGAAAAAAAAACUAUAGUUGAGUGACUACUAAUAUAGUUUAUCCAAAUAAAUUUGAAGUCUACUUGUUAAGGAAGAAAAGUGAGAGAAAAGAAAAUAGAAAAAAUCGUCAUUUUCAAUCCUAAUGUAUAAAAAUUAAUCUUUCCAAUUUGGAGUAAUUAAGAGAGAAAAUAGGAGAGAUGUGUCUCUUAAAUUAAAAUUAUGCAUUUCUCAACUAUUUUAUUUUCUUUACUCUUAUUUUUCAAUUCUACCAAGUAAUUAAUGGAAAGAAAAUUACUUUCUCUUUCAAUUUUUUUCAUCUUUUAUACCAAGCAAAAUAUUGGUAUGAUAUUAAAAUAAAUUUGAAGCAUUUGAAAAUAUUCUCCGCUAAGUAAUAAGUAAUUUUUAUCAGCUUAUCAUUUUUUUAUAAAAAAAAUUCUAUCAAACUAUUUUUAUUAUCAAAUUUAUAUAAAAUACUAAAAAUAUUAACUUUCAUUUCAUUAAAAUUUUUAAUUGUUUAUCGAACAAGAUUUUGGUUAGUAAAUUACUAAUUGUACUUUUUUUAAGAAAAAAAAUUCUACACUAAGCAAAUUAUAAAAUAUUAAACAAUUUAAAAAUUCAAGACAUGAUAAAAUUUGAAGGCAAAGUCUAAAAAUCCUUGUUCUUGUCUAUGGUACUGAAAUUUUUAUUAGAGGUCUUCUGUCAAAGAUGAAGAAGACAUAAUGAGUAUUAUAAAGGGUUUGAAGGGAUGAUAUUUUCAGAAAAAAUGGAGAAUUGUGAAAGGAAACGAUUGGACUAAUUUGUAGGAAUGUUGAUAAAUGCUAAUGUUUUUAUUGUUUGUUUGUUUCAGACGGCAAAGGUCAAAUAUGGGGGUUGGGCGAAUAAGGACACAGGGAAAACGCCUGUUCAGGCGUUGGUUGUGGAUUAAUAAUAAAACUAAUUUGGAGAAACAUGGCUUCGAUUGGGGCAUAUAGGUAAGCUGAGGGAGCAUUAUUAGUCAUUUCAAAAGGCAUAAACAUUAUUUUAUACAUUCAAAUCAAGUGAGUGCAUUGAGUUGAGUUGAGAUGAUGGCGCUAGUAUGGCCAAGGCUAAUCUUGAUAACUGUGUUGGUUUUAGAAGGUGCAGUGUGGAGUGAUGGGUGUUGGGAUGAAAGAGUGUCUUGCGCUCUAGCAACUUCAUCCUUUCUUAAAUGUUAAAAGGAUUCAACUAUUAGGGUUUAGAUUGUUGUGAAUGGGAAUGGGUAGAAUCCAACAUCACCACUUGACAAGUCAUUCAACUCUUUCUAGGCAAUGGUGGUGUGUCAUUGAAAGCACUAAAAAUAACCUAUACCUAAAAUAUAAUAAAAAUAAUAGUAUAAGAGAAGUAGGGUCAAAUUUUCAGGGACUAGAUCGUUAAAGCUUCUUGUUUUUGGAAAUCCUGGGCAUAGUCAUGCCCAAGAAAAACGUCUUACCUGGGGAAAAAAACAGAAUUAAAAAUAUGGAUGAGUUGAAAUUAAAUAAAUUGAAAUUGUAAUUGUAAAAAGAAACAGAGUUGAGGGAUGGGGUUUUUCGAUUUGAGGGAUUCCAGCCUCCAGUUAUCUCGAUCCUUCUCAUGACUGAAUAAGUUAGUUAUAGUCGAAGAGGACGCCUAUGACCACCAGCUCCACUUAGGUUAUAGCCUUACGAUCUAGUGGAACUUGACUCUAGCCAACCGUCACUUUUGUGGGAUCGUCUUACACUAAAUCAUCAUUUCUCAAUGGCGAAUGCCACGCCAUUUCGUCUUUUGGGCUCAACAACCUCUAACGCAGUAAGUUAAAAUACUUAGUUGGUGAACCCUUCUAGUGGGUUCAAGAUUGGCUCGGAAUUGCUAAGUAUUUGUAGCCAUCGUGGAUAUCAAGUUCCUUACUUUUUAGAGGGUCAUGUUGACCAAUGUCCUUCUACUGGCGGCAUCUAUCAUGUUCAUUUCCAUGGGCUUCAAGUCCUCAUAGAAGUAUUGGAGAAGUGACUAUUCUAUUAUCCCAAGUUGUGGGCAACUUGCGCACAACUUCUUAAAUUACUCUCAAUAGUCGUAAAGAGACUCCACUUCUUUUAGCCUUAUCCCAACAAUCUCCCUCUUAAUGCAGCUGCGCAUGAUGCUGGAAAAAAUCUGUUGAGAAACAAAUGAGAAAGAUCAGCCCAGAUUGUAAUAGAUCUAGGAGGUAUAUAAAAUAAUCAUUUCUUAGCAGAGUCUGCUAGGGAAAAAAGGGAAAGCACGUAAUUUGAUUUCAUCCUCAGUUACGCCCUGAGAUUUCAUACUAAGACAAACCAUAUGAAACUCUUUUAGAUGUUUUUGUGAAUUUUCAUUUUGCCAUCCUCAAAAAGUCAGCAACAACUGGAUUAAUCCUAACUUAAGUUCAAAAUUAGUAUCCAUAAUAGGAUACACAAUGCAUAAUGACUGUUGUUCUGUAGGAGCUUCAGUCAUUUGCUGAAUCGUUUAAGCCAUAGGUUAUUGUGCUGGAUUUCGGUUUAUGCUACGCAAAAUUUCUCGGAGUAGAUCUGGUCAUAAGAACAAGAAACAAGAUUAGUAUGUUAUCAGUCCUCGGCAAUGACGCCAAAAAUUGGUGUGUCACUGAAAGCACCAAAAAUAAUCUAUCCCUAUGAAAUAACAAAAAUAAUAGUAUAAGGGAAGUAGGGUCAAAUCCUUAGGGACUGGAUCGCUACAACUUCUUGUUCCUCGAAAUCCUGGGGACAGUUGUGCCCAAGAAAAACGUCUGACCUGAGAAAAAAAAUAGAAUUAGAAAUAUGGAUGAGUUGAAAUGAAAUAAAGUGAAAUUGCAAUUGUAAAAAGGAAACAGAGUUGAGGGAAUGUGAUUUUCGCUUUGAGGGAUUUUAGCCUACGGUUAUCUCGAUUCUCUUUUGGUUCAAUCAUUGGCUUUUAGAUAAUCCUUCUCAUGACCAAAAUAAGUUAGUUAUAGUGGAAGUGAACGCCUGUGUCACAGGCCAAAGUGCAAAGCCCGUGACCAUGGCACAAGAUGCAACCCAUGGAGGUCUAUCGAUUAGAUGGGGAACAUUUAGCCCAUGAGAACUGACACAAUUCAAAGAACUAUUAGAGAAGCCUAUCAGAUUGAAGCCUGGUUGGCCCGAUAAUGAAGACGUGGCAACUUAGGUUAAUUUUGGUAACUAAUCUUAGAAGAUUGAUGGAAUCAUAUCUUGUAAAGAUUAGAUUAGAUUUGAUAUGGCAUAUCUUGUAAAUCCCUAAAAUCAAGGGAUAUGGUUAAUCUUGUCUGUCGAUGUAAAUGUAUCUUGAUCGUCGGUUUUGGAGGAGCUCAACUAUAAAUAGACAACCUCCUCCUCAUUUGUACUCAUCCAUUGUAAGUUGAAUUCUUAAGAGUAAUAGAAUUUUUUGAGCAUUUACUCAAACACUUUGUGUGCAUUCUUUCUUUGACUUUCUGUUGUUCACUUGUAGCUUCUUUUGACACAAUCGCUUCCGCUAUACAAAUUGGUGCCUUGGAGGAGUUCUAAAAGAAUCCUCACUUUUGGGCGUAAAGGUUGACUUAGGCAAGUUUGGACGAACAGAUCGCCUAAGGCUGCACGGAUCACGAGAUAAAAUGUCUAGCCCUGUGACACCUGCGACCACCAGCUCCACUUAGGUUAUAGCCUUACGAUCUAGAGGAACCUGACUCCAGCCAACCGUCACUUUUGUGGGACUGUCUUACACUAGAUCAUCAUUUCUCAAUGACGAAUGCUAAGCCAUUUUGUCUAUUGGGCUCGACAAUCUCUGAUGCAGUAAGUUAGCGAACCGACUCUGCAACCUUCCCAAAACAUACAAAGCGGUCAUUCCUUACACAAGAUGAAAAGAUUACUUUUAGAAGGAUAUGGACGGAAGCAUUAGUCCCGUAAUGCAGAGAAAUGAUGAAUACUAGCUGAGAAGGGUUAAAUGCGGGUUCUAAGCCUCAUGAACUAUUUUUGAGGAAUUUUGAUAACCAUUGGCUAGAGGAUUUUAGUGACUCAUGCGUUUAAUUAAAUAAAAUUUUAUUGAAAAAGAAACAAAAAGGCUAAGAGCCAUAGGGGAAAGAGUUUUUUUUAUAGAAGUGAUGAGUGAAUAUGCAUGUCACUUCAUCCCUUAUUUAUAGUAACAUAAAAAACCUAGUUUGUUCCUAUUUAAACUAUAGAAGAUAAUGUUUAAAAUAUACAAUUUGAAAUUAAAUCUAAACAAUAUCAUAAUAAUACUAAAAGUAAAAUCCAAAUUUAAAUAAAGCCUUAUGUUCAUAAAUCUCUUCUUUGAAUUUUUGCCCCAAGUCUUCCACAUUUUGUAUUUUGGCACCACUUUUUCCCUAUUUCGCGUGCUAACCUGUUUUAUCUUUAAAGUCACGUUUUUUACCCCCAAAUUUCCUUUUGCCUUCAAUUUAGUCCCUACAAGAUAAAAAAUCAUAAACAACCCAAAUUAGUAGGAUCAUACUCAAAAUAUAUAUGUAAUUAACACAUAAAAAUAUAUCAUUUUAGAAUAUUAUCAAAUGGCAGGUUGGAUUAUCUUGAAUUCUUUAAUGCCUCUUUGUUUCUUCCCUUUGAAGAAUUGAGAAGUCUUGAUCUCUCUUAUAAUUAUCUAGUUGGUUGUCUGGAGAAUGAAGGUACAUAACUCUUUGUAUUUUUAUCUUUCUCAACUAUCUCCCAAUUGAGUUUAUAAAACUCUCUUUUUAUAUUGCAGGGUUUGGAAAGCUAUCCAAGUUGAGACUACUAGAGAAUCUUGACUUGAUUUGCAAUAAAUUCAAUGAUAGCACUUUAUCAUUUUUGAGUAAAAUUACAACUCUCAAGUCUCUAACUUUAGGAGAAAAUGACUUUUUUAUAAGAUCAAACUAAUGGUAAAAUUAUAAUAUCAUGUCUGUAUGUAUUGCUAAUGUAAAUCAUUACUCAUCUUCAUAAAUUUUAUUUGUUUUACUAUUUGUAGCACUAUUGCAGUGGUUAUCAAAACUUGGUAGUUUGGAAACUCUUGAUUUAAGUGAAACCAAAAUGAAGAACAACUUCUUGUUACAUUUGGGUGGCCUUCAUCUUUAAUUAACAACUUUAAUUCUUCAGCGAAAUGAUUUAGAAGGAACUAUAUAUUCCUCUUCAGGGUAAGAUUCCAUAACUGUUUCCUUUAAAAAACAUUGGACUAAGGUGAAGCUGUCAUUUAAUUGGUUUUGAAUAGAGUUGUAUAACUUAACUAAUUUGAAGAAGCUGGAUUUAAGUUAUAAUGACAUUGAGAGCAUAAGGAGUUCCAAUGGUACUUAUAUUUACAAGUAGUUAAUUACGCUUCCAUGUAUUUUAUUAGAUAUUACUAUAUCAUGCUUUGAAGUUGAAAUCAAGCCAAAAGGAAGACAACUAAUUAAGUUUGAUCAAUUUAGAAGAAAUUGAUUUGAGUGUUAAUUGGUUCAACAACAGCAAACUAGCAGACUUUACUGGGUUUUCAAAUCUAAAUUCAUUAGAUAUAAGAUGGAAUGAACUGAACGGAUCAAUAGAUGCUAAAGGUAAUAUAUAUAUAUAUAUAUAUAUAUUAUAACUUUAGGGUUAGUAUUUAGUACAUUAGUAGUAUGCUUUUUUAAUUUCACAAGCAACUUUAAAAAAUUGAUAUAUAUCUAUUUUUAAUAUUUUACUACAUCCUUCUAAGACAUUUGUAAACCUUAUGAAAUUUAAAAAUUUACCAAAUGUUUUUACCUUAAAAAAUUAGUUUAGUCUUAAAUAUAAUCUCUUGUUAAUUAUUUGAUCCGAAGCGGAAGACUAAUUUUAUUUGUGAUUUUCCUAGAAUUUUGUGGCUUGAGCAAUAUAGAGAUCCUAUACCUGAGUGGGAAAUAAGGUGAACCAAUUUUUUACUUCUAAAGGUUCGUAUUAAAAUUAAUACGUAGCAAAAGUAAUAUUAUUGCUAUAGAAAAUUUCAUAACUCGAAAUUCGACUUGUCUUGUGACUUGAAAUCUGACCCGUAUCUGACACUCUCGCGAUCUUGCAAGGUGAACACGAAGGAAUGUCUUGCGAGCCAGACAUGCGAAUACUCCUCACAACCUUACGAGGCGGGACCAGGAACACGUAUAAUGAUAUUUGAGUGCGAAUCCUGUCAAAAAGACACGUCUAGGAUACGUGCCGAAUCUAAAGGGAGACAUGUCAUCCUGAGUUAUAUGCAUGGCACCUAACUACCCCAACAUGUUAUAUCAAGAAUGGUGCCUUAUAAGGAAGAACCACUCCCUAGAAGGGGCAGAGAAACAAACCUCAACUAUUAUAUAUAUGGUUUUUUCCAAAUACUUCCAUUAAUGAAGAGAAAUGAAACUAACUACAUUUUAGUUGCAGGAAAUAUAUUAUGUUUGAGGAAGUUAAAGACCCUCUACUUAAGAAAGAGUUAUUAUUUUAACAAAGCUGUGGCUAAUAACUAUAUACAUAAAUAGCAAAUAAUAGAGAAAAAAAUCAAUUAUAAAGAGAAUUGUUGUCUCUUUUUCUAAGUAUAGAAAGAACUAACAUGAAAUAUAAAUAAAUAAAUACAUCUCACAUACUAAGUAUUCAAAUUUACUUCUCUUUCGUAAUUUAUUUUAUCACAAAAAUAUUCUACACUUCAGUGUACUCACACGAAAUUAAAUCAAAAUCAAAUAGUUAAACCUUUAAAUCUCAAAACACAAAAAGUAGUUACGAUUUAUACAAUUCUACUUCUCAUAUCAUGUUUAUAUAUUUUACAUUUUGCAUAAAUCUUUCUAGGUUCUAAAAAAGGAAAUAUAAAUUUUGGCUUCUAAAUUUGACAAUUAGGUUCAUUUGGUAUUUGUACAUUUUUUGGAUCCAUUUUGGCUCUUGAAUUUUGUAACUAAGUCCAUUUUGAUCCCUGAACUUGAAAAAUAUAAAAAUUUGGUGAUAUGGUAUGGUACAACUUUAAAGUGUCAUAUUCAAUGUUUUAAUAUUCGGAUCGGUUGUUGAACAAGUUAGACCAUCGAUUCUCGAUUCAACCGUCGAACCAAAAAUAAUUAAAUAAAUAAUUAAAAUUCCAUAGAAAUCUAAAAGAAUUUAAAAAAUAAAAAAUAUUUCUAAACCAGUUCAACUGUCAAUUUUUGUUUUUGUUUUUUAUUUUUUACUAAUUUCAAGCAGUUUUCGAGUCAAUUAGUUUCUACCCCUUUUUCAGAUCAUUAUAUUGAUCAGUCCUCGGUCCAACCGGUCCAGUCCUAUUCUAAUAAUAUUGGUCACAUCAUCAAAUCUAGACUAAAUCCAAGUUCAUAGACCAAAAUGGAUUUAGUUGUCAAGUUCAAGAUAAAAUGGUCCCAAAAAAAAUACAUGUAUUAAGGUGGAUCUAAUUGCCAAAUUCAAGGGCUAAAAAUUAUAUUAUCCCUUCUAAAACCAUAAGAUCUCACAUUUAUCAUUAUCCAUUACUCUUUUCAAAAUUUAAAAUUUAAUCUCUAUAGUUUAAUUUUGAGACGUUAAGUCUUUAUCUUUUAUUUAUUUAAAAGUCUUGGGCCCACCAUCCAAUAUUAUCGUAAGAAUUAUUGAUGCAAAUUAUAAAAAAAAAAAGGAAAAAUAAAAAUUUUUAGCCAUGAAAGCACAGUUUUUAUUAAUUUAGUCCUGUAUACAUUAUAAAAAUAGACAACAUUUUAUUUUUAGCCAUCAAAUCUUAUUUAAUAUGGGCUAAGUGAAUGGUCCAUGCUGUGGAGAAAUCUUAUUACCAUUUAAAGAGUAAAUAAUAUAUUUUUUUAAAAUUUUUGAAGCAUUUUAUAUUUUCAUAAAUGAUUUUUUGACUUUCAAAAAACCAUUUCGUAAUUUUUGGAUUUUUAUAAGAGAAAUAUUAUUUAAAUUUUUUAUUGGGAAUACAAAGAAAAUUAAAAUUUUAUAAUUUUUAUGUAAUUUUAAAAAGUAAGGUCCAAAUAAAAAAAAACCCAUAACCAUUGAAAAUUAAAUAAAUGUUUUAUUUUUUUAUAAUUGUCAUCAUCAACAAUAUUUGUUUUUAUAAUUAUCUCAUCAACAAAACCAAAGUUCUUAAAAUUAAAAUAUAUUGGAAGUCAAUGUCUCAAUUUAUAUGGAUUAAAUUUAAGUUUGUUAAACUAUAGCAAAUAAUAAAAAAAGUGCAAGACAACAAAUAACAAGAAUAGCAUUUUCUAUGAAAGAGCAAUACUAUCAAAUUAAUGCUUAUCAUGCAUGAAGAUAACUAGGGUUUUUAUACAUGUCAAUAAAGUCCGCUAACGGUAGCCACAAUUGCAUAAUCGUUUUAACUGAACCUUAAUAACCUUAACAGCUCUACUGAUCUAAUACUCUAACAUUCUUCUAGUUUUCUGAUUUGAGUUGAAACUUGACAACUUCAACUAGAGAUAAAACUCAAAGAGCACUGCGAAAUGAAGCAAACUAUUUUGGUGCAAUCGAUUUUGUGAGAACAUCAACCACUUGUUUUGCUGAAGGCACCAAGUUAACCUGAAGUAUACUGUCAAGCACUUUCUAUGAACAAAAUGGUGAUCGAUUUCCACAUGCUUCACCUUAACAUGAUGUGUGGGAUUUCUUGGCAAUGAGACCGUAGACGUGUUGUCACACCAUAUUAUUGGUGAUUGACGAACUACCACUCCAACUUCAUCCAAGAGUUGCUUUAUGUAACAUCCCAAAAAUUGAGUUAGAAGAAAUUGGGUUAACGAAACCAAGCGUAGUUAUGUCUUGAUUUUGAGUUAGGAUUUUGAAAACUUUGCAAAGUAAAUUGAUUUAGUUUAGUGGUUAAGUGCUUUGGAGAUGUGCUUGAGGUCCUGUGUUCAAAUCUCAUCCUUGAAAUUUUUGCUAUUUUUGCCUUAACCUUUAUCCUUAAUCAUCUGGCAGAAAUUCUAUUUUCGAUCAACUAAUGUUAACAAUAAGUCUAGUGGUUCAGUGGUUAAGCUUCUUUGUACUUUCUACUCUUAUGUUCAAGUUCUUGCAAAAGCAAUAAGAAAAAUGUUUUUUUCGAAACCAUUUUUUGAUAAAAGGGGUUGACUUUUUAUCUAAAAACGAAAAUGGAGUCGCCACUAAUUCUUUUUAUUUAGGUGUGAUCGGACCACCUCAUAAUGUAAUCAUUUUAGUAAAAAUUUAAAUUUAUUAAAACGGUAAUUUUUGGUCAACAAAAAUCCAAAAAACGGGUUCAGGAGUCGGUUAUGCACGAGGAAGGAUUAACACCCUCGAUGCGCCCAAAAUUGGUACCUAGUUGAUUACUUAAUGUCUUGUUGUCGAAAAUCGAAAACUCGAAAAGAAUUUAAAAUACGAUCCCUCUUUAUAUCGUGUUAUUUUUAAUUAAAAUUACUCGAAUAAAUCAAAAUGUGUAAAAUACCUCCUUAUCUUGAAGUAACAAAAUGUCACAUCCGUAAGUUAGGACAUGACACAUCGUAUUUUUGAGAAUAAACUUGCCUUUUAUUUUUUAUUUAAACCUCAUUUAUUUUAAUUUUAAAAGGAUAUUCAGUUAUUUAGGUUCAACGUGAGAAAAAUUGAAACCCAAUAAGUUAGGGCACGACUUCUCGAAUUUCCAAAUACAAAAUAUUGCCUUAAUUUUAAAAUUUCUUUUAUGCAUCUCAUGAAAGUUAACGUCACAUUUAAAUUAGUAUUCUAGUUUAUUCGGGUAUGGUGUAAAAACGGACAAAUAUUUCGAAUGUAACAUUUAACACGAGUAUUAACACAAUAACGGAUAAAAAGGAUGACAUAAUAUGUCAAAUAAACGAAAAUAUUAUGCUGGUAAAUGAUAGUAAUGGAUAACAAUUAUGACAUAAAUAAAUAAAAAUUUAAUAAUAAUAAUUAUACUAGUAACUAUCUUAAUACUAGCAUAGAUGAUGAUGAUGAUGAUGAUGAUGAUGAUGAUGAUGAUGAUGAUGAUGAUGAUGAUGAUAAUAAUAAUAAUAAUAAUAAUAUGUGUACAAGUAAAAAAAAAUCUAAUUUUUUAAAAGUAUAUAUAAAAAGGGUAAUAAAUAAAUAGAUGAGUAAAUGAUAAUAAAAUAAUAAUAGAUGAUAAAAUAGUAAAUAUAAUGAAAACGUAAAAAUAAAUAAAUAAAUAAUCGAUAAAAGAAAAUAAAAUGUUAACAAAAAAAGAAUACAAGGAUUAAAACGUAAAAAAAAUGAAUGAAUAAAUAAACAAUAUAUAAAUAGAUAAGUAAAUGAGCAAUCAAAUGAAUAAAAUAAAGGGAAUAGUUAAUAAAUAAACAAGUAAACCAAUAAAUGAAUAAAUAAAGAAUUAAAAAAAAGGGCUUAAUUGUAACUUAGAUGAAAUUAAAAGGACAUAUUGAAUAAAAUAAAAAAACAAAAGGGCUAAAAUGUAAUGCGCGAAAAAGAACUAGGGGUAAACGUGAAAUUAUCCCUGAUUCCUUAGGCGCGUCGUUUCAGCGCGGGCUAGAAUGAAAUGCGUAGAAAAUUAUGCGGCAAAAUUAAAGAAACAAAUGGGACCAGAUUGCACUAUGGCGCAAAAGCGGAGGGACCUCACGCGCAAAUAGCCCCUUUACCACAUAAACACGCGGAUCCUGAGGGUGGACGGGUCGGGUCGCAAGUCAGUUGCAAAACGGCGUCGUUUUGACACCUGACCUCCAGUUGCAAAACGGCGCCGUUUGGUGUCUUUAUUUAACCAAAAUUAUUUUUCUGAAAAUCUAAAAUUUUUUAAUGUUUUAAAAAAACUCUCAAAAUCUCCAUUUUCUCUCUCCACCCUACGUCCUGCCUAUGGGCUUCUGACUAAAAUCCACCAUAGCCCCUCUACAAGUGAUGGUCAAAACCACUAAAACAUCAGAUUUUUAACCCAUUUUAAAGCUCGAUCGAAGGCCCAGCCUUCGUGUCCCAAAAUACCGAAGGAGAAGGGUAUUCCUCGUCUUCCCUCGGUCUGACUCCGGCGACGGGCUCACGGAACAAACAGGUGUGGCCCUUUUCCCCUUUUUAUUUCUUAUUUAUUAUAUGUAGAAAAAGAGGAUAAAAAUAAAAUAAAAUGAACAGAAGGCAAUAAAAAUCGAAUCUGAAAUGAAAAUAUAAUCACCUAUCAGAAUCGUUUUUUGUUUUUUUAUUUCUUAAUGUUCCCCUUUUUAUUUAUUUGAUCUGGCUUUUAUAGCCGAAAAUAAAACAGUUACUACUGUUUAUUCCCUUUUUUUUGCUGCUUCUAUUUUUUUUGUGUUUGUUUGCAGGUCUUGGUGAGGUAAGUCAGAGGAAUAGACUCUGGCCUUUGCCAUUUUGGUGCAAUGGUCAGGCCUCAGGCGGUGAACGUGCUGCAAAGGCACAUAGAGGCAACAGAGCGGUUGAGUGCUAGGGUUUAGGAUUUUCUUUUAGCUUUUGGUUUGGGUUUUGGGCUGAAUCUGGAUUGGGUUUGUUUUUGGGUCUGUUUGGGUUAGGUUUAGUUUGGUGGUUUUGGUUGGUUUGAAUUUGGGUUGGGUCUUGUUGUUUGGGUUUUGGGCCCCGGGCAAAAUGGCCUACAACAACUGCCCCUCUUUGCUCAUUAUCAUGUAACCGGAAUGAAGCAAAGACUUUGGAAGGGCCAAUUUUGCCCGGUUUCACCGAGUCUUGACUUCAUUUGGUGCUUCUCUUUUCAAGUAGCUUAGUUCUAACCCACUGCCACUUCAGGGAAAUAGGAUCGUUAGUCUGCUCCACUGCAACUUCAGGGAGAUAAGACUCGUAACUUCAACCUGCCCACUACAAUUUCAAGGAGAUAAGGUUUAUAGCUUUAAUCUGCUCUACUAUAACUUUAGAGAGAUAAGAUUCGCUAUCUUCCAAGAGAUAAUAUUUGCUUUAUUCAAUCUGCUCCACUACAAUUUUAAGGAGUUCAGAUUUGUAACUUAUAGCCUUAAUCUAUUCCACUGUAACUUCAAAGAAAUAAGAUCGUUAGUCUGCUCCACUUCAACUUCAGGGAAAUAAGACUCGUAACUCCCCCACUACAACUUUAGGGAUAUAAGGUUUAUAGCUUUAAUCUGCCCUACUACAACUUUAGAGAGAAAAGAUUCGCUAUAUUCCAAAAGAUAAAAUUUGCUUUAUUCAAUCUGCUCCACUGCAAUUUCAGGAAGUUCAGAUUUGUAACUUAUAGCCUUAAUCUGUUCCACUGUAACUUCAAGGUUGAUGCUCCAAGAUGUAGCAUCCUUCUUUAUUGCUAAUUCAGGCAUAGUAAGACUAUUGCAUGCCCACACCUUUGAUCAAAAUUUGAAUUGCCCUUUUCUUGGGUAUUCAAUUCAAAACCCCUUUGGUCUUAAGGCGCAAUUUGCGGGUUUUCACCUUGGCCUCUCCUUUUUCUUUUUCUUUUCUUUUCCUUAUUUUUCCUUAUUUUUUUCUUAUUUUUUCUUAUUUUUCUUUUAUGAAACAUUCUUUGAUUGAAUCCGAACUCACAAGAUUAGGCAAGUCCUUGUUAUCCCUUCCGGUCAAAAUCAACGCUUCUCCAGAUAAGACCUUCUACAUAAGGUCCUUCUCAGUUUGGCAUCCACUUUCUUUUGAAGUCCUUUUUGUAUAGGGAAGAUCUUCUUCGAUACUAGGUCCCCCUCAUGGAAUUCUUUGGGGUGAACCUUUUUGGUGAUCUUGCAUCAUUUGUUUUUGGUACAUUUGACCAUAACGAAUAACUUUGAACUUUACUCUUCAAUCGGGAUCAGAUCCAAAAAACUAGGAGAGAAAGAAUCUUGACUUCAAUGGGCAACACCAUGAUAAGCCAAGGUGUUGCCCCGAAAGAGGUUUUUUUUUGCGUCAUUCAUUUUGGGGCAACAUGAUGUUAAUCUUGAACAGACUGCAACCUUCUGACUGUUGUUCAAAUUUAGUUCAUUGUCAGAUAUGAUCCUUUUUGCAUUCCAUACCGACAUAUGAUUUCUUUUUCAAGAAUUUGCUGACUGUCGACUUUGUGACAUCGGCAUAUUAAGCAGCUUCCACCCACUUAUUGAAGUAAUCAAUGAUCACGAAGAUUAAUCAAUGACAGCUAAACUUUUGGCGAGAUCGGUCCGAUGACAUCCAUGUCCCACAUAGAGAAAGGUCAUGGCUUCUAUUGAUUCUUUGUAAGGUAUGAUCUUGUUCUACCAUCCUUAAUAAAUUCAGGAGAUAAGCUACAUUCUCGAUCAUCUUUAAAGUCCUGAGGUUCCUCUAGACACAUAUCUUCCUCAAAAAGAGGUUCUUUGUCAAUAGCAGUGUCGCUCAUAUCAUUGAUAACUUGAGACAUGUUAUAGGAACGAAGAAAGAUGCAAAGAAUCAAAGAAUCAAAGAAUAUUUAUCUGUAGUAUGAUUAUGAAUGAAAUGGAAACAAGAAAAGAAUCUUUCCUCGAAAUGAGAAACAAAGAUGCAUUUUAUUGAAAUAAAGAUGUUAGACAUAAGCCUAUCUCACAAAAGGAUUAUUAUUGCUCCUAGGCUUAGAGCAAUAAGUGUGUUUUAGACAUUACUCUGAAUUAGGUCUAAAAAGUAUAGGGGUGUCUUCCACAGUCCCAUUGUUCAAAACAUCCCCAACAUUCCUUCUGGGCCUUUGACUUCUUCAAAGAAUUCCAACUCUUUAUUAUCCAUUAGGCUCUGCACCAAAGCUUUGAAUUCAACGCACUCUUGGAUUUCAUGGCCUUCUUUAACGUAGAACUCAUAGUAGCUCCUCAUCCAUUUUGGUCUUUUCUCCAAAUUCUGAAUGAUUAAUCCCAUGUCUAUCAUUUGUUUCAAAACCCAUUUUAGUGGGAUUUUUACUUCUGCAACAUUGGUUUUGGUUCUCUUUCCUCUGUUCUCAAUUAUCGCGUUUACCCUUGGGUCUGGAUGACUAGGUAACGAAUUUCCUGCCACAUUAGGUCUUGGCGGAUCGUCAAACUUCAUGAUGCCCAUCUUGAUGAACCUUUCAACUAAUUUUUAAAUGUAGUGUAGUUUUCAAUUGAGUGCCCUGUUAUUCCCUCGUGGUAUUCGCAUUGGGCGUUCACAUCAUACCAUUUCGGGAAUGGAGGUUGCACGGGUUCCGAGUAGAAUGGAGAUACCACAUGUGCAUCAAACAGAUUCUAAUACAAUUCUCUAUAUGUCAUUAGGAUGGGUGUAAACUGGAGUCUUUCUAUGUUUGCCUUUGAGUUGGAUUCCUGCCUUGAAGGGCCUUGAUAGCCAGUAGUCACAGCCCUUGGUUGACCUACAGUGACCUCUUUGGAAUACCCUUUAUUAUGCAUGCUCAGGUUACUCACUUCAUUUUCCUUAUUCUUUGGGGUUGAUCUUUUGAGACUUUCCCCUGCAUCUAUCUUCCCACUUCUUAUCGGGUUUUUAAUCAUCUCGUUGGACAUUACUAUAUCUGAGAAGCUCAAGGUAGCACUUCCCAACAUAUGGUUAAUGAAUAGGGCUUUCAGAGUGUUGAUGAAAAGUAUCGUGGUUUCUUUCUCCAUAAGAGGUAGUUGGACUUGUGUCGUUAGCUCUCUCCAUUUUUGGGCAUAUUGCCUGAAGCUCUCACUUUGCUUCUUUUCCAUAUUCUAUAGAGUGAUUCUAUCAGGUGUCAUGUCUGUUACAUGGCUGUAUUACUUCAUAAAAGCCUGUGCCGAGUCCUUCCAUUAGUGGAUGUUAGCACAGCUCAGCUGAUUGUACCAUUUGGCAGCCGACCCAAUCAAACUAUCUUGUAAGAAAUGAAUUAACAAUUGGUCGUUAUUAACAUAUCCAUUCAUUUUUCGGCAGAAUACUGUGAUAUGAGCCUCAGAUAAGAUUGACUAUGAGGUAUUUGUGGAGCAACCGUAAGGUUAUGAAGUGAAAGGUGAAGAAAGCAAAGUAUGUAGGUUAAGGAAAACACUCUGUGGAUUUAAAUAAGCCCUAAGAGCUUGGUUCAAUAAGAUUGAAUCAUACUUUAUCAAUGAGGGGUUUGAAAGAUGCUUAAGUGAUUACACGUUGUUUACAAAGAAGAAUUAAGAUGGAGGUAUUCUCAUAGUAAGUUUAUAUGUCGAUGAUCUUAUUUUUUUUAAAGAAUAAUGAAUAGGUGUUUGAAAAUUUCAAAAGUUUAAUGAAAAGAGAGUUUGACAUGCCUGAUCUUAGUUGCAUGAAGUAUUUCUUGGAGUGGAACUGGUGCAAAGCUUAGUAGGGAUUUUCAUAAGCCAAAUGAAGUAUGCCAAAUAGUUGCUAGAGAGAUUUGGGAUGGACCAACGUACAUCUGUAAAGAAAAAUCCCAUUGUUCUUGGGAGUGGACUCGCUAAAGAUGGCGGGACAAAUGUUAAUUUCACUGUUUACAAACAAAUGGUGGAAAGCCUUAUGUGCCUGACCGUUACAAGGCCUGGUCUUAUGUAUGUUGUAGGUUUGAUAGCUUGUUUCAUAGAGGAGCCUAUUAUUUUGUAUCAAUAAACAGUAAAGAGGGUGUUUUGAUACUUGAAGGGAACAACUGAGUUGUGAAUACUUUACAAAGAAGGAGCAGAAGAAAGAUUGCUUUCUUAUUUGGAUAGUGAUUAUGUAGGUGAUCUUGAUGGUCGCAAAAUCACCCCGGGGUAUAUUUUCAAACUAAGUUCUACAACUAUAGCGUGGAGUUCCCAAAAGCAACUAGUUGUGUCACUUGCCACCACCGAAGCAAAGUUCAUUGCUGCUGUCGCAUGUGCCUAUCAGAGUAUAUAGAUGCAACGAGUUCUUGAGAAGUUUGGGCUUAAGCAAAUUAAGUGCAUCAUAUUUUGUGAUAAUAACUCAGCCAUUCAACUCUCAAACAAUCCUGUUAUGCAUGGUAGAAGCAAGCAUAUUGAUGUGCGUUUUCACUUUUUUCGAGACUUAGCAAAUGAUGGAGUAGUAGAACUGACACACUGUGGCUCAAAGGAUCAAUUGGGUCACAUAAUGACAAAACCUUUAAGGUUAGAGUUGUUUUUAAAGAUGAGAGAGCACUUGGUAUCUGCAGUAUUCAAAGUUUAAAUUGACUGUAUGGUAACAACUCAAUUUCAGGGAGGAAUUGUUAGGAACUUGGUCAAUCUGACUAAGGCUUGCUUGUUCAUUUAAUGUUUGCUAUCUCUGAUUCUAUUCCUUGAUUUUAGCCAUGAUACUUGCUGAGUAAAUCAUGGAUGCAUUUUUUAUUUUUGUUUUGAAAUGGCUUAUAAAAGCAUCUGUUUUGUCUUUAAAUAAAUAAGCUUUUUAGCUUUCAAUAGUCUAAAUAUUGUUUUAGCUUUUGACCCUUUCUUUCCCACUAUCAAUCAUACCUUAAAUGUAUAUGUCGAAAACACUUUUUUUUAAAUAAACUUUAUUUUGAAAACGAGAAUGGGAGUCGCCACCAAUCCUUUUUAAGAGGUGUGAUCGGGUCACCUUGUAAUUCGAUCAUUUUAAUAAAAGGUUUGAUUUAUUAAAAUAAUGUUUUUCAGUCUACAAAAAUCCAGAAAAUGGGUUUGGGGUCGGCUACGCACGAUGAAGGAUUAGCACCCUCGUAACGCCCAAAAUUGGUACCUAGUUGAUUAAUUAAUGUCUUAGUGUUGAAAAUUAAAAUUUUGAAAGGAUUUAAAAUACGACCCCUUAUUAAAACAUUACUUAACUAAAUCAAUUUUCGUGAAAAUGAGUUAUUUCAAGUUAAUCGAGAAGGAAGGAUCGUGUCCCGUAAGUUAGGAUAUAAUGCCUUAAAUCCCUAAAAACGACAAUAAAUGCUAAAAAAUAUUUUAAAAUAUAUUUGAUUAUCUCGGUUUUAGAAAGAAAACAUAUUUCGUAAGUUAGGAACGCAACUUUUCAAAUUCCAAAAUAAUGAACGUCGUUUCGAUUUAAAAUUUUCGUUUUUAUUCAUCUUGCAAAAAACGAACAUGAUGCUUAUAGAGACGGGCAUUUUAACUUAUUCGAGCAUAAUAUACAAAUGAAUAGAUACUUAAGCCUAAUGUAUGAUAUAACGAUAAUGAGGUAGUUUAAAAUGAUUAUAUGAGUAGAACACUUAUAUUAGAAUAAUAAAUAACAAAUAAAUGGACAAAUACUAUGGUAAUAAUAAUAUGAAAUAGCAAUAGUAAGAAAUUUAAUUUCUGGCAUUAACGACAAAGUAACUCGAAAAUAAAAAAUGAAAACGAAGGGUGCUUAAUGAAAAGGAAGUGAAAAUAAUAUUAAAUCUAAAUAUUUAAAAAGUACAAGAAUAAUAAAUAAGUAAAUCGAUAAAACGAUUAUACAUAAUAUAAAAUUUAAGUAUUUUAGAAGUAAGAAUGAUAAAUAAAUAAAUGAAUAAAAAUUGAUAAAACAGAUAUAAACAAUACUACAUUUAGGUAUUUGGGAAGUAAACGAAUAGUAAGCAAAUAAAUAUAUAUAAAAAGUAAAAAAUAAUAUUAAAUUUAAGUGUUUUUUAAAAAAUAAAGAAUAAUAAAUAAAUCAAUCUAUAUAAAAAAUAUGGAUAAUAUGAAUUUUAAAAUAAAAAAGGCAAUACUAAUAACCAAAUAAAUAAUAAAAUAAUAAAAUAAAACAAAAACGGUACAAAGCUAAAUUAAACAAAUAAAGGAUUUAUUUGAAGUUUAAGUGAAAUUAAAGGGUACAAAUUGUAAAUGAUAAAAAAUAGGCUGACAAGGAUCAAAAUACAACACGCUAAAAAUAAUAGGGACUUAAAGGGAAAAUAUCCCUGGUCCUUAUACACGCAGUUUCACGAUGGACUGAAGUGAAACAAAACAAAACUCGUAGGAUAAAAUUAAAAACAAAAGUAAAAAAGGCGAAAUUAAGACUAGAUUAAAACAACCCAAAAGGGCAGAAGGACUAGGAAUGCAGAUAUCCGUUCCAAGCAAAAACACGCGGAUCUUAGGUUGGAUCAGGUCUGGUCGGGUCGGAUCAAAUUGCAUCAAAACAACACUGUUCCUGGCGUUCGCUUUUAAAAACGGUCUAGGGACCAAAUUGAAACAAAAAUAAAAAUACAUGGAAAAAUUAAAAAAUAAAAAAUAGAUAGGCCCCGGUUGAAAGAAUCUGCAAAAGCGGAAGGAUUAAAGGUGCAAGUAGCCCCUUUGUCCAAAAACAUGCGGAUCUCAAGGAUCCUAGGUCAGAUCUCGGAUCAAAGGCCAAAACGACGCCAUUUUGGGGCUAUUGACAACGUCGUUUAAAGUAGGCUAUAUAAGUUAAUUUUUUUUAAAAAUUUUCAUUCAGCCUUCACUUUUUUUUCUAAAAAAAAAAUCUGAGAAGCUCUCUCAAUCCUCUCGCCCUCUCCGAGCUCUGGUCAUCGGGCCAUUGUUCGUCCGCCGUAUACGGCGACCGAAGUUCAAAAAAAGGCCUUUUCAGCCAUUUUAAUCUCCCUAACCCCGAUCUAAGAUCAAAGUACCUAAAAAGCCCUCUAAAAUUAAGAAAAAAAUAAAGAAACCUUUCGAUUCCGUCCUUUCCAAUCGCAAGAAAAGUAAAAAAAUAUUGUAUUUUUGAAUAUAUACGUAAUUGUGUAUGAUAUAUUUGAAAUAAACAUGCGACAAAAAAAAUGAAAAUAUACCUCUAUAAUAAAGCUAUAAUAUUUUUAAUAUUUCUUUCUCUUUUGAUUUUUCCCUUUUUUGUGUAUUUUAUUCGUCCAAAAUUACAAACUGCUAGUGGUGGCUGUUAUAGCCAGUUUACAUGUUGUAUUUGCUAUUUUUUUUGCUUGCUUUCAUUUCUGAUACUUUCUCUCUUGCUAUUUCUGUGUCUGUCUUUUUGUGGCCUUGUUUACAGUCUUGGCGAGGUUAACGGAGAUGAGAGAAGGGCUGUCGUUGCCGUUUUGGUGCAAUGGCGGCAGGGGCAUCAGGCCUCGGGAUGAGGUGCCUCGGGCUGCAUGAGAGGAGCGGUUACUAGGGUUUUUAGUUUUACUGAAAAUAGUUUAGGUUGUGGGCUAUUUGAGCUUUAGGGUUUUGUAUUAUUUGGGUUUGUAAAUUUUGGGCUUUCCUGCCUUAUAAAUGGGCUUUGGACUUUAAUGGAUUUAUUAUUUUUUGUUUUUAUUUUUGUUUGUAGCGAGUCGGGUAGAAUUGGCCUAUUACAACUGCCCCUCUUUGCUCAUUGUUGUGUAAUAGGAAUGGAGCAAAAACUUUAAAAAGAGUCAAUUUUGCCUGGUCUUGCUGAAUCUCGACUUCUUUGAUGCUUCUAUUAUUCAAGUAGCCUCAUUCUAACCCAUUGCAACUUCAGGGGUAUAGGAAAUGUAAUUUGAACCUACUCCACUGCAACUUCAGGGAGAUAAGAUUUGUAUCUUUAAUCUGCCCCACUAUAACUUCAGGGAGAUAAGAUUUUUAGCUUCAAUUUGUUCCACUGCAACUUCAGGGAGAUAAGAUUUGUAGCUUCAACCUGCUCCACUGCAACUUUAGGGAGAUAAGCUUUGUAGCUUUAAUCUGCUCCACUGUAACUUCAGGGAGAUAAGAUUUUUAGCUUCAAUUUGUUCCAUUGCAACUUCAGGGAGAUAAGAUUUGUAGCUUCAACCCGCUCCAUUGUAACUUUAGGGAGAUGAGGUUUGUAACUUGUAGCUUUAAUCUGUUCCAUUGCAACUUUAGGGAAAUAAGAUUUGCUAUCUUCAAUCUGCUCCACUGCAACUUUAGGGAAAUAAGAUUUGUAGCUUUAAUCUGAUCCACUGCAACUUCAGGGAGAUAAGUUUUAAAACUUUAAUCUGCUCUACUGCAACUUCAGAGAGAUAAGAUUUGCUAUCUUCAGUCUGCUCCACUGCAACUUUAGGGAGAUAAGACUUGUAUCUUCAAUCUGCCCCACUACAACUUCAGGGGGAUCCGAUUGUAAUUUGUAGCCUUAAUCUGUUCCACUGCAACUUUAAGGAAAUAAGAUUCACUAUAUUUAGUCUGCUCCAUUGCAACUUUAGGGAGAUAAAACUCAUAACUUAAACCUGCCUCACUGCAACUUAAAGGGGAUCCGAUUUGUAUUUUGUAGCCUUGAUAUGUUCCACCGCAACUUCAGGGAAAUAAGAUUCACUAUCUUCCGUCUGCUCCAUUGCAACUUCAGGGAUAUAAGACUUGUAACUUCAACCUGCCCUACUGUAACUUCAGGGAGAUAAGGUUUAUAGCUUUAAUCUACUCUAAUACAACUUCAGGGAGAUAAGAUUUGCUAUCUUCAGUUUGCUCCACUACAACUUUAGGGAGAUAAAAUUCGUCAUGAUGACUAUAAUCCAUCCCACUGCAACUUCAGGGGUAUAGGAUUUGUGGUUUCAAUAAUCUGUUCUCUGGGGAACAUGACCUGUAGAAUCUAUUUCAUUGACAUAUUUAUGCCUAGUGAUUAGGAUGUUAUGAUCAGAAUGAAUCAAAUGCUCCUAACUAGAUGUGUAUGAAUGAUAUUUGCAUGAGUGCAGAUUGUCAUUUUUUGAGAAUGAUCCCUUUUUAAUGCUUAGGUUGUCAUUACUCGUUGUUCAUCAAGGUUCUAUCACUGAUGUGUUACCAUACCUUCUUGUUCAGCUAGUAUCUUUAACAGAAAAUCCAAAGAAAUAGUCACAAUUUAGACUAUUCUUUCUCAAAUGUUUCCAACCCUUAAGUUUGGUUAGUUCUGAGUAAUGGUUCUAUUUUCAGAUCCUUGUACUAUUUAGAAAACUUUUUAGAGCAAUAUGCAGAACUCCUUUUACUUGAAUAUUAUUAGUACAUUAAUCAUUUUUUCAAUGUAAAAAUGCUUGAAAAAGAUUAUCGUAAUGGACAAAAGGAAUUUUAUUGAGAAUAAAGCUUGAAAUAGAUAAACUGAUCAAAGAUAGCAAACAUUGAUAAAAUACAAAGUGGAUAAGAUGAAAAUAGGUGCUCUAGAUAUCGUAGUAUGAGCUUCUUUGCACUAUCUUUUCGAGGGCCCUUUUGAACUUGAUAUGUGUUUCAGAGAUCCAAAAUAAUUUGUUGAUGCCCCAAGAUGUAAUGUCUCUCUUUCUUGUUAAUUCUGAUAGGAUAGGAUUUCCAUAUGGCCCACCUUUGAUUAAAAUUUGAAUUGCCCUUUUCUGGUUUUCAACUCAAAACCCAUUUGGUCUUAAGGCACCCUUUGCGGGUUUUCAUCUUGGCCUCUCCACUCUUUUUUUAUUUAGGUGAAAUACUUCUUGACUGAAUCUGAAUUCAUGGGAUUGGGCAAGUUCUUGCCAUCCAUCUCAGUCAAAAUCAGCGUUCCUCCAGAAAAUGCCUUCUUUACCACGUAAGGUCCUUCCCAUUUUGGCAUCCAUUUUCCUCUGAGAUCCUUUUGUAUGGGUAGGAUCUUUUUCAAUACUAGGUCCCCCUCAUGGAAUUCUCUGGGACGAAGCUUUUUGUUGUAAGCUCGCAUCAUUCACUUUUGGUACAUCUUACCACGAUAGAUGGCUUUCAAUCUUUUCUCUUCAAUCAAGUUUAGCUGAUUAUAUCGGGAUUGAAUCCAUUCUGCAUCAUCCAAUUUCAAUUCUACCAAAACUCGAAAAGAAGGAAUCUCAACUUCAAUGGGUAAAAUCGCCUCCAUUCCAUAAACUAGAGAGAAAGGCGUUGCCCCAGUUGAGUUCCUGAUAGAUGUUUGAUAAGCAUAGAGGGCAAAUGGUAACUUCUUAUGCCAAUCUUUAUAAGUCUCAGUCAUUUUCCCCACUAUCUUCUUAAUGUUCUUAUUGGCUGCCUUCACUGUACGAUUCAUUUUUGGGCGAUAUGGUGAUGAGUUGUGCUGUUUGAUCUUGAAUUGACUACAGACUUCCGUUAUCGUACUAUUGUUCAAGUUCAAUGCAUUGUCAAAUAUGAUCCUUUCUGGCAUCGCAUACCGACAUAUGAUUUCUUUCUUCAAGAAUUUGCUAACUGUCAAUUUCGUGACAUUAGCGUAAGAAGUAUCCUCUACCCACUUAGUGAAGUAAUCGAUGACCACAAAGAUAAAUUGAUGCCCAUUAGAAGCUUUUGGUGAUAUUGGCCCAAUGACAUCCAUGCCCCACAUAGAGAAAGUCCACAGAUAAGUCAUAACAUGAAGAGACGAGUAAGGUACAUGAAUUUUAUAUCCAUAAAUUUGACACUUAUGGCACUUCUUAGCAUAACUGAUGUAAUCUCCUUCCAUAGUGGACCAAUAAUAGCCGAAUCUCAUGAUUUGCCUGGCCAUUGUAAAACUAUUGGCAUGUGUUCCGCAAACACCCUCGUAGACUUCUUCAAGAUUUUUUAGCCUCGACAAUGUCUACACAUCUUAGUAACACCUGAUCCUUUCACCUUUUAUAUAUGAUCUUCCCAUCUAAGACAUAGUCAUUGGACAGUCUUCUUAGUGUCCUUUUUUCAUUCUUAGUUGCUUGGUCAAGGUAUUCACGAUUCUUCAUGUAUCGCAGUAUAUCGUGGUACCAAGAGUGAUCGUCCUCUUCUUCUUCUUUUUCGAUGUUGUAACCAUGAGCUGGAGUCUCAUAAAUACUCAUCUGGUUAGGUUUUCUAUCCUCUUGUUUGUUCACUUUGAUUAUCGAAGCCAAGGUAGCCAAAGCGUUAGCCAUCUGAUUUUCGUCUCGUGGAAGAUAGCAGAAGGUAAUAUCAUCAAACUAUUCAAUUAACUCCAGGACCAACUCUCGAUAAUUGAUCAACUUGGGGUCUUUCGUCUCUCAUUCAUCUUUGAGUUGAUAGAUCACUAGUGCAGAAUCUCUAUAUACCUCUAGUACUUUGAUCUUACGUUCUAUGGCUGCACGGAUACCCAUGAUGCAUGCUUCGUAUUCUGCCAUAUUAUUCAUGCAAUCAAAAUCCAAUUUGCUAGUAAAUAGAUAAUGAUAUCUGUUUGAGGAUACUAGGACUACCUUGAUUCCGUUACCCACAACGUUUGAGGCUCCGUCAAAGUUUAGCUUCUAAAGAUGACCUUCUUGAGAGUCUUCUUCAGUGGUUGCCACAUACAUUAAAUCUUCAUUCGAGAAAUCAAAGUUCAAAGACUCAUAAUCUUCUAGAGCUCUACUGGCCAGAAAAUCUGCUAUUGUGCUCCCUUUUAUAGCCUUCUGAUUCACAUAGACUUAUCAAACUCGGACAGUAGAAUUUGCCAUCGGGUUAUUCUUCCAGUUAACGUAGUCGACUUUAUCAUGUAUUUUAGAGGAUCGAGUUUUGAGAUAAACCAAGUUGUGUGGUACAAGAUAUACUGUCUCAACCUUCGGGUUGUCAGAUCAAAGGACAACACAACUUCUCAAUUAGUGAAUAUCUUGUCUCACAUUAAGUGAAUUUCUUACUGAGAUAGUAUAUCACUCUUUCUUUUCUCCCUGAUUCAUCAUGUUGGCCAAGCACGCAUCCCAUGAAAUUUUCGAAUACUGCCAAGUAUAGUAUCAGCGGCUUAUCUAAGAUGGGAGGCAUCAGUAUUGGGGCAUUGGACAAGUAAUUUUUGACCUUGUCAAAAGUCUUCUGGCACUCCUUAUCCCAAACGCCUGAAUUGUGUUUCUUAAGGAGAUGGAAUAUAGGGUCGCAUUUCUCAGUUAGUUGUGAAAUGAACCGGAUGAUGUAAUUUAGUCUUCCUAAGAAACCUCGAACUUCUUUUUGAGUACGUAGUGGAGGAAAUUCUUUUAUAGCCUUGACUUUUUCUGGGUCGAUCUCGAGUCCCUUUUCACUGACUACAAAUCCUAGCAAUUUUCCCGACCUAGCCCCAAAAGUACAUUUUGCUAGAUUGAGCUUCAGUUGGAAUUUUCUCAAUCUACAUUUUUGUUGGAUUAAGCUUCAGCUAGAAUUUUCUCAAUCUACAUUUUACUGGAAUGAGCUUCAGCUGGAAUUUUCUCAAUUUCAAGAACAAUUUCCUUAAGACUUGUACAUGCUCUUUCUCUAUUGGGGAUUUUGUGAUCAUAUCAUGAACAUAAACUUCGAUUUUCUUGUGCAUCAUGUCAUGAAAAAUGGUUACCAUUGCUCUUUGGUAUGUUGCACCCUCAUUUUUCAGUCCAAAUGGCAUCACCUUAUAGCAAAAUGUUCCCCACAUGGUUAUGAAGAUGGUCUUCUCCAUAUCUUCAGGAUGCAUCUUUAUCUGAUUAUAUUUCUAGAAACAAUCCAUUAAGGAGAAUAGUGAGUAACCUACAGUAUUGUCCACCAAAGUGUUGAUAUGCGACAAUGGGAAAUUGUCUUUCGGGCUGGCUUUAUUCAAGUCCCUAUAGUCUACAUACAUCCGUACUUUACCAUCUUUUUUGGGGACGAGGAUGAUAUUGGCUACCCAUUCUGAUUAUUUAACCACGCGUAAGAAACCAGCAUCGAAUUGCUUAUUGACUUCCUUUUUUAUUUUCAGUAAAACAUUGGGCCUCAUAUUUUGGAGCUUCUAUUAAACUGGCUUGCACUAUUUCUUUAUGGGGAACUGGUGUACCACGAUAUCAAUACUUAACUUGUGCAUGCCUUGAUAUGACCAUGCGAAUACAUCAUUGAAUUCUUGGAGUAACUCAAUGAGGUCUCGCUUCAUCUCUGCGGUAAUACAAGCUCCAAUCUUCACCUCUUUUUCCCCUCCCAAGCUCACAAUUUCCACUGACUCCUUGUAAGGUAGGAUUUGUUUCUCAUCUUGUUCUACCAUCCUCAACAAAUCAAGAGAUAUGUUACAGUCUCGAUCAUAUUCAAAAUCUUGAGAAUCUUCCGUGCACUAUCUUGCUUAAAAGGAGAUUCUGAAUUAGUAGCAGCGUCGUUCAUAUUAUUGAUAUCUGGAGACCUAUUAUAAGGAUGAAGGAAAAUCCAAAUAAUAAAAUAAUCUAAGAAUAAUUACUUGUAUGGUAUGAUUAUGAAUGAAAUGAAAAGAAUAAAAGAAUAUUUGCUCAAGAUGAUACGCAAAUAUGUAUUUUAUUGAAAUAAGGAUGUUGGAUAUAAGCCUAUUUCAUAAAAGGAUUCUUAUUACUCCUAGGCUUAGAGCAAUAAGCGUGUUUUGAACAUUACUCUGAAUUAGCUCUAAAAACUACAAGAAUCUCUUCUGCAGUCCAGUUAUUCAGAACACUUUUAGGUACAUAGGGGCAGAUGUUUGAUAAAUUUUCUCCCUAAACUCCUUCUUCGGAUAUGGCGUUAAUGCCUAAACUUCCUAACAUUUCUUCCGUUGUUUCUUUUCUUGUCAUAUUCUGUUCAGGGUGAAUAGUUUCUCCUAAUAUGAAUGUUUUGGACAUAUGGGGAAAGAUCAUUAGUUCCCAUUUGACCUCUCCUUUAUUCAGUCGCACUUUUCUUCUUUCUUGUUUCUUCUCUAACUCUCUCCUUUUCUUCUUUGCAUCCGGCUUGUGUCCUAAGCCAAAAAGGUCUCAUUUGUCUUUCAGCAUUGGUGUCUUAACCCUUUCUUAUAAGUAUCUCCAGAGUUCUCUUCCUGGUAAAGCUCCUUUCUCGACCAUCAGUUACAAGCCCAUCAUUGUAGUCUUGGAUAUUUUAAGCAUUGAAAUCUUAUUCCUUUCGAUAAUGAAUGUUGCGUUGACAAAUUCCAGCAAUCGAAAGUAACAUUCUAUCGCCUCAUCGUCUACCCCUAUGUAUGGCACGUCACUGGUAACGGAUGCAAUGAUGUCUUCUUUCGUGUUUAUCAUUACCAGUCUACCCUCAGUUACCAACUUUAACUUUUGGUGCAAUAAUGACAGAACUACCCCCGCUGAGUGAAUCUAAGGCCUCCCCAACAAGCAAUUAUAAGAGGGCUUGAUGUCCAUUACUAAAAAGUCUACUUCAUACGUGUUUUGACAAAUCAAAAGAGGUAUCUUGAUCCUUCCCAUUACCUUUCUUUCAGUACCGUCGAAUGCUCUCACUAUGUUUUGGCAUGUUUUCGUAUAAGAGUAAUCCACAGGCAACCUAUUCAGUAUGGAUAAGGGUAAGACAUUCAGGGCCGAUCCAUUAUCAAUUAACACCCCUGGCAAUGUGUAUCCUUUAUAGCAAGUGGUAAUGUGCAGAGCUUUUGUAGAUCUCAUGCCUCCUAGCGGUAUUUCAUCAUUAUUAAAAAAGAUGAAAUUAUCAGUGCUUAUAUUAUUGACCAAACGAUCCAACUUGUUGACAGAGAUAUCAUCCGCGACAUAAGUUUCGUUCAACACUUUCAUCAAUGCGCUACGACGUGUCUUUGAGCUUAAGAGUAAAGCCAAUACCGAUAUGUGAGCUGGCUACUUGUGUAGUUGUUCUACAAUGCUAUACUUGUUGUGCUUUAGGAGUUUCAAGAAUUCCUUAGCCUCUUUCUCAGUUACCUGCUCAUUAACAGGUGAUUCAAGUUUGGCCGACUUCUCUUUCUUUUGUUCAACCACUAAGGAUUUUCCUUUAACAGGUUCGGUUUUUGUAUUUGGAGAAUCAUAGCGCCUUCCACUGUGCGUGUAGAAACCCAUAUCCUGACCCUUUUUUGAAGUGCUGAACGGGUUUUCUCUCCCAUGAUCGUCACGUUGCAAUCAUAAUUUCAGGGAACCUUUUUACUGUCCUUAUAGGGAAAAGCUACAGGUUUCUGAAUUAUGACCCUUGGUGCAAUUUGUGCUCCGACUUCAUUGAUUCUUGGUCUUGGGAUACUUAUCAUCGGGUGAUUGGCCCUAUAGACCUUUUCUGUCUAUCCUUUUUCUGAGGCGCACAUAUCUUUUUCUUCUGAGCCUUUAACAUAUUCAAAGAAUUCUAGCUCCUUGUUAUCCAUCAGACCUUGUAUUAGGGCCCUGAGUUUAAUGCACUCUUGGAUCUCAUGACCCUCUUCAUCAUGGAACUCAUAGUAGUCUUUUGUUUUUUCAGGUCUUUCCCCUAAAUCCUGUGUGAUUAAUCCUCCCUCUACUAUUUUCUUCCAAACCCAUCUCAGUGGGGUUUUCACUUUUACUACAUCCAUUUCAGUUCUCUUCCCUCCACUCUCAAUUAUCACAUUCAUCCCUUUAUUAGAAUGACUGGGUAACAGAUUUCCUGCCACAUUAGGUCCCGAUAGAUCAUCAAACUUCACAAUGCCCAUCUUGAUAAACCUUUCAAUUAACUUUUUAAAAGUGGUGCAGUUCUCGAUUGAGUGUCCCGUAAUUCCUACGUGGUACUCGUAUUGAGCAUUCGAGUCAUGCCAUUUAAGGAAUGGAGGUUGCAUAGGUUUCAAGUAGAAAGGGGAUACCACAUGUGCAUCGAACAAAUUUUGAUACAACUCCCUAUAUGUCAUCAGGGUAAGCGUUAACUGGAGUCUUUCUACGUUCGGCCUUGGAUUGGAUUCUUGCCUUGAAGGGCCUUGAUGACUAGUAGUUACCGUCCUUGGCUGGCUCACAGUGAUCAGCUUUGAAUAACCCUUGUUAUACAUACUCGCAUUAUUCACCUAAUUUUUCUUCUUCUUUGGAGCUAAUCAUUUGGCGUUUUCCCUUAUGUCUAUUUUCCUGCACCUUAUUGCAUUUUAUAUCAUCUUUCUAGACAUUAAUAUAUCUGAGAAGCUCUUAGUAGUGCUUCCCAACAUAUGGUUAAUGAACGGAGCCUUCAAAAAGUAUUGUUGUUUCCUUCUCUAAAAGAGGUGGUUGGACUUGCGUCGCUACCUCUCUCCAUCUUUGGGCAUAUUGUUUGAAGCUCUCACUUGGCUUCUUUUCCAUAUUUUGCAGUGUGAUUCUUUCCAGUGUCAAGUCUAUCACAUGACUAUAUUGUUUCAUAAAAGCUUGUGCCAAAUCCUUCCAUGAAUUGAUUUUGGCACUGCUCAAUUGGUUGUACCAUUUGGCUGCAGACUCGAUCAGACUGUCUUAGAAGUAGUGAAUUAAUAACUGAUCAUUAUUAAUGUAUCCUAUCAUCCUUUGACAGAAUAUUGUAAUGUGAGCUUUAGGGCAGCUAGUCCCAUUAUACUUUUCAAACUCUAAAGUUCAAAACUUUGGUGGGAGCACUAGAUUUGGGACCAAGCUCAAGUCCUUAGCAUCAAUUCCACAAUGGUAAUAGGUGUUCUCCAUUGUUCUAAACUUUUCUUCUAGCCAUCUACACCAGUCCUCGAGUUGCUUUGGUAGAUCUAUCUUCGCCUUCUCUAUUUCUACUAUAUCAUCAAGAUUAGGGACAACGAGAUUAGUUCGAUUAUCCCUUGGAUUAGAGCAUGGGCCUGUUAGGUAGUUUAUUGGUACCGAGGUACCAACCUGAUAUUGUUGGGGUCUGAUAGUAACGGGUACCCCUCGUGGGUACUCCUCCGGUUGGGUACAUUUAUCGGGGUAAAACCUGGGGAAUAGGUAGGGUCUUCAUUAUCAUCACCCGAGUUAACCAUGGUAAUCUUCCCUUUUUUGAGUCCUUUAGCCAGCAAUUGCGUCAAUUGGCUUAUCAUACUUCUUUGGGAUUCUUGCAUUUGAUCCCUCAUCUCUUAUUGAAUUUUAGCUAAUUGUUAUUGCAUCUGUGCUUGCAACUGAUCUUGCAUAUCUCUUUGCAUUUGUUCUAAUCGUUCCAAUCUCUGAUCCAUUACUUUGGUUUUGGCACAAGUACUGUAAUGAUGUUCGGUUGGUUGACUCUUGUUGGUUUCUAAAUUAACUGAAAUAAUUUCGUUUAAUUAGGGUCUUUUUCUGAAAUUUAAUGCAUAUGAUGCAAUGUAAUGCAAAUGCAUGAAAUGAAUGCAAAAAGAGGUAUUGACUCUGAUUCAAUUCUGUUAGAAUAACUUUACUAGAAAACAAAUUUCGUUACAUAAAAUGGAUUACAUAUACGACUUUGACCUAAUGCUCAAAGCCUUAACCUUCCUAAGAAGCCAAGCUAACUCUUGACCCCGAUCUGAUUCUGAUUCAAACUUUAAGCUUAGCACGUCAGCCUGAAUUGCUAAGGUUUGCAAAUGAUUAGCCACCUCUCAUAUUUGAGCUACAGCUUCACCCAUGAUAUGGUCCCUAUCUCUGACUUGACCUUGAGAAUGGUGGAGUUUCUCUUUCCAAUGCUCAUUGUUUGCUUCAAAGAGUUCAACUUGAAGUUGACAAUUUUGUAAAGCAGUCUUGAGCUCUUCUAUUUUCCUUUUCAGCUCUUCAAUCUUGCUCAAGCUCGCUUCCAACUCAAAUGUGAAGUUGCGAUUACGAUACUGAUGAAGCUACAUUUCUAACUCUGGUACCCUCGCUUUUAAUCUGACCUUUUCAUUUUGGCAUUCCAAUAGGUCUUUCUCUAGAGUAUUUUCUCAAACCUGGGCAUCUUGGUAUUUCUCUUCCCAUUGAUCGACUCUAUUCUUUUCUUCUUUGAUCUCUUGCCGCCAUUGUUCUAAUGUCUUUCCCAACCAGGCAGUCCUCAUUGAUAAGCGCAGCUUUUUGUAAUCUAUUUUUAAACUGUCCAGAUCUUCCUCGACCUUGUUCUUUCCUUUUAUUAUUUUAUCGGCCUCUAGCUUCUGAAUGUCAACAUCUAGUCCUAACUGCAUCUUUUCUUCUUCCAAUUGCUCUAUCUUCUUUCCUAGCUCCAAAUUACUCUAUUCAAAAUCUUACUUGAUGAUCUCUAGCUCAGAUGGAAUCACUUGCAGGUGUUCUUCCAAUGAUCGAGUGGUUUCUUGAUUUGGCAUAGGGAUAUUGUCAUUGACUCUUUGACCCCACCACCAACUAUAUUUGGGGGUCGUUAUCGGACUUGUAUCCAAUCUUUUCAUUCGACGGCUUUGAUUCUAGGCGUUAGAUAUUUCUCUAACAUUUUUCUUGUAGUUAUCACCCUUAUACGAAAACUCACAUUGGGCCAGCCCUUGCGUUGCUGGUAUGAAUUGCCUCGAUCUAUAUUGCCUCAACACGAAUAGAGGAGCAUAUCCAACAGCUCCUCAAAUCCCAAGUAGAGAAACCCAGUCGAAAUCUCUACACCGGUAUAGAAUCUCAUCAGGAAUCAUCCAAAAGGCUCUCCAUUUGAUGUUCUCAUCUUGGAGAUUUUGAAGUAUCUCCAUCCAUUUUUCUUCUGCAAUGUCGUCUUGCCUCGGUGUAGCCAAUAAUUCUUUUUAGGGGUGAGCAUUCUAUUGAAUCGAAUCGAGAACUUUCGAGUUAAUCGAGUUUUUGAAUCUCAUUUAAUCAUCCUAAAUUUAUUUGAAGUUUUCUCGAAUCGAGUCGAGUGAGAUGGAAUUCGAAUCGAAUCGAAUCGAAUAUAUUUGUUCGAGUUGAAUUUUAAAAAAUAAUUUUGGGUCCUUGUAACCACUGUCACCCAUCGUAAUAAAAUUUGUCCACCUUAAUCUAAUUUUUUAUUAACUUUCAUCACCUCAUAAUUUAUUUAUUAAUUUUUAUAUACUGGUUAGUUUCUUUGCUUACUUAGUUGUUUCAAUUAUCUUCAGAUUCUUGUCACUAUGUAUUUUGGAAUUAAAAAAUAUAUUAAAUGUAAAAUAUGAUUUUUUAAUAAAAGUUAUUUUAAAAAUAAAAUGUGAAAUUGAUACCAAUAUAAAAUUUUAACACAAAUAUUUUAUGGCAUAAUUAAUAAUUCAAUUUUAAUAUAAAUAUUCAAUAUGACUAAACAAUUCAAUAAUAUAAAUAAUAUAAAAUGUGAAAUUUAAUUUAAUAAUAUAAAUAGUAGAUAUAAAUAAAAUUAUUACUAUUUAUGUUUAGUGAUUUGUUUUGGAUAAUUUUGAUUUUUUAUUUGAGAGUAAAGGGUGAGAAGUAAAAGUUUAGGGGGAAAAUAAAAAGUUUUGGGGAAUAAAAGUUUGAGAGAAAGUAAAUAGGGGGAGUAAAAUUUUGGAGGGAAAAUAUUAAAAAAAAUUGGAGGGGGGAGGGUUUGGGGUAGAUGAGAGGUGGGAUGGGAAGGGAAUAAAAGUUUUAGGGGAAAAGUGGGAGGGAGUAAAAAUUUUGGGGGAAAAUAAAAUGUUUUGAGGGUUUUUGGGAGUAAAAUUUUGAGAAAAGGUAAAUGGGAGAGUAAAAUUUUUGUGGGAAAUGGAUUUUGGGUAGAUUGGGGGGAUGGGAGGUGAGGAGAGUAAAAGUUUUGGGGGAAAGUGGGAAGGAGUAAAAGUUUUGAGGGAAAAGUAAAAAGAUUUGAGAGUUUGAGGUAAAAAUGUAAAAUAUUAUAGUUUGAUAUUCGAAUUAUUCGAAUUGUUCGAGUUAUUCUAAUUUGAAAACUCAACUCAAUUUGAACUCAAAAUUUGAAAAAAAAAUUCGAGUUGAUUCGAAUAACUCGAUUAACUCGAAUAACUUGAUUCGUUUAACUCGAAAUUUGAAUUUUUUUCAAUUUUUUUCGAGUCGAAUCGAGUUAUGCUCACCCCUAAUUCUUUUAAUGAAAAGUAAUUCUCAGAAAAUACUCGAUAAGAAACUUUUUCUACCCUCCAAAAGUGAGUAUAAAACCAUGCCAACAAGAGUUGCGCACAUCCGGUAAUCUUCCUUCACCCGCUCUCCAGCAUGCAUUCAAGGAUCUGAAUGUUUUGGUCAAAAUUGCAGAGACGGGCGUGACCCUUUUAUCAAGUCUGUCGAGCAAAUCCGAAACUACCUCAUCCACGUGCCCUAGUACUUUAGGAAAAACAAUCAGCUCGUAAAUGCUCAAAGCGAAGACAUCAACCCCUUUUUUUCAUAUCUGGGUGUGCUAAGAUCAAAUCUCGAAAACUAUUCCAAGGGCUACAUUUACCAUCCCCUUUUGCUUGAUCCGGGCUGCAACCCAUUUCUCACUCAUCCCCAUAAUGUUCAUUAGUUUCUUUUGGGGAACGAAGUAAGGUCGUGUAUUCUUCCACAGUAGGUACCAAAUCCACUUUUCCAAAAGUAAAGUAGCUGUAGGCGGGAUUCCAAAAUUUAGCCAAGGCUCGAAACAAGUGCUUGUCCACUUUGAUGUCGAGUAGAUAAGGUCACGCUGAUACGAGUGAAGUCCUACAAUUCUAAUACGUAACCCUCCGUCAGACUAUCACCUUUCUCUAGUCGCGUUUUCUCAAACCAUAUUUGGACAGGCGCAUUAUCCUCCACUUUAUCAAGAAACCCAUUUUCCAUGAUAAGCUCUCUAUUUAGAUACUGAACGUGAAUCAACACCCUUUUUUAUGAUGAAAAUGUCAUGCAAUCAUAGUCAAAGUAAAACAGCAAGUCAAUAUUAAACACAAAGCUAGAAUUCAAAGCAAAUGAGAAAUAAUAAAUAAAACACCUAUUCGGGUGACUACUAGGGUUUGGCAUGGUUCUACCUAGGGUAGGCUCCUAGGGCUCACAAUAUGCGGUUUGGUUUUAAAGCAAAGAUACCUGAAUCGGUAGAUUCCUCGAUCCUCACCCAUUAUAGGCUCAUGUGGACCGAGUUCAGUUCAGGGGAAUACAUUUCCCUAUGGCUAUACGAAGAUGAAAAUCUUAUGAAAAAAUAUGUAGAAACAUACUAAGAGACUUGAACCAAAAAGCAAACAUAUUAUUAUGUAGCAAAAAUGAUGAAGACUACAAAAAUGAAAAAUGAAAUGCAACGAGGGGAUCGUAAAUUUAAACCAAAUUAUCAAGUUUUCGACAAAAUGACCAAAAGUAAUCAACCCGUGGCUUGACUCUCUUAUUUUUUCUCUCUAGUGGAGUCGGCAAGCUGUCGAAACCACUUUUUUUUGAAAUCGACUUUAUUUUGAAAACGAGAAUGGGAGUCGCCACCAAUCCUUUUUAAGAGGUGUGAUCGGGUCACCUUGUAAUUUGAUCAUUUUAAUAAAAGGUUUGAUUUAUUAAAAUAAUAUUUUUAGUCUACAAAAAUCCAAAAAAUGGGUUCGAGAGUCGGUUAUGCACGAGAAAGAAUUAGUACCCUCGUAACGCCCAAAAUUGGUACCUAGUUGAUUAAUUAAUUUCUUAGUGUUGAAAAUUAAAAAUUUGAAGAGAUUUAAAAUACAACCCCUUAUUAAAACAUUACUUAACUAAAUCAAUUUUCGUGAAAAGGGGUUAUUUCAGGUUAAUCGAGAAGGAAGGAUCAUGUCUCGUAAGUUAGGAUACAAUGCCUUAAAUCCCCGAAAACGAGAAUAAACGCUAAAAAUUUAUUUUAAAAUAUAUUUGAUUAUCUCGGUUUUAGGAAGGAAACAUAUUUCGUAAGUUAGGAACACAACUUUUCUAAUUCCAAAAAUAAUGAACGUCGUUUCGAUUUAAAAAUUUCCUUUUUAUUCAUCGUGCAAAAAACGAACAUGAUGCUUAUAGAGACGAGCAUUUUAACUUAUUCAAGCAUAAUAUAAAAAUGUAUAGAUACUUAAGCCUAAUGUAUGAUAUAAAGAUAAUGAGGUAGUUUAAAAUGGUUAUAUGAGUAUAACAACUAUAUUAGAAUAAUAAUAGCAAAUAAAUGGGCAAAUACUAUGGUAAUAAUAAUAUGAAAUAGCAAUAAUAAGAAAAUUAAUUUAUGGCAUUAACGACAAAGUAACUCAAAAAUAAAAAAUGAAAACGAAGGGUGCUUACUGAAAAGGAAGUGAAAAUAAUAUUAAAUCUAAAUAUUUAAAAAGUACAAGAAUAAUAAAUAAGUAAAUAAAUAAAACGAAUAUACAUAAUAUAAAAUUUAAGUAUUUUAGAAGUAAGAAUGAUAAAUAAAUAAAUGAUAAUUUAAGUAUCAAAUCGGGUCGGGUCGGGUCGAAUCAGGUUGCAUCAAAACGACACCGUUCACGGUGUUCGCCUUUAAAAACAGUCCAGGGACCAAAUUGAAACGAAAAUAAAAAUACAUGGAAAAAUUAAAAAAAUGGAUAGGCCCCUGUUAAAAGAAGCCACAAAAGCAGAAGGACUAAAGGUGCAAAUAGCCCCUUUGUCCAAAAACAUGCUGAUCUCUGGGGUCCUAGAUCGGAUCUCGGGUCAAAGGCUAAAACGACGCCGUUUUGGGGCUAUUGUAGCCAGCCCUAAACAACGUCGUUUUAAGUAGGCUAUAUAACUUAAUUUUUUUUUAAAUUUUCAUUCAGCCUUCACUUUUUUUUAAAAAAAAAAAUCUGAGAAGCUCUCUCAAUCUCUCUCGCCCUCUCCAACUCCGGUCAUCGGGCCACCGUCCGUCCACCAUAUAUGCCUGCCAGAGUUCAAAAAAGGGGCCUUUUCGGCCAUUUUAAUCUCCCUAACCCCGAUCUAAGAUCUAAGUACCCAAAAAGCCUUCUAAAAUUAAAACAAAGAAACCUUUCAGUUCCGUCUUCUCUGAUCGCAAGAAAGGUAAAAACUAUUGUAUUUUUGAAUAUAUACGUGUCUGUGUAUGAUAUAUUUGAAAUAAACAUGCAACAAAAAAGAUGAAAAUAUACCUCUAUAAGAAAGCUAUAGUAUAUAUUUUUAAUAUUUCUUUCUCUUUUGAUGUUUUCUCUUUUUUCGUGUAUUUCUUUCAUUCAAAAUUACAAACUGGUAGUGGUGGCUUUUAUAGCCAGUUUACAUGUUGUAUUUGCUAUUUUUUUUGCUUGCUUUCGUUUCUGAUAUUGUCUCUCUUGCUGUUUCUGUGUCUGUCCAUUUUUUUAAAUUUUUUUUGCCUUGUUUGCAGGUGUUGGCGAGGUGAACGGAGAGGAGAAAAGGGCUGCCUUUGCCGUUUGGUGCAAUGGCAGCAGGGGCAUUAGGCCUCGAGACGAGGUGCCUCGGGCGGCACGAGAGGAGCGGCUACUAGGGUUUUUAGUUUUACUGAAAAUAGUUUAGGUUGUGGGCCAUUUGAGCUUUAGGGUUUUGUAUUAUUUGGGUUUAUAAAUUUUGGGCUUCCCGGCCUUAUAAAUAGACUUUGGACUUUAAUGAAUUUAUUAUUUAUUGUUUUUAUUUUUGUUUUGUUUUUUUUGUUUGUAGCGGGCCUGGCAGAAUUGGCCUGUUACAGUAUAGGUGGAUUUUCUUUAUUUGAAGUCUCUUUCGAGUGCGAAGAAGACACGGUGAAAGAAAUAGGUUUUAUAACUUCAAAAGAAUCUUAUCAUGCCAUAUUGCUUAAUUUCAGAAAAUUGACUAAUUUUAUCUGUGAUUCUUCCAGAAUUGUGUGCUCUGGGCCAUUUAGAGACUCUAGACUUGAGCUACAAUGAGGUGAAUCGAUUUGUGACUUCUAAAGGUGCGAACUCAAACAAGUUCUAUUUUUUUUACUACAAAAACUUGGAUUAAUUAAGAAAAUGAAGCUAACUACAAUAUUUCAAUUACAGGGAAUAAAUGCUUGAGAAAUUUAAAAAUUCUAAAUAUGGAUGCUAUGCAAAUCAUUUCUCUUGUAUCACUCCUACACCCAUUUUCAUCUGUCAAUACCCUGUUCUUAAGAGAGAAUUCUUUUUUAAACAAAACCAUGGUUACUCAAGGUGAGUUAUGAGUUAAUACCUGUCAUAGUUUUAACCAAAAAAAAAAAAAAAAACUUCAUCAAUUUUAUACAAAUUAAUAACACUAAUAUCAUUUAUUUUAAUGUACACAGAGUUGCAUGUGUUGAGUAACGUGGAGAACCUAAUCCUGGAUUAUACUCCAUUGGACAUCAACUUUUUGCAAAGCAUAAGCAUCUUGACUUCUCUCAAAACCCUGUCUUUGUUUGACUGUGCUCUAGUUGGCAUUUUACCUACUCAUCAAGGUAAUACAAUUACUACAUUAUUUUAAACAUUCAUUUUCUUUUCUGAUUAGAUAUACAAUAUGCGCGAUUUGUUGAUUUUCUUUACAAAGUUUUCUUUGAUCUACGUAUUUUUAUGAACCAAAUGCAUAGAGAACCUCCAAAUCAACUUUGCUAUCUUAUAUUUAAUUUGUUUUCGCAGGUUUAUGUUAUCUAAACAAUUGAGUCUCAAUGGAAAUGCUCUAGGUGGUGCAGUUGCUCCAUGUUUGGGCAACUUGACAUCUCUUCGCUAUUUGGAUAUAUCUAACAAUCACUUCACUGGAAAUAUUGCCUCCACUCCCCUCGCUAAUCUCACCACGCUUCAAUUCCUCUCCCUUUUAAAUAAUCAACUUCAAGUUCCAAUGUCAUUCAGGUCUUUUGCUAAUCACUCCAAUCUUAAAGUCCUUUUAGCCGAUCAAAACAAUAUGGUCGCAGAUGAGCCAACUGCUUUCCAAACAUGGUGGCCAAAAUUUCAACUUGAGGUAUUCAGCAUGUCAAAUUGUAUGAUAGAAGAACAUGGGAACCUACAACUUCCUAAUUUCCUAUACUUCCAACAUGAUUUGAGAGACGUUGAUCUUUCUUAUUGCGAUUUUGGCGGAAUAAGGUUCCCACAUUGGUUGCUGGAGAAUAAUACACGAUUGGAACAACUUUACAUGAUAGAUACUUCAAUUGUGGGUCCUUUGUUCUUACCAUCACAUCCAAGUUUCAAUCUGAAGGUAUUUGAUAUAUCCAAUAAUAAAAUACAUCAUGAUAUUCCAAGGAAUUUUUGCUCACUUUUUCCACAUUUGGAAGGACUGUUCAUGUCGAAAAAUGACUUCAAAACUGAUAUUCCUCCAUGUUUGGGUGGUUUGAGGAGAUUACAAAUGUUAGACUUGUCCCAUAAUGAUUUGUUUGGAGAAAUACCUGAAGAGUUGCGCAUGAGUAGCUCUUUAGCUAAUCUUAUACUUUCAAAUAACAGUUUGAGUGGCAAAAUAAUUCCCACAGUUUAUCAUUUAAUUAUUUUGUUGGAGGAAUUACGUUUGGAUGGUAACAAGUUUGAGGGAGAGAUUUCUUACUUUUCACCCAUUAGCAUUAAAAAUCUCCAAGUGUUAGAUGUAAGUGAUAAUGAUAUCUCUGGUGAGCUUCCAACAUGGUUAUGGGAUACAAUAUCUUUGAAAAUACUGGAUUUCUCCAAAAACAAUUUCGAGGGUCCCAUUACCAUGCAAUUAUGCAAGUUGAUCAAUCUGGACUUUCUAGAUCUUUCUUCAAAUCAUUUGUCUGGUACUAUUCCAUCUUGCUCGAAUCUACAAAGGAUGAGGCAUGUGCAUUUGGCCAAUAAUAGACUUAGUGGAACACUGUCAAAUGUCAUUUUUAAAAGCUCUCCACUGGUUACGUUGGAUUUAAGUGGAAACAGUUUUACCGGAGGAAUUCCAAAUUGGAUUAGCACGCUACCGAUUUUGAGCGUCCUUCUUCUAAAAGAAAAUCAAUUUGAUGGUGAAUUUCCUCUACAGUUAUGCAAACUACAGUCAUUAAGCAUCAUGGACUUUUCACACAAUAAACUUUCUGGUCAUUUACCUUCCUGUUUGAGUAAUUUAACUCUCAAGCCAAGUGAAAAGUCUUACGUUGAUUCUGGUGGUUAUCAGUUUGAUUUUUUUGAUGACGUAAUGGUACAUAUGGGACUAACCAUAUACAAUCUCACAGGCUUGGUGAGUGUAUAUAGAGGUUAUCCUUUUACCUACCAUGAAGAAGAUGUACUAUUCUCAACAAAGGGUGCAACCUACACUUACAAGGGAAAUAUUCUUGACCUGUUGUCGGCAAUUGAUCUCUCUUGCAACCAACUCACAGGGAUAAUCCUGCCUGGAUUUGGGAAUUUGAGUGAAAUUAGAGGACUAAACUUGUCCCACAACAACUUAACUGGACCUAUCCCCUCAACUUUUUCAGAACUCAAGCAGAUUGAGAGUUUGGACCUUUCUUACAACAACUUAAGUGGUAGGAUCCCCUCUGAACUAACUGAGAUGACUUCUUUGGAGGUAUUUUCCGUCGCACACAACAACUUGUCAGGGCCUCUCCCCGAUAGGAAAAAUCAAUUUGGGACAUUCGAUGAGAGCAAUUACGAGGGAAACCCUCUUCUUUGUGGACCUCCAUUGAACAAGAGUUGUAAUGGAGGUAAUUCACCAACAGCUCCAAAUGCUACAUCUAGUGAAGAAGAACAUGGUCACAUAGACAUGGUUGAUUUUUAUAUAAGCUUCGCAACUUCCUAUGCUAUUAUAUUUUUGACAACUAUUCUUGUACUCUACAUAAACCCAUACUGGAGACGAGCAUGUUUUUAUUUCAUUGAAGAUCGUAGCAUCGUUUGCUAUUUCUUCAUUGUGGACAGUCUUCGUCAGUUGCCUUGCUUCAGGAGAAACAUCUAGCCCUAUGCUUCUUCAAUGGUUCUAGAUUUCAAGCUCAAGGUCGCAAAUAUUUGUAUUUGUUUAUGUUGAGAUGGUUUAGUUCAAAUUUUUUGUAAGAUGGAAGUAUGUCAUGUUUCCUAGGCUAUUUCUAUUUCUGAAACUUAAUGCUUGGUUAAGUAAUUGUACUUGACUUUAGACUGUAUUACAUCCAAUUUCCAUAUCCAUAUACUAUAUUCUAUUUAUUGCACAUAUAUUUUGUAACAACUCAUUUUUCAGUGGUUUCGGGACCAUAAAUCCAACGAGUGAGUCUGUAAAUUAAUAUUAUUAUUUAAUAUUUACGAGUCAAAUAUAAAAUUAUUUUGGAAUUUGAUUUAAUUGUUUUUCUGAAUUGAACGAAUAAUUAGGUUAAAGUGGUAUGUCCCUAAAGUCAAGUGGUUUUAGAAAAAGAGGUCUCGAGACCUCGUUUCUAUAAAUUGAGCCCAUAAAUAUUAAAUAUUUAUGGAGUGUGUUAGGGUCAUAUUAAAAUUUGGUUAAUAAAUUUUAAUGUUUAAAUAGCUAAUUAAGUAAAAAGGACAAAAUCGUAAAAGCUGAAAAAAUUAAUUUUUAUUAGUUAAUUGAUUAAUUUAAGAAAGGUAAAAGGGAUUUAUGUUGCAAAUAUGCCAUAUUUAUAAGGGAGGUACGGUGGAUGUUGUUUUAUUACAUUAAAAUAUGUGUUUUAUUAGUUAAUUAAAAAAAGUUAAGUUAAAUUAUAAUAAAAACAAAAGGGAAAUAUUUUUAUUUUUAUGUUCUUCUUCCACAUGCUGAAAGACACCAUUGUUGAGCUAAGGAGGUUCGGCCAAACUUCUCCCUUUGCAUGCUUGUGUUUUUUAGGUCCGUUUUUUUUUUUAUUUUGUUAUCAUAUUAGCUUAAUCUAGUUAGUCUAGGAGUAAAUUUGCAAAGCUGUUAAAAGUUUAGGGACUGGUCAUGAAUGUUUUAAGUAUGUUUUUGUUCUUAGUUGAUGUAUUCAUGAAGGUGAUGGUUUAACUUAAGCCUUUUGUUAAAUGAUUUUUAGUAAUUUAAAUGUUUAAGUAAUUUAAAAGUAUUAAAUCGUCUAAAUGACAAAACUUCAUGAAGUUGUUGUAAAACCUGAUAAAUAUGGGCUGCAGUAGGUCCCUAGAGUAUUCAGGCAGCAUGAGUAAGGAUUAAAUUUAGUGAAAGUACAAGUUUAAUAUUUAGGGGUUAAAUUGCAUAAAAGGUGAAAUAUCGGGGAAAUUUUGUAAAAUGAUGAUGGAAGGACUUAAUUGUAUUAAAUAGAUUAUUUAAGUGCUAGAAUUGUAUUAACUAAAUUAAAUAUUAUUAUUUAGAUCAUGAAAUACAACAAUCAGAUUUGAAUCAAGGAAAAAAAAGUAUCGGAUUAGUCAUCGGCUUUGUUUUUGCAAUCAUUUUAGUCAAGAUAAGUUCAUAUUUCAUUUUAAAAUAUUCCAUUUGAAUUUAUAAGAUUAAUUGAUAUCUUUAUAUUAAUGUUUAUUUAUAGAUGAUUAAGAUUGUUUUGAUUUUAGAAAAGGAAAGGAUUGUGAUUGAAAUACAUCAUGGUAUUAUAUUUGAAAAGGAAAGACCAUGGUUGAAAGACACCAUUGCAUUACAUUGGUAUUUCCGAAUCUAUGAAAAGGUUGAAAAGGAAGUUAUUUGAAAAGGAUAACAAAUGAAAAGGUUAAAAAGGACAAUAUCCGACAAAGAUACCAAAUGAAAAGGUUGAAAAGGACAAUAUCCGAAAAGGAUAUCAAAUGAAUAGGUUGAAAAUGACGAUAUUUGAAGAAAAUGUAAAUGAAAAGGUUGAAAAGGUUAGUAAUGAAAAGAUCGGUAUUUCAUUCUUCAACCACCCGCUAUUCAAGUAACAAUUUUCAAUGUGAAAUUUAUUAUAAGUUUGAAUAUGAGGCGAACGUUUUGAUUAGUAUGGUUUGAUAAUGAACAUUAAUGUGAUGAUAUGUAUCAUAUGUAUAUAAAUAUGUUUUCUAGUUAUGGUUGUAGUGUGUUUAGAGAAUUAAAUGGUGAAAUGAGUAUUUUCUGAUUAACCGAUGUUAUUUCAUUUGGUUCGAUGGGUAAUUAAGGUUGAAACUGAAAUAUAUAUUAUUAGCUAUGCUAUUACAGAAAUGAAAUAUAUUAAGAUAAAGUGUGAAAUGUAAUAUAAAUGUAAGUGCAUAGUAUAUGAUGAAUAUGGUUGAGGAAGUUGAAACUUCGAUACGUUUUAUGCCAUGUUUUAGUGAAGUUUAUAACUGCUAUGUUUCACCAACAACCUCUAUGAGUUGUUGUGUAUAAGAAAGGCAUUUGGCUCACAAUGAAAUGAAUCUAUCUUUACUUAUUUAUUCUAAUGUAUAUGGUAAGUUUAAGUUCUAUUAUACGAGCUUACUAAGCAUUAGUUGCUUAUGUAGUUGUUUUUCUUUGUUUUUGUAGGUCAUCAGAGAGUUUGAUCGAUUGGAAUCACAUCAGAGCAUGAUCACACUAUCCAAACCUUGUUUUGGUAGAUAUUUGGUAUUUAAGUUCAAGGUUAUAGAUGGCAUGUAUAGGGCUUGUUUAUAAAGGGAUUUUUUGAUUAUGUUACCUAGUCAGCUUGGUAUGUUUACGCCCUUUUGUGUAUAUGUGUUUGUUUGGACUCGUAAUGUUUUGGUACGUUUGUGUCUUUUGGUCACUUUUAGUACUUUGUAAAUAUAUGGCUUGAGACAUGUUCGUAUGUGGUAAAAAUGGUUCUAUGGUGUAUGUGUAUAUAAAUAUAUUUUUUUAGGUUAUAAGGUAUGUUUGAAUGAAUUGGAUACGUUGUGAUUGAGGUGCCAUAACAAUGGCACAUUGGUUAGAUAUAGGAUGAGCAUGAAAUUGGUAUGUUUUUGGAUGUGGAUGUUUGAUAUAUGUUUUAAACAUGUGAAAGAUGGUUGAAUUAGUGUAUCUUGGUGUGCAAGGUUUGUGUUUGAAAUGGCUUGUUUUAGAGGUAACACAUACUGCACAAGGCCUGGGACAUGGGUUGUCACACGGCUGUAUGCCAUACACUGUCACCUCACACGGCCAUGUGUCUUUUAAAUUUUAGGUGCAAGUUUUACACGGCCCGCGACACGACCGUGUGACCAUAUUUUGAAUAUACACACGGUCUGACACACGGUUUAUGACAUAACCGUGUGACACAAGUCACUGAGUUACACGGUUUAAAACAUAGGCUAGAACACAACCGUGUGUCCCUUAGUUCGAAUGUCCACACGGCUUGGGUUAUGCCACACAGCCGUGUGACCCUAAUUUUGUAAAUUUUUAAUUUUGCCAUAAAGUUUCUAUUUUGAUUCAAAUAAGUCCCUGAUUGUUCCCAACCUAUUUUUAGGGCCACUUAAGCCUGAUUUAAGGUUUGUAAAAGUAUUUUUGCCAUAAUUAAAUUGUGAUAGUGAAUGUUGAUAUGUGAAUUGCAUGUUGGUCUAUUUCAAUAUUAAGAAUUCUAUAUUAUACAGUAAUGCUUUGUAACCCUAAACUAGCGAUGGAGACGAGUUAGGGGUGUUAUAUGUUUCUAGUUUCUAAAACCAUAAUCUAUUUGUUAAUUACAGUAGGAUUGUUGAGAAGGUCAUCACAACACUUUCUGAGAGAUAUGAGUAUAAAAUUUCUUCCCUGGAAGACUCAAGAGACUUGUCUAUAAUUUCCUUGUUAGAGUUGAUAAAUGCUCUUUAUGCUCAAGAGUAAAGAAGAACAAGUAGACAAGAGGAGCAUUCUGAAUAAGCAUUUCAGGCCAGAAACAAGGAAGGCUUGAGUUCCUUAAGCUAUAAGGGAAAGAAGAGCUAGAGUAAAAAGAAAGAAAAUCCAAGAAGAGAUAGUGGACAGAAGAAGUAUCCACCAUGCACUUACUAUAAGAAGUCUACACAGCUAGAAAAGUAUUGUUGGUUCAGGCCUAACAUUUAGUGUAGAAGCUAUAAAUAGCUUGGUCACAUAGAAAAGGUGUAACACCCCGUUCAAGCAGGCACAAGCUUUAGCGUAGUAUUUUAGAAAUAUGUUUGGCAGAGUGGUAUUCACCUAAGUACCCCUUCUGGCGUAUUGAGUUGGUGGAUACAGUUAUGUGUUUAAGUUAGUAAGGGCUCCGUGCUAGAUUUCCAUGAUUUGUUGGAAACAAGAUGUAGUCAAGUAAAUCUGUAUUGAGGGUAUGAGUCCACGUUAGAGGUAUAUUGUACCCUUUCUCUAUUGUAGUAUGAAUAUUAAGUUACAAGUAAAGAUGGUUAGGAUCUAACCGAACGUGAACCAAGAUAGUUAAAUGACAAAGGGACAUACUCAAUUAGGUUUAUUGGAAGUUGUAGACUUUGAUAAGACAAUUCACUAGUGCUGUGACAUUUGUCAAGUUUUAAUAAAGACUUAGGUUAUAUUAAUAGGGUUUCUAGUUUCAAUAAAUGGGAGUUCUCUUCUUCUAUCUUAAAACAUUGAAUAGUAAGGCUGAAGGGAACAAAAGUAUUCCUUUAAGUUGGAUUUAAAACCCUAAAUUUUAUCAGAGGUUUCUCCAUGUCUAGGCAGUGGUUGUUGCAAUCCAUGCUUAGAUGAUGGAUCUGAUGUUCAAGCUAUUAUUCGUGGUUGUUAGGUGAGUCCCUAAGCUGACUCUUGCAUGCAUGUUAUUAUUUAAGAUAUUUCUAUAGAAAGUGGUCACACUAUGAAUUUGAAGUUAGGACAAUAUGAUAGGAUGGUGAUAUUAUGGUAUGAAUGUUAAACUAGUCUUGCUUGUAUAGUUUAUAUGGUAUCUGACAAGUAUUAAGUAUGUGGUAAGAAUCCUAGAGUUGAUAAUGUGACUCUAGGAGCAUGUUUGGAAUGUGUAAGAUGAGAUAGGUGUUAUGUUUGGUGAUAACAUAUGAAAAGUCUGUUAAGUGAGUCUAUGUCUAUUCACCGUGCUGGAGUCGUCUAAAGGGGUCCAUCGGGACUUUGAACAUAAUCUCUGAAAGGAAAAGUCCAUGGCCAUGACACCAUAUUGUGUAAGACCAUAGUUGGGCUAUGGCAUCAUAUGGAAAGACCAUAUCGUGUACCUGGUGGUGGGCUAUGGCUUCAUAUGGAAAAGACUAAAAGAAGAUUGUUACCAAAUGGGGUUCUCUGUGCGACCCAGAACAAUGAGGGGCAAACAUCAUGAAAUGUGAUUCUAGGCGAAUCCCUAUCAUAGGAAUUCCAGAAAAUAGAAGCCUUUGUGGCAAUCUAAGAAAAAUGGAAGCCUUUUUGACAUACUUUAAAUAAUAGCCCUUGUGGCAACCUUCUGAAGGAAACGCCUUUGUGGUGAACCGUGAAAGAAAGAAAUGGUUUUCAUGAUGUAUUUUGAAGGUAUGGAAUCCUUGACAAAUAAGGAAGGAAAAAUAUGAAAGGCAAAUUCUAGAUAUAGAGUUUUCACGGCAAAGGAUAAAGGAUAAGCCCUAACGGCGAGUUAUAAAGGAACAUCCUUUAUGGCGAACCCCAUAUAGACAUUUUUUACGGUACAUAUAGAACGGGAUGCUCUUGUGGCAUGCUCAGGAAAGACUCUCAAGACUAAACCAUGAAGGACACUCUUUGUGGCAAACUCUGGCCUAAGUAAAUGAUGUAUUUCUUAAUAUUCCGAGACACAAUAGUGAGAUCAAUAAGUACUAAACGUGUCUAUGAGUAUUAUGGUAAGGUAAUCAAUAUGAUUAAGAUUUGUACAGAGAUGGAAAUUUUAAGAGAUCUCCCGUGGUACUGAGAAUGUAGGUAAGGUCUCAAAGGCACAGAAGAGAAGGAAAUGGUCUUAGAGUAGGGUAAGGUAAUGAACAUAUGUAAAGGAAUGAGAAAUUGAGGAAGUACUCGCAAAAGACAAGUUGAAGGAUAAGAGUAGUGAGAUAGCUAUUGAAAUAUUUGAUGCAACGAGCAAGCAUGAUUUAGGUAACUAGGUUAACCUCAUUAUGUUCUAUGGGACUUAUCUUCAUGUGUUAUGUUUUAGAUGAACUAUCUUGGGCCUGAGCCUGGAGGGAUGACACCAAGGCUAUGCCAAAGGAGUGACAUAUUGGAGUAUUAUGUAUACAGAGUGAGCUUGAUGGCGAGAUAGAGUUUGAGUUGAUACUUAUAAAAAUUUCUACAGGGGAUAAUCAUGUAGAGCAUGGCAUCAGUUUAGUCCUAAUUGAAAUGAAAUUCUUUAUGUAUACCAUUUGAAUUUCCUCAUUGUUUACACUUUUGUUUUUUAUUAGAAAGUUUGAAAUUUAGCAUCUGUAAAUCGUUUGUAAUUUAAAUAAUUAGGCUCAAGUACAUUGUAUUUGUAAGGUUCGGGUCUGGUCCAUUAGACCGAGUUUAGGCUGUUACAAAGUGUGUGCAAAAAUAAAGGGCAAAAACAAUAACAAAACAAUGUCCAAGCACAGGCUGCUGAUAGAAGUCAAGCUCAAGAGGAGCAUGUUUUUACUAUUUCUUGUUUUGUAACCUACAAUGGGGCCAAGAAAGAUUGGUUGAACGAUAGUGGUUGCACAAACCAUAUGACCUCUAAUGAAAGCAUUUUCAGGAAGAUUGAUACAAUCAUUGUCCCCAAAGUCAAAAUUGGGAAUGGCAAAUUCAUUGAAGCCAAAGGAAAAAAGAGAAAUCUUGAUCAACACUCCUUCAGGUACAAAAUCAAUCUCGAAUGUCCUAUUUGUACCUAAAAUAGACCAAAAUUUUCUUAGUGGUUGUCAACUACUAGAGAAGAAUUAUUCUAUUGUUUUCAAAAGCAAAACAUGCAUGAUUAUGGAUCUAUCUGGUCAAGAAUUAGUGUCAGUACUAUGAAUGAUAAAUGCUUUGUUCUAAAUUUGAAUUUGAUAAACUUAAAAGCUUAUGUUAGCUUUGUAGAUGAAUCAUGUUUAUGACACAAAAGGUUGGGGCAUGUUAACUAUAGGUCCCUUAGCCAGCUUUAUAAGUCUGAUUUGGAUGAAAACAUGUCCAAAAUGGUAGACUGAAGUGUUGUUUAUUAAGUCUGUCAACUUAGAAAGCAAGUCAAGAUUCCAUUUCAAGCCAACAAAGCUUGGAGAGCCAAUGAUAAGCUACACAUGGUCCAUACUGAUGUUUGUGGACUUAUAAAGACUCUUUCACUAGGUGGCAUUAGGUACUUUAUUUUAUUUAUUAAUGACUACACAAAAAACUAUUGGGUUUAUUUCUUGAAGUCGAAGUCUAAAGUAACUGAAAUCUUUUGGAAGUUUAAAACAAAUGUUGAAAAUCAAGCCAACUACAAAUUGAAGAUACUCGGAUCAGAUAAUGGAAUUGAGUACACAUAAAAAAGGUUUCAAAUAUUUUGUGAAGAAGCAAGCACCGAGCAUCAACUGACCAACAUUUACACUCCUUAGUAUAAUGGUGUCUAUGAGAGAAAAAUAGAACAGUGAUGGAUAUGGGAAGAUUUUUUGUUUGAAAGAAAACUGACAAACAAAUUUUGGGCAGAAGUUGUGAAUACCUAAAUGUUUUUGCUGUGAAAGGCAAGACUCCAUUUGAAGCUUGGUUUGGAUUCAAACCUUUUGUCUCACACUUAUAAGUGUUUGGUUGCAUUUUUUAUGCUCAUGUACCAGCUGUGAAGAGAAGCAAACUAGAAAAAAGAUCACUACCAAGUAUCUUUUUUGGAUACAAAAGCAUAAAAAGGUCAACAGGAUAUAUGAUCCUUUCAACAACAAACUCCUUGUGAGCAGAGAUAUGAAGUUUAAUAAAGGCAGUACAUGAAACUGUGAUGAUACUGAAGCUAAAUUACUUGAACAACGUCAGCAAGAAACAAACAUGUAGCUUACUAAAGAUAAAAUUCAAGAAGAUGAAAACUUUGAUGACUUACCUGUCAGAGGCACUAGGCUUAUUGCUGAAGUGUAUCAAAGAUGUGACUUAGAAGUACUGGAGCCUACGAAUUUUGAAGAAGCUGUACAAGAAAGUAGAUGGAAGGAAGCCAUGGAAGUUGGGAUAUCCAGGACUAAUAAGAAUAAGACUUGGAAACUUGUUGAUAGACCAGUCCACAAGAAGAUCAUUGGAAUCAAAUGAGUGUUUAGAACCAAGAUGAAUCUUGAUGGACCAUUUAAUAAGUUUAAGGCCAGGCUAGUUGUAAAGGGCUUUAGUUAGUAGUAUGGUGUUGACUAUGUUGAAACCCUUGCCCAAUGGCAAGGUUGGACACCAUUAGGUUGCUACUGGCUCUAGCAAGUCAAAGGGGAUGAAAAAUACACCAACUGGAUCCAAAGUUAACCUUCUUAAACAAUAUAUGAGUCCUUCGGGGCGACACCUUGAAAGGGAUUUACUAAUUUUUUGGAAUCAAAAGUCUAUGGUUAGUGAUGCCAUGAUCAAGUGGUGGAUAGGUGCAUUUUAUGGUGAAAUAGAGUUUGCUAGAAUGGUAAAUAAGGAAAGCUGUCAGGUUACAAAAAGGGAAAUCACUGUAUGACUCAUACGGCGAGCAAUCUAAUAGAAUGAUUGUGGUGCGUCUGAGAAAGUGCGCAAACAUGAUAAUAAAAUGAUCUGCCAAAUUACGAACAUAAGGAAAACUUGUAGAAGUACUUUAAGCAUUGGCAUGUGUGAAAAGAAGGGGCAUUUCCUUCAAGGUAUUGGUAAAUAAGUAUCUGCCACUAAGAGUUUGCUAGUAUUCACGCAUAAACCACCAUUGCCUAUGAGGUAAUAAAAUGGUUAUUCUGGGUUUGAAUUCUAAGUGAUAUUGAUAAAGAGGUUGCUCGAAAAGUGGAAGUUUGCCAAGAACCCUUUUAGGAGGUAAUUUUGCCAAUGACUAUCUUAGGUGGAAGGUCUGCCUAGAAAUAACGAAAGAAAUAGAAGUCCCCUUAGGAAAUCUAAAAAAGAGAUAGUCCGCUGGGAACUAUCUAUUUCUGGGAGUAUCUUAGUAUAAUGGUCUGAAGUAGGAAAGUCUUAUGGGACUAUUUUAUGAGUACAAAGUCUUAUGGGACUAUUUUAUGAGUACAAGUAUGCAAAGAAUGGGGGUAAUCAUGUAUCAACCAAAUCUCAAAUUCAAGACAGAAAAUAAGAUUACUAGUAAAUGGAUCUUCCUUAGAAGAAAGGUUUAAGUAUAGGCUAAGUCAUAAGAAACAAAUGUUUGGGGUAAUAUAGUAAGUCUAUAUUAAGUUCGGUUCGGUUGAAAGGUUUAGGUUAAUAAUCCACACUUAUGGCGAGAUAUCUGAUAGUUCGCCAAAAGUAGUCAUCAAAUUGCAUAUUCGUGUAUAUGGUGCCUUUGAUGAGUUAAGACAAAUAGGUAAAAUGGGAGCCUAAGAUGGAGCUAAAUAGUGGUUGUUUGAAAAAGUGCGCCUAUGAUCAGAUCAGUUGAUAUAUCCUAUAACACCCUCAACUGACCCGAUUACUCGAUCCAAGUCUCGGGUGUUAUGUUUUGAAACAGAUUUACUUACAAUUUCUUUUUUAUUUUCCUAUGUAAAAAAAUUCUAUCUAAGACUAUGAAAUAUUUUUUUACAAGUGUACGAUGUAUGAUUACAUUUAGAAUUCAUGAUAAUAAAAUAUCAUCGACUCUAUUCUAUCUCUGUCCUUACAGAGUACAUAUCAGAAUGCUACUUAAUAACUUAUGUUCAGACUUAAGCAUGCCACUUAACUUCCUCUGUAUCUAUGACAGCCCAGCGCACCACUUCCUUUGGUGUAGCCUUGGCGUUGUCCCUCUUGCCGCAUACUUCUUUGCAACCUAAAAACAUGAAAUAAAUUUCAUAAGUUCAUAAAAACUUAGUGAAUUUAAACCUUAAAUUCAUUAUAUCAAGCAUGAAAGAUGCUUUGCAUGUCCUUCUUGUUUCCUUUAAGUUUUCCUUAUUCCCUUUAGCGAUUACUUCAGUAAAGACAUCCCUUAACAGAUUGUAAUUACUCCUUUCUAGCUUCGGCCUUUUUCUUUCUCUCAGUGUCUUUAAGGACUUAUCUUCCUUUUUAUUUAUUAAACCGUUAUUCAACUAGGUUCCAGAUUCGGGGUCCAACUCAAAUGAUUGUUUCUUUCCUUUGAGCGUAUUAUGCUUCACAUAUCUUCACUUUCUAUAUCCUUUCUUAACUCUUACAUUUACAUAGUCCUUAACGACUUUGUUUACCUUAUUAACAGACUUAAAAUCUUAUUUCAUACUUGUUAAUCUGACCACUACCUUUGGGUGAGGUAGACUAUGCCCAUUAUUCAACACAGAGUUCACCCAGAUCUUUUAUUACUUCGGGAUACUAUCUAUACAUACAUAUAACACAUUUCUCAAAUUCACUGCAUAUUCUGGCUCACUCUAACUUCAUUGUUCUUUUCUUAUGUUUACGCGAGGUUCUACAUUUCAUUUACAUACAGUGAUUUUCUUUCAGAGUUUGUCGGAUACUUAGUUCCUUCUACUUGUCCAUACAUUAUCUCUUACACUUAAAAUUAACUUCCAAGUCCUACCUUUGCUUUGCCUUCAGGGAACCAUUCAUGCCAUUCUUUCCUAAUUCCUUACACGCCAUUUAUUUAAAUUUUUGUUUUGAAGGCAUUUCUUCCUUUAAAUGGCCACAAAGUCCUUCUUUGUAUUUGCCACUAGGGCUAUCCUUUACAAAGUUGCUACCAAGGUGUUCGAUCCUUAGGUUGCACCACAAAGAUGUUCUUUUUUAGACAUAGCCACGAAGGCUUCCUUUUCAAAGAUAGCUACAAAAGCUUUUUUAUUCAGAGUUUGCCAUAGAGUCUUUCCUUUAACAUGGGUUACCACAAAGGCUUAACUUUCAAGAGUUCUACCAUAAAAAAUAUUCCUUAAAUUUCAGUACUCACCACAUAGGCUUUUUUGUUCAUAGUUUUACCACAAAGGCGCCUUUAAACAGAGAUCACCACAAAGACAUCCUUUUUCUAGUGUUUCAAUGAUAGGGAUUCACCUAGACUCAUAUUUCUUGAGCUCUAUCGCUCAUUACCUAAGACACACAGAGAACCACGUUAGGCAAUAACCUUCCUUAAAUUUCCCUAUAUGAUGUCAUAACCCAUUAGUUAUAGUUUUACACGAUAUGAUCCUUUAAUGCCAUGACCAUAUACUUGUCCUUUCAAAGAUUUGUGUUUUUAAUCCUGACGGACCCCUUUAGAUGACUCUGGAGACAAAAACAGACUCUUUAUACUUAGACUCAUUAUUCCUGAACUCAUCGUACCUUGACUUACUCAUAACAGACACAUCCAUACUUUUCAAACUUAUUAACACAUUUCUAUCAUUCAUACACAAACAUCCUUUAUCUUUAAGAUUCAUGUUUAUAGUUAGACCAUCAAACUUCAUUCAACACAUGCUCUCAUGUCUAUCCUUCACACAUUACUCACUAGAAUCAUCACAUUACACUUUUAGAUUCGAUUUCAUGGUUUUCUUACAUUUUAUAAAAGUUUUAAAACAUACUUUAUACAUGUAAGAGUCAGCUUAGGAACUCACUUGAUAACCUCAAAGACAGUUUAAACCUCAGAUCUAGUCUUUCCUUGUGAAAUAUACAGUUUGAGAUCCAGAUCAAUAAUUCAGCCACAUGCUAUAGCCUCCUCUGCUUUGAUAAAUAGAAACACUUUGUUAGAACCCAUUCGGGUAACCUUUAUCUUCAUCUUAAAACCCAAACGUAUUACUAAGCCUUAUUUCUCCAAGCAUAGUUACAGAUUUGUGUUCCCUUAACUAGCAGAGUCAUGAAAUGUUCCUUAAUGGGAGGGAAAAUCACUAACUAAAUUUGGGGUUCUAAACUCAUCUUAGAGAGAUGUCUUCAUCUGCUCAUGUCCCUAAAUCUUAAGAAGGAAGAUAACUAUCCCUUAACUUAACCCAAGUGUCCUUUAACUUAACUCAAGUCUUUAUGGGAACUUGGUAAACAUCACAUCAAGACUGAUUUAUCUUAUCUAAAAUCAGCCACUCUUUAAGAAACUUAUAUGUUUACUCAUUUAGCCUUCGACCCUUCUAGUUUGCGUUUGGUUAGUUCUCAACCAGCUUACCUCACAAAUUUAACUAGUACGGGACCACAUUGGUCACUAGAUGUAUUAUGUCACUAGCAUGGACUCUUAUCUUAUAACCAUUCCUUUUUUAAUUACCAGUUCGAUUUCACUUAUCAUCGUAAUCUAACUAGAAAUCCUUGUCUGCUUAUUUCCAUGUCGAAGUUCGCCUGCUUUUUAUGCCAAAAAGUGUCUCUAAAAAUACUACUCCACUCAUAGUACUUCUUUAUACUCUGUGCUUUAUUCAUAUAUAUAUAUACAUAUAUACAUUCUCACCAAUAUUCCUUGAUUCGUCAUACAUACCUUUCUUCAGAGUUAGCCCUAAGCUUUGCUCUUUCAAAAUAUCCUAUAUAUUGUUCAUCAUAGGUUCCUUUUUGUUUGUUCAGAAUCUGUCAGACUAGGGUUCUAUUUGGAACACUCAGAAAGUUCUUACACUUAAUCGAAUCCUAACGUUGGGCACUUGAAACUUACUCUUAAGCCUUGCUUUUACGAUUAACUGUAACAACCCGAUUUUAGUGGUGUAAAAAUGGUGGUUUCGAGACCAUAAUUCCAAAGAGUGAGUUAGUAUUUCAAUAUUUAUUUAAUGUCUGCGAGAUUAUUUUAAGGCCGUAUUAAAAUUUUGUCAAGAAAUUGUGAAUUUUAAAUGGUUAAUUAGGUAAAAAGGACUAAAUUGUAAAAUAUAUAAAAGUUGAAUUCUAUUAGUUAAAGGGGUAAAAUGGAUAUGAAAUCUAAAACUAAUGGACUAAGAUAGUAAUUAUACCCUUUAAAGAGUUGUGGAAAAAUAUGGACAAGGUUUACUUGAAAUUUUUUUAUUAUUAAUAAGGUUAAAAUGGUAAUUUAGUAAUUAAAUUUAAAACAAUAGAAAUUAAAGCAUGUAUCAUCUUGUAUUUUUCAUCUAUCACUGAUUUUAAGAGGGGAAGAACUCCAUUAUUGAAUGCUUGGUUCGGCUAAGCUUGUUUUAGUGCAUUGUAUGUAUUUUCAACCCGCUUUUCAUUAUUUUUAUGUUUUUAAGCUCGUUUUAGCUUAUUCUAGGUAGCCCGGGGCUUAAUUUACAAAACUGUUAAAGGUUGAGGGACCUUUCAUGGUUAUUUUUAAUAGGUUUUGAAUUUAUUUGAUAGAUUAUUAAUCUUGGUUGUAAAAUAAACAUGUUUUCUUAAGUGAUUCAUGAAAAUAGUAAAAUUUCAUGGUAAAAUUAUGAAAUAAUGAUUUAAGUGGGUUGGUAUGAGUCCCUAAGAAAUUUAGCUAGCUUGUAUGGAGGAUUAAAAUGGUUAAAUUUCAAAUUAUGAGUUUAAGGACUAAAUUGUAACAGUAAAAAUGUUAGGGGUAAUUUCAUAAUUUUAAAUAAAUAUGAAAUAUGGAUUAAAUUGAAUACCAAAAGUAAUUAAUUGAAUGAAAUUAUCUAUUUAGAUAAAGAUAAACAACAACUGGAUUUAAAUCAAGGAAAGGCUAAAGUUUCGGAUUAGUAUUCAAGUCUACUUCUACGACCAAAGUUAUCGAGGUAAGUUCAUAUGAAUUAUGAUCGUAUUGAUCUUAGCUAAAUUGAUUGUUUGCUAUGUUGCAUUAAUAUAAACGAACUUGAAAUUGUAUAUGUUUCGAUGUAUGAAUAAUUGAUGUACAACGAGUCUAAUUUUAAAAAUUAAGAAUUCUUAGGAUACGAAUGACAUUUCAUUAGGGAUUUCAUGUUUUAGGUGUUGGUAUUGAAUAUCCUACCGAUGGUUGAGUUCUUGCAUUUGUUACAGACUCUGCACAGCUCGUGUGAGCAGCAUUGUGUAGCUAGCAUUCUGACCCACAGCUCUUGUGAGCAGGCCCAUUUCACAACUCGUGUGAGUACUAUUGAAAAUGAAAGGUUACGGUUAUAUGGAAAGACAAACUAUGUGUGAGUAUUCUUGAGUAUCCAAUGUAAUUAUAAAUGUUUCAACGAGUAAGUAAAGGAAAUGACAUGGUAAGUAUACAAAUAAAAUGAUUCAUGAUCUUAUGAAAAGGUUGGUGAGUAAGUGAUAUAUCUUUUGAAAUCUACUUAUGGUAUAAUUGAACUCAUAUUGAUUAUGGAUGAACCUACUAACUUUUGAGUUUGAUGAUGCUUGUAUAGGCUUUUACUAAGCUUAUGGCCUUGGUAAUGUCAUUAUGUUUACCCUAUAAAUUGUACUAAUGAAAUGGUAAGUUAUGUUUGAGUUUAUACGAGCUUACUAAACACUAGUUGCUUACGUAGUUACUUUUUUCCUUUUUAUAAAUGAUCAUAAUCGGUUGGAAGCUUGUCAGGGAUCAAUCACACUAUCUAGCAAUCAUUUCGGUAGUUUUUAAGUAUUUUGGCCAAGGUUAUAAAUGGCAUGUAUAGAACCUUUUGUAAUGAUAGUUUAUGAAUGUGUUAAUGGUUGAUUAGUAUGUAUAUACUUUUGAAUUUUAUGUUUGGUUUGAUGGACUUGUAAUGCUUUGUCAAGUUAGGUCAUUUUGGCCACUUUUAGGUACUUGAAAUACAUUAUCUUUAUUGGCAUGUUUGUGAUGAUAUGAAUAUGGUUAUAUGUGACAUUAUUUGGUAGUUAAGGAACUAGGUUUUUAUGAUUUGAAUAUGGCACUAUUGACUUGUUUUGGUUAAUGAUGUUUUGGCAUAAAUGUGGUACCUUUGAAUGGCAUAUUGGUUAGAUGAAAUAGGAUGUUUGAAAUGGUAUGUUCAAGUGUGUUUGAAUGAGGUUUAAAUCUCUUUAAUGUGUGCACAAAUGGGAUGGUUAGUUAGGUGUGUUUUGGCCUUGAAAUGGCUUGAAUUUAGGCUUAAUUUAUGGAUCCCAUUGCCUGGGACACGGGCUAUCAGACGGUUGUGUAACACAUACGACCGUGUGUCAUUUGUAAGUUCUUAAUGUCCUAAGUUAGUGAGUUACACAGCCAGCGACGUGGUUGUGUGUUGCAACUUAGAGAGUUACAUCGUCUGGCACACGGCCUGGGACAUGGCCAUGUGGCCUAACUCACUGGGUUACAUGGGUGAAGACACGAGUUGGGACACGACUUUGUAUCCCUUUUUUCAAUUUUUACAUGAAUUGGGCUAUGUCACACUGUCGUAUGACCCAUAUUUUCAAAAUUUUUAUUUUUUUCCCAAAUUUUUUAUUUUGAUUCAAAUUAGUCCCAAAUUGCUUCUAAGCUAUUUUAGGGCCUCAAAGGCUCGAUUUAGGGACUAAAUGCAUAUGUUUGAUAAGUUUUUUAUUGAGAUUAAUUUAUUAAAUGUGAUGAUUUAAAUUUUGUUCCGAUUAUUUGGUAAUGCUUUGUAACUUUAAUCUGGCGACGGAGACGGGUUAGGAGUGUUACAUCAACACUUAAAUAUUCAAGACUUCACUAGGCAAGACGCUACAUAUCCUCCAACGAUUGGUUCAUAGAAUGCGCAAGCUUCGACUACGCCAGUUAUACUACGAAAUGUCCUAAGUUUUAUUAGGGAGUUUUUAAUUCUAUGCUCUUAUGCUUAUUUACCCAAAAGUUGAGAGUCUUUGAUUUCUGAUGUACAAAAUCUUGCCCAGUUCAUCUGAACUUAUGAUUGUACUACUUUGCAUGUAGGGUUAAGGAAUUAUUCAAGGGUCUUGUAAAGGGACCAAGCCAGACGCCACCAAGAUAUGCGAAUGGUGCUAUAACUAUACCAUGCAUAUAGAGGGACACCCUUAGAGGGUACUCUUCGGGUUCGAAUAAGAGAACCUUUAUUAAAUUUUUAAUUUCCAAGUUUUUGUAUAUUUAUAAACUUAGACCUACUCAGUAAGGAAAUUUGGUUGUAAGAACUUUAGAAGUGGUAGAAAAUUUAUUUGUAGUUAUAUUUUGAAACAUGUUGAUAACUAAAGAGAUUGGAGUGAACUUAUGCGUAAAUAGGAAACCUAUCCUGACAUUAUAAAAGUUAAAAUUAAAUCUAUAUAGAAUUGUUGUUAAGUAUCUCAGGUUGUUUGUGACACUUGGUACCCGAACCCAGCGACCAAUUCGGGUAUAGGGUGUUACAAACAGGCUCCAAGAGCCUGGUAUGAGAGAAUUGACAGUCAUUUGUCAAGUUUGGGAUUGGAAAGAAGCAUCAGUGAGCCAACACUGUAUAUGAAGAAAUCUAAGAAGAAAAAUUAUGUCGCCUCUGGAAAUGUUAAAGGUUAAGUGCCACAACAAUUGUGAGUAUUAAAUUAGAAAAAAACUUUUGUUUAAUAAGGUUCUAGUGUAAAUUAGUGAAUCUGAUGGACUGCUUGGCAAAUAGUUAGAUUUCAACUGUUAGUCUCGUUACAUUAGAAUUGGGUUUUCUUUAGUGGGAAAAAUUAUGAUAAGGAACAUUAAAUUUGAUGUUGAUGAAUUGGUUUUGGUGAACGAGUGCGGGAAGGUUAUAUAAUAAAGAGGCUUUAUUCUCCUAUGCUCAUUCUCUCAUUUUCUGUAUUCAUUUUCUUUAUUCUAUCUUCUUCUAUGGUUGUUCUGUAAGAAAGAAAAGUUAAGAAGUGAUCUGCAUGGAGGGAGAAAAUAAUGUAUCAGGUUAAGUGAUUGGGGAUUUAGCAAAUUGGUAAUCUUUCUAAGCUUUCCUGUAUCUUUUGAUUGAACAAAAGGGAAGGAAAAUUGAGGAUUUUAGUUUCAUUCAUUUACCUUGUACUGAAAUGUUUAGGGUUGCAGCUAACCUUUAAAUUCUUUCAGCAUGUAAAUGAAUUAUAAUUUUCUUAUAUAAGAAUGUUUUCGUUUUGAUCUCGAUAUAGCUAACCGAGAAGGAGGAGGCUUAGGUGGUAAGGAAAAGCUAAACAGAUGUAAUCAAUACCAAAUUUCAGGUAUUUUACUGGUGAGUUCUUGAACAUAAUUUCUCAUUAGUUAUUUUAUUUGUUUCAGUAUUGUGUUGUUUGGGUAUGCUUGACUUUACACUCUAUUGAUGAUAGGAAAUCAUUCUAUGACGGGAUGCUUGCUUUUUAGUGUUGUGACGCAAAUGUAUGUUUGGCUGUAAAAAAAAGUUGAAUGUUUUGAUAAAUUGUUGCUAGUAAAGCCCCAUCAAAUAUGAUAUUGUUGAGUGGAUAGUUACGCAAUCCAUACUGUAUGAUUUACCUUGUGUUAUUAAAAAGCAUGGUUAGUUAAAUGCUUGUUAUAUGUCGAUCGCGUAAAUAAAUUAUAUGCAGAUUAUGGAGGGAUGUAUUACAGAUGAAAGAUGAGGAAAUGUCAUGUUGUGCUCUCUAUGCCCCAUAUUCUCUAGCUUUGCAGAGAUUUGGGCGGGUUUUAUAGAUAAUAUAUGCGUAUGAUAUUUGAUUUUGCUAAGGUUCAGUUGGAUUGAACGGAGGUAUAUGUGCAUAUGUGUAUGAAAGCCUUACAAGGGUUAUAUGUAAGUAAGAGAAUCUGGGGAGUCUAAAGCUUUAAGCCUUAUGUAUGUAAGCAAGUCUCAUGGCCAUGGGCACAUGCAAGACAAGAUAGUUCGAUAGACCUAUCUUGUGAUCCAAGUUAUGGCAGUCUUUUGGAUUUGCUCUCUAUGCUUCAUGGCAAAGUUAUACGUGGAAUUUCUCCAUGCAAAUGUCUACAGAACAAUUCACAUAUAUGAAUUUGCAUUUAUAUGUAAAUAUUUGUCUACGGAUUCGCAUGUAUGAGUCGCCAUAUAUAAGUUCACAUCCAUGAAUCUUCUAGAAGAAUUUGUAUGUAUUACAGCUUGUUGGAUCUAUACUUAUGAUUCAUACUAUGAUAGUCUAUUGAUCUUAUAUUCAUGUUUCAAGUUUAAGAGAUAAAAAAUACUAUAUUUCGUAAGAGUCAAUAUGGGCUAUUAUUCAAGCAAGUGAUUGCAUAAGCUUGUUCUUAUGUUUAAGGUAAAAGAGUUCAUAUAAAUCAUUUAUCUCAACCCAAAACCACAUAAAUCUUCUUUGAUGUAGAUGACCGCCAAUAACUAUUUUUAAAUCGAAAGCCUGCAAUGACUAUCUGCCAAAUAAGAGUCUAACAGUGACUAUCAUUUAAGAAUUAGUUCACAAGUAUGAACUCACAUAUAUGAAUCUAUGAUUAAGAUUCCAUAUAUAGAGGUUAACAAGUACAAUUUGUAAGUAAGUCUUCUCCAAACUCAAGUCUGCAUAUAAAUUUUUUUUAGUGUGAAUAUCCAUGUAUGAGCUUUUUGAACUCAAUUCGUUGUACGUUAAUUCUUAAUGACAGUAAUUACUAACAAAAUCCACAUAUGUUUGCUGGUAAAGGAGGUUAUAAUCCAUCUUGUAUGAAAUCAACGUAAAUGGGUGAGUGAAAUCAUUCCGCAUUGUGGCCUAUAGCAUGAAUGAUAACAAUAGAAGGUUGUGACAAUGCAGAAAGUGUAUAAAUUUUCAAGUUAAGCCAAUCCAGAUGAGGACAAGAGCACGCCAUGAAGAUGUUAUAUUAUAUGAACCUGGUAUGUUAUAUUAUAUAAUGAAUAAUCGUUUAAAUAUAGUAAAUGAAUUAUUGUUAAUAUUUUCAUAAGUUCGCAUGGUAAUAACUUAAACUAGGAACUUGUAAUUAAACCAUUUUAGUUUGACGGAUCAGCCAGUCAAACAUGAUAAGAUUGUUGCAAAUAAUAUUCGUAUUAAGUCAAGUAUGAUUAUAAAAAGCGUAGUUGGCUAUCUUAGUCAUGUUAAUUGUAUAAUUUAGUUGUAACUUGUUCAUAGUUUGAUUCAACAAUGAAUGUAACCCACCGUAGCUGGACCCAAUGACCGGGUAGGACACGGGUGUUACAACUUUGCUGGUAGUCUUACUGUAUGUGGAUGAUUGUUAGUGACUAGUACCAGUAAUGAAUUGGUUAAUGAGUUUAAGAAGUAGAUGUAAGAUAUGCUUGAGAUGUUAGAUUGACGCAAAAUGACUUACAUUCUUGGCAUGGAAGUGUCCCAGACUCAACAUGCCAUUUUCAUAAGCCAAAAAGCCUUUGCUUUGAAUAUUUUGAGCAAGUUUUGCAUGGAAAAUUGUAAGCCAACAAGCACUCCUAUUGCUUAAGGAGAAAAUCUCACCAGCAAGGGUGACUUAGAGAAGGUAAAUGCCAGUGCUUCAAGGGUUGCAAAGUUUGUUAUUAAUAAGACUAAGUCCUAAGGAGAUUUGACUAAGUCCUAGGAGUUGUUAGCUUGUUAGUAGGAGUAGGGAAUUAAAAUUUGGUUGAGGUUGUUACUUGAGACAUGUAUAUAAGGGUUGUUUGGUUAAUAAAUUUAAUCAUCCUUCUCAUUCAUAUCUUUCUAUGUUUCUGUUAAUUCUUUACUAAACCAACAGUGGUAUUGAGAGCUUUUGUUUUCUUGAGAAACCUAUGACAAAAGUUUUGUAAAAGUUCUGAGAGAAAAACUGAGAGAUACAUUGACAUAUUGAGAGAAGGCUAUAAGGUGACUCCAUUUCCCAACAAUCCAACUAUGAACCAUAUAAAUAAUGCACAAGGAGAGAACCACCAGGAAGGCUAAAGUAAAGGCUUACCCUUAUGCUUCAAUUUCACUAGCCAUAUUCAAUAUAAUUAUGGCUUUUGGACUAACAAAGAAGAUAUGGGACUACCUCAAGGCUGAGUAACAAGGAGAUGAGAGGAUCAAGAGCAUAAAGGUGUUGAACAUGAUCAGAGAAUUUGAGAGGCUACAAAUGAAGGAGUCUAAGUCAAUUAAAGAAUACUCGAACAAGCUGAUAGAUAUUGCUAACAAGGCAAAGUUCUUGAGACUGAUCUCUCCAAUUCUAGACUGGUGUAGAAAAUACUUGUCUUUGUGCCUGAGAAGUAUGGUGAAAUAAUUGCCUAUUUGGAGAACACCAAGGACUUGGCUCAGCUGAGAGUGGUGGAGUUGAUCAGUGCUUUACAAGAAUAGGAGCAGAAGAGGUUAAUGAGUCAAGAAGGAAGUUUAGAAGGAGAUAUGAAUGCUAAGAUGCAACAGGGUGAAAGAAGAAAGGAACAAUAGCAUAAUGGGAAGAAGAGUAGUGGUAGUAGUGGUUAAAAAACUGCUACAAAAAGUAAUGAUACUGGAAAUUCUAACAAGUAUUCUUCAUGUAAGUGUUGUGGAGAAUAGAAUCAUUCCCAUUUCAAGUUUUGAAGAAGGUCGGAUGUGAAGUGUAAAAGGUGUAACUUGAUGGGGUAUAUUGAGAAGUUUUGCAAAGAACCAAUAAAUCGGUAGCAAAGUGCAACACAUACUGCAAUUAAAGAAGAAGAGGACCAACUAUUUGUUUGUCUCUUCCUUCUCAUCAAGCACUUCAUGUGAUAGUUGGUUAGAUGAUAGUGGUUGCACCAAUCACAUGACUUGUGAUGAGGAGUUGUUUAAAGACCUUGACAGGUCAUUAAAGUUGAGAGUAAGGAUAGGAAAUGGAGAGUACCUAGAAGUGAAAGGAAAAGGCAUAAUAGCAAUAGAGAGUCGUGUUGGAACUAAGUUGAUUUCAGAUGUUUUGUUUGUACUUGAGAUGGAUCAAAACUUGUUAAGUGUGGGGAACUUGUUAGGGAAGGGAUUCAAGGUAAUGUUUGAAAAACGAAUAUGUCGAAUCCUUGACUCUAAUUGUAAUGUAUUAUUUAGGAUCAAGAUGCAAAAGAAGAGUUUCUCUUUGAAUCCACUCAAUGAGGAGAAAGUGGCAUUCAAGUGUCAAGUCAAUGACUCUGAAUUGUGACAUAAGAGGUUAGUACACUUUCAUCACAAAGGUCUAUAGUUCAUGCAGAAAAAUGAGAUGUCAAUUUGGCUACCAAUUCUGGAGGAGUUAAAUUCGAGAUGCAAAACUUGUUUGAGUAGCAAACAAACAAGGUUGCCUUUCAAAACCUCAACUUGGAGAGCCAAAGAAAAGUUGCAAUUGAUUAACACGUGUCUGUGUGAUCCACAAGCAACUCCUACAUUGAAUGGUAGCAGUUAUUUUAUUAUCUUUAUUGAUAUUUUAUCAGAAUAUGUUGGAUUUACUUUAUGAAGCAAAAAUUUGAUGUUGUUGAUGUGUUUUUUAAGUAUAAAAGAUGGGUUAAGAAUCAAAAUGGUUGUAAGAUUCAGGUUGUCAGAUUUGAUAAUAUGACAGGAUAUACCUAACAAAUGUUUAAUACUUUCUGUGAAGAGGUUGGGAUAGAGCAUCAACUCACUGCUCCUUACUCUCUACAAUAGAAUGGAGUUAGUGAGAGAAGAAACAAGACCAUUAUAGAGAUGACUAAGUGCAUGCUACAUGAGAAGUCCUUACCUAAGGAGUUUUGGGUUGAGGCAACUAACACAACUAUAUUUUUUAUAAAUAGAUUGCCUACAAUGGUAUUGGAGAAAAAAACAUCCUUUGAAGCUUGGUUUGAAAUGAAGGAAACUUUGAAGAAUUUAAAGGUAUUUGGUUAUUUAUGUUUCUAUCAUGUUCCACAGGUUAAAAGGACAAGUUGGGAGAAAAAUCUGAGCAUGGAAUAUUUGUUGGUUACAGUUUGAUGUCAAAGGCCUAUAGAAUCUAUCAACCUCGGACAAGAAAGAUGAUUGUAAGUAGAGAUUUUGAGUUCCUAAAAGAUAAGCAGUGGGAUUGGGCAAGUGAUAAAAGAAAAGAAAACAAGAGUUCUCUCUUAAUCCUAAUGAACUAAUGGAUGAUACACCAAUUAGAUGUAUAAGAUCAUUUAGUGAGGUUUAUCAAAUGUGUAGUGUAGCCAUUCUUAAACCUGUAGGGUAUGAGGAAGCCAAAAAUGAUCAGGAGUGGAUGGAGAAAAUUAAGGAAGAGUUGGGUAUAAUAGAGAAAAACCAAACAUGGGAACUAGUUGACAGGCUUGCAAGUAGAAAGGUGAUUGAAGUAAAGUGGGUUUUCAAUAUGAAACUUAAUCUUGAUGGCUUAGUGAAUAAGUAAAAGGCCAGAUUGGUGGUGAAGGGAUAUGCAUAGGUUUGUGGAGUUGAUUUUUUUGAAACAUUUUCUCAUGUGAUAAAAAUGGACGGAGUAUUGGUGGUGAAGGGAUAUGCAUAGGUUUAGGCUUUGUGAAGAGCCUGAGUGAAUCCACCUUUUAUAUAAAGAAGUCAGGUACAAAUCUAAUCAUUGUAUCUUUCUGUGUAGAUGACAUGUUGGUGACAAGAAGUGAUGCAACUCAAAUUGAAGCGUUCAAAAAGGAUAUGAUAGAGGUAUUUGAGAUGACUUAUCUAGGUGAGAUGCAUUACUUUCUGGGGAUGGAAUCAAGCAAGGUCAAAAUGAAGUGUUUCAUUACUAGAGGAAGUAUACGAAGGAUAUUCUGAAAAGGUUCCAUAUGGAGGAGUGCAAGAGUGUGAGCACUCCUAUAAAUUAGAGAGAAAAAACUUCAGAAGAUGGAUGGGGUAGAUCCUACAAAUGAGAAGGUGUAUAGGAGUCUUGUUAGGUGUCUUAUGUACCUCACAUCCACUAAGCCGGACAUCAUACACAUGGUAAGUGUUUUGUCCAGAUUUCUCCAUUGUGCAAGUGAAAUUCAUAUGAUUGCUACAAAAAGGAUAUUAAGAUAUUUGAAGGGGACACUUGCAUAUGGAAUCAAUUUUAGCAAAGUUGAGAACUUCAAUUUAUAGGGUUAUUCUGGUAGUGAAUAGGAUGGAUCACUAGAUGAUAUGAGAAGCAUUUCAGGCUAUUGGUUCAUGUUUAGGUCAGGUUUUUUCUCUUGGUGUUCAAGAAAGCAAUAGAUGGUGGUUCAAUCAAUUGCGGAAGUUGAAUUCAUUACAGCUACAACUACUAUGAAUCAAGCCUUAUGGCUGAAGAAGCUAAUGGAUUAUUUGUAUUUCAAGUAAGAGGGGAGUAUAGAAGUGUUUGUGGAUAAUCAAACUACUCUAACUAUUCCACUUAAUCCUGUAUUUCAUGGAAGAACAAAGUAUUUUAAAGUCAAGUAUUAUAUGAUGAGGGAAGUACAGAAGAUAGGUCAAGUAAAGCCGGUUUAUUGUAGAUUAGAGGACCAGGUGGCAUAUAUUUUUACUAAGUCUUUCCAUGUUAGUCUAUUUGAAUUUCUUAAGAACAAAUUUGGUGUCUGUAACACUUGAUUCACGAGGAGAAUGUUAGCGUUUCUAGGGCUGCAAAGUUUGUUAUAAAUAAGACUAAGUCCUAGGGAGAUUUGACUAAGUCCUAGAAGUUGUUAGCUUGUUAGUAGGAGUAGGAAAUUAAAUUUUGGCUUAGGUUGUUGCUUAGUUAAUCAAUUUAAUAGUCCCUUUCAUUCAUAUCUUUUUAUGCUUCUAUUAGUUCUCUGCUAAACCAACAGUAAAUGAAACAAGUUAUAGAAGCCUUGUUGGAUGCUUGCUUUACCUGACAACAUCUAGACCAAACAUUGUGCUUGUUGUUAGUCUUUUAUCCAGAUUCUUGUGUUGCUAUAAUGUGAUUCAUUUUAAGGCAAAAAAAGGGCCUUGAGAUAUAUUAAAGGAACUCUAGGCCAUAGAGUUGUAUUCAUGAAAACUGACAACUUGUAUCUAGUUGGAUACAUAGACAGUGACUGGGUUGGAUCAACUGAUGACAUGAAGAUCACAUCAGGGCAUUUUUUAUACUUGGUUUAGCAUUUUUUUUCGGAGCUCAAAAAAACAAGAUAAAAUGGCUCAGUCAAUAGCUGGAAUCAAAGGGAAGCAACAAAGAUCUAUUGUGAUGAUUAAUUUGCUGUUGCAAUUGCAAAUAAUCCAAUGUUUCAUGGAAAAUUAAAAUACUUCAAGAUUAAAUAUUAUUUUGUGAGAGAAGUUUAGCAAUCAAAGGAAGUGAAAUUGGUUCAUUGUAGUUCUAAAGACUAGCUUGCAGACAUUUUAACCAAGCCCUUUGGGACUAUCAGGUUUGGUAGGUUAAGAAACAACAUUGGUGUUUGCUUGAUAAGCUAUAAAAGUAACAUAUUUUAAUCCCAUUCUUAAUACGUUUUUUGGAUGAUUAAUUAUGCAAAUUAGUGAAUUUGAUGCUCCUAAUCCUUUAAAUUCUUGUUCCUAUACUUAGGAGAGCAUUUGAGAAUGAAAGGAGCAAAAAACAAGAAAAACAAUCUGACAAAUAGAGUUAUUUUCAAGAGCCACAUGGCUUGGGCAUUUCAACACGGGCUGAAAACAAACCCAUGUGAGCCACACUGGCUGGGCAGACGCCUGUGUGCUAGCCCGUGUUGAUUUCACACCUUGCUUCCUAAACGUGCAGAAAAACAUAAUUUUUAGGCUUUCUGGGCAUUCUAAACUCUAUAAAUACCAAUUAGAAUAAGAGAUAUGACAGUCAUUAAAGAAGAUCGAAGAAAACACUCGAAGAACACUCUUGGAGCCAACUCUGAAGUGGAUCUCCAUCAAGAGCGAAGACCUCCUUUUAAUUUCUUAUGAAGUUUUUAUGAGUUUCUUUGUUUCUUGUGGUUUUUCAGACUUUGAAAUGUUUUCAUUCAAGAUUAUGAACAAAUUCCCUAGAUACAUAGGGAAGAUAAUACCUAAGAAGAAUUAUAUUAUUUUAUUUCUGAUUUACAUGAUAAAUACUUGAUUCUUAUUCUCAAUUAUGUGGGCUUACUUAUUGUUUUAAUAUUUCUGGGAUAUUAGUUCAUGUUUAAUAUGUUUAAUUCAGUGGAAGAAAAGUCCUUGUUUGAGAGUAGAUCUACCAUAAUUUAGUGAAGUUGCAUACAAUACUAGAAAUAGGACGACAUAAAUCUAACGGAUUAUAGUCAAAUCCAAUAGGAGAAUCCAUAGAUUAAGUUAAUGCGACGAUAAGGGUUUUAAUUAGAAAAAGAUUUCAAUUAAUCAACCUAGAGUCAGUUGUUCUUACUCUCGAAAGAGAUAUUAACAUAAUUUAGGGAUUAUUACGGAUCAAGACACCAAGUGAAUAAAUCAUUUAAAUCAAAUUCAUAAUAAUAGAAGAAGUCUAGGUUGAUUCUUUCCUGGGUAUUGUCUCUCUCAUUGGUUAUCUUUCGAUUAUUUUCCUGAUUCAUUCUCUGUUGUGUUCUUAGUUUAAUUAGUUUAGUAAUUUUAGAUUAAAACUCAUCACUCUAAAUUGUCGGCUAAAUAAUAAGAAAACAAUAAUUGUUAAUACUUUUAGUCCUCAUGGAUACAAUAUCUUUACUCAUCGUAGCUUUAUUAUUGUUAGAUAGGUGCACUUGCAUUUGUCGCAUUUAUAGUUAGUUCAGUGAUCAUCAAGUUUUGACACCGUUGCUGGGGACUAAAAUAUUAGGAACACUUUAUUUUUAUUAAUUUAGUCAUUUUUAAAAUUUUUACAUUCUAAUUUUUACAUUCUAAUUCUUUUAUUCUAAUUUUUUUAUUUUCUUCUGGCAGGUUCUUUUGGUUUAUGACUAGAAGAAAUCCGUCGAGAUCAUUACUAUUUGAUAGCGAAAUAGAAAGUACUACUUGUAGAAACAAUAGAGAAGCAAGGCAAAGUCAACAAAUUAUAGUAGACGAACAGGAGGACAUUAUUACUACUAAGAAGAUGGACAAUAAUCAGAAUAUUCAGCUACCUCCUACAGCUCCUGCUCCUAUUCCUUGUAUUAUGUAUAAUUAUGCCAAACCCACUCUGACUGGGGCUGAAUCGAGUAUUGUACGACCCACCAUUGCUACAAAUAAUUUCAAACUGAAGCUGAACAUUGUAUAGAUGGUACAAUAGUUUGGUCAGUUUAGUGGUUUACAAGACGAAUAUCCAAAUACUCAUUUGGAAAAUUUCUUGGAAAUCUGUGAUACGUUCAAAUCUAAUGGCACCACUGAAGAUGUCAUUUGCUUACGGUUAUUUCCUUUCUUGUUAAGAAACAAAGCUAAACAGUGGUUGAACACUUUACCAUGAGGUUCCAUCACUACAUGGGCUCAAAUGACUUAGAAAUUUCUACUGAAGUACUUCCCACUAGCUAAGACAGCCGAGUUGAGGAAUGAUAUCUUUUCCGUUGAUCAGAUCGAUUUAGAAACCUUAUAUGAUGCAUGGGAUAGAUACAAUGAUUUAUUGAGAAGGUGCCCUCACCAUGGGUUACCUCUAGGGCUACAAGUCCAAACCUUCUACAAUGGUUUGAACCAUUCAACGAGGUAGUUGAUUGAUGCAGCAACCGGUGGAACUCUGAACAAUAAAACACCUGAAGUGACUUAUGAAUUUAUUGAGAAGAUGACACUAAAUAAUUAUCAGUGGUAAGUCAUGAGGAUAAAGCCGAUGAAGGCUGUCAGUGUUUUUAACUUAGAUGCAGUCACCAUGUUAUCAAACCAGACAUAUUUGCUUAAGAAGAAAAUUGAUGAUUUAUAUCUUUCUAUGUAUGUACAUCCGGUGAAUGUUUACCCUUCGGUUCUAGCACAGAGAAUGAACAAAUCAAUUUUAUGGGUAAUAAUUCUAGGCCUCAAAAUAACCCUUAUAAUAAUAACUGUAAUGCAAGUUGAAGGAACCAUCCCAAUUUCUCUUGGGGUGGUCAAGGAAAUCAGAGAGCACAAGCCCUUCUAGGCUUCUAACAACAACCUUACCAGCAAGAGAAAAAGCUGAACCUUGAGGAGAUGUUGACCAAGUUUAUCUCGGUGUUAGAAACACAUUUUCAAAACACUGAGGGAGCACUAAAAACUCAGCAAGCAUCGAUUCAAUAGCUCGAAAAUCAAAUCGAUCAACUUGCUAAAUUAAUCUCGAAAAGACCACAAGGUAGUUAAAUCUAAACAAGAAUCGAGGCAAGAAAUUAUGGUGAAUAAUGAUUAAAUAGAGCAAAAGCCUAUUGCCAAACAACCCUGAGUAUCACAUCCUAACGCGAUGAAGAGAGACCACACGAACGAACUAUUUAGUAAAAUUUUUAAACUCUUAAAAAAUACAUAUUAACGUACCAUUUGUUGAAGCUCUUUCGCAGAAGCGCAAUUAUGUUAAAAUUUUAAAGGAGCUGUUAGCAAACAAAUGGAAGUCAGACGAUUCAUCAACUGUGGAGCUCAAUACAGUUUGCUGGGCCAUAUUAUAAAAUAAACUACCCAAUAAACUGAAAGAUCCAGAGAGUUUUAAUAUUCCUUGUUUAAUUGGUAGUUUAAAUAUUGGUAAUGCUUUGGCUAAUUUAGGGGCUAGUAUUAAUGUCAUACCCUAUAAAAUGUUUAAACAACUAGGUCUUGGGAAACUCAAACAAACUAGGAUGAGUAUUCAAUUAGCAUAUAGAACUAUCAGAUAUCCUAGGGGUGUUAUUGAGGAUGUGCUUGUUAAAAUAGAUAAAUUCAUAUUCCCCGUUGAAUUUGUUGUGUUGGACAUUGAUGAGGGUAGUGAGGUACCUUUAAUUUUAGGUCGCCCCUUCUUAGCCACUACUAGGACUAUAAUAGAUGUUGGUAUGGGUAAAUUAGUGCUUCGUGUAGGUGACGAAACAAUUACUCUCUAAGCUCGUGAUUCUGUGAGAACAUCUAGUGAUCGAGAUGAUAUUAAAAAUUUUGUUAAUGUGAGUAACCAUGUGGCUUGACCUUCUUUGCAAGAAAUCCCUUGAGAAAACAUGAUGAAGCUAUGUUACAAUCAAGGUGGCAGAAAUAGAAAAACAUAUGAAGAGCGAAUGGUUUAAAUUGAUGACCUAGAUAAAUGGUGAACACAUGUCAAGGAGAAACUGAAAAAGCAUGAUGAAGAGCCGAAGUGACGCCAUGAUGAGCAAGUGAAUGGAACGAACCAAUUUAAGGUUGGAGACAAAUACUGCUAGACAAAAUGGAUCCACAAUUGCCCCUUUAGAGCUUGAUGCAGACAAAUUAAACCCAUAUACGGUACUGAACGUCUUCCCCUACGGUACAGUUGAGGUAACUCAUUCUUAAUUCAACAUGUUUAAGGUAAGCAAUACUCGAAUCAAACCUUAUUUUGGUAAUAAAAUUAUUUAUGAGGAAGAGGAGCUUCAACUCCACGAACCACUGUAACCAUAUGCAUAUGAGGUAAGUUGAGCUUAGACUCUAAAUAAGCACUUCUUGGGAGGCAACCUGAGUUUUUAAAUUUUGCUAAUCCUUUUAAUUGCAUGCUAAUUUGAAAUAUUAAAUUAAAAAAUGUGUGUUUUUUACCCACAUGGCCUGGACAAUCGGGCGUGUCCUAGGUCGUGUGUAAAAUGGGGGAAUCGAUAGUGAGUGACACGGCUUGGUGACCUGGCUAUUUAACCCACACGACCUGGACACAUGGGCAUGUCCUUGGUCGUGUGAGUCCUGGGACUUAAUUUUUUAAAAUUUCAAAGGUUAUACGGCAUGAGGCGGUCCACACAACUGAUUAAGUACUGGAGCUAAUUUUUUAAUUUUAAUUCAAGUCGAAGAGUUAAAUGGGCAAGAGACACAACUGAGGUACACAGACGUGGGAGAAGCGAAGAAAAUCAUACACGGCUUGGACAUAUGGGCGUGUGAAAACUGCGUUACCAUUUUUAAUUACACACGGGCUAAGAAGGAUCCACUUGGGCAUGUGACACGGCUGUGUGACCCAUACGAGCCCUUACACAACCGUGUCACCCAUUUAAACCCUAGCUCCUUUCUUUUGUUUUGUUUUGUUUUGUCUUCUUCCCCAACUAUCCCCAACCUAGUCACCUCCGAUCUCCUACCCUUUACCACUCCAACAUCAUCGACCUCCAUUCGUCCCUUUUCUUCCCCCUUUGAUCUCCAUUCUUCCAUCGCAACCCCACCUCUGUAGCUUUCCUCCUAACGGAAUCCCUCUCUCCUCACCCUUCCAGCCACCACCCUUUCGAGCCUCCUCCUUCCCUUGUACCCCGUCGCCCUAGCCUUCCCCAACUCUUUUUGCCCCAAUUGCACCCUUCCCAAACCGAACCCCCUCUUCUCUCCUUCCUAUCACCAGUACUUCCCCCUCAUCGGAACCCCGCCUCUCCUUUCCCCCUUUCUCCCUUCAAAUGACCCUCAUAGCCCCCACCCACACACACCAACCUCACCCCCAUGUGCAUGCUCACCCCUUCCCUUUCCCUUUCCCUUCCCCCUAGUCGGAGCCUCGAGUUCUCGUCACCGACCCACGCCUGUCCCACUGUGACCACUGCUGUCUUUUGUUGGUUUCCCCUUUUACCUUAUUUUUAUUUGUUUAUUUAUUAUUUAUUUAUUUAGUUUCUUUGAUUUGAUUUUGUGCUUACUUUUAAUUUAGUUUUGGACAUUAUUACUAUUUUUAUUUUUUUACUAUUGCCUUUAGUAUUAUUAUAUUUUUUAUUUUUAGUCUUAUGUUUAUUAUUCUUAUUUUAGCUAUCAUAUUGGUUUAGUGGCUUGAAUUAUAUUUUUUUAUUGAUUUCUUAUUUUAAUUCUUUAUUUUUUUUAUUUUUUUAUUACUUAGUCUUAUUACUGUUAUGAUUUUGAGUCAUUUUGGUAUUUCUAUAGUUAUGUUAAUAGUUUUUUUUUAUUGUUUUACUCUGUUAGAAUUUUAUUUUCUAUUAUUAUUAUUAUUAUUAUUUUAUUAGUAUUAUUAUUCUUCUUUGUACAUUAUUGUGUCGAUUUGUGUUUUUACAUUGAAUACUAGAAUUAAUAUUUGGUUAUUUUAUUUUAUUGCAGAUACACCGUGUUGAACACAAGCAACAAAUCUAAGGUCGUCGUCCCCGCUUCGAAAAAGUGGAAGGCCUCAGGCGCGACCUCCUCGGGCACUUCUAUCGAUGCACACCAUCGCUAUCUCCAAUUUUCAUAGGGCCUUUAGGAGGACUUAUAUCAGCUUCUUCGAUAGAGGCCACUAGGAUUAAGCCGUUGCAUUGAUUGGACCGCUUUAGAGCAGGUCCAGUUAGCUGAUAGCGUACGUGCCAUCAUUGCCACAACUCAUUAGGACUAGAUUUUCUCUAUCAUAAGGCCCACCUACUCUAUACCGCAGAGUUUAUGGGUGCCGAGGGGUUUCUCCGAUUAUACCGGCACAUCCACUACUCACUAUCUCUUUGCUGGGUAGACCUCACAGCAAGUACGGCGCAUUAUGACUUGAUUUGUUCAAAGGUGACUUCACUACCUCCGGCUUUGAGAUAUAUUCUUGCAUCUUGGCCCACACAUUGGCUGAUCGAAAAGAGAGCAUCGAAGUUGUCGGUACAAUCGACACAUGUUUUUAUAAAGCAUGGCCAUGGGGCGCAUUUUUUAUUUAGCUUAUUUCAUCGCCCUAGCGAUCCACCAUCAGACAGAGCGCGGUAGGAAGGGUUCUAUCUGCUUAGGCCGUUACGUGACUCGACUCGCACGUCACUUCAGUCUUAUCGACACACCAGAGCAGUCCUCCUCACUUACAUUAGUAGGACAGAUGUUCCCACAGGGAUUAUUGAGCAUGAGCCAUAUGUGGAUGAUCAAGCGACUUCGUGUAGUAGAUCCUCCUCAGUACCAAUUAUCUCAUUCUGACCCUCAGGAUGAGCCUAAAGACUUCAUUGAUGAUGUCUCCUUCUAUCAAGAGGAUUCACCACAUCCUUCAUCUUCGAGUCACCAUCCUGCUACAUUUGCUACCACCUUAGUGGACCUCUUCGAACGGUUCACUUGCUUCGAGCAGCACUGUUUUCAGAGGUUCGAUAGUAUUGACAUGACUUUAUGGUAUAUCUGUCAGCACCUCCAUAGAUCCUCUUUAGCACUGGCAACUCACGAUACCGAUGCCUCUAACGAUGAGGAUCAGUGAUUUUAUUUGUUUCUCUUUUUAUUUUUAUUUUUUUAUGUUUAUGUUUAAUUUUAUUUUUAGUUGUUUUAUUUUUAUUUUUUUAGACUUGUUUCUUUUAUUAUCUUUUGAACUAUAUUUUUAUUUUUAUGGUUGUUUCUAAUCGAGUUUUGUAGUCUUUUAGUCUUCUUCACUAUUUGUGUUUAUUUUCUUACUAGUUUGCUCAGAAUCAUGCACUACAUUUAGAUUUGCCUACAAUUUCGCUUUUCACCAUUUUGGCAAUUUCAUCAAAUAUUCAGGGUAGUUUUAGUUUUCUCCCUCUCUUAUGAUAUUCUACUUAUACUGUGAUUAUAUUUGUUUGUACAUUGAGGACAAUGUACAUCUUAAGUGUGGGGAGGAUAUUUAUUUAAUUAUUAGAAAAUCCCUGAAUUAUUUUUUCUAUUUAAGUAAUUGUCUCAUACUUCCAUUAGAAUGGAUUUUUGUCAAUUUGGGAUUUUUGUUGAUGUGUUUUGGAUUAAUUUGUAGAUAUUUGAGCAUUGGCUGAUUUAAAUUUUAAGACAUGAGAGAAUCAAGAAUGAUAAGUUAUCUUUUAGAAUUAAAAAUUUUAGGUUGUUUCCCUGAAUUAAGGUAUUAUCUUGAAGUUUUGAGAUUUGUAAGUUUGACAUCAAAACCAUAAUUUUUUUGUGAGAUUUUAAGCCUUUAGAGCAUACACUUUUCUUUCUCAUUUUAUUAUUGGUUAUGAGUGUGUCAAUUUGAUUUGUUAUUCUAGAACUUACUUCGAUUAUACAUGUCGAGACCACACUUUUGAUUUGAUAUACUGAAAUAAUAAAGGCACUUAGGUUUUAACCCAAUUAUCCUAUAAAAAAGCCUACCUUUUUAAUUAACCUUUAGUGAACCCCGUUGAGCCUAACACAUCGUUUCUUAAUUUACCCAUUAAUGUUAACCCAUAACUCUUUUUUUCGUUGAGAUUUUUUCCCGUUUUAUUGACUCUUUUUUUGUCGAGAUUUGAUUUAGUUAGUUGCCUAGCUAUGCUCUUCUAGUUGAUUUACUGAAUUAUUUCUCAUUGUUUUUGUAAAAAAGAUAUAAGAAAAAGAUUGAAAAUAAAAAAAAUAUUGAUUAUUAAUUAGUUUUAUUUGUUGAUUGAGCUUGAAUAGUUAAAUUCAUAUUUUGAAAAGAAGUUCAUUUUUGCUCUUGAAUAGUUCUUAAUUUAUGCACUUGUUUUUAAUUCAGCAUUUGUUUCUUUUUUCUAGUUUAGUAAUUUAUCAAUUCGAUCUCGAUUAUAACCAACUAUUCUAGCCUUUCUCCAUACCCUUAACCUAAGCCCCAUUACAACCUCUUAAAGACAUUUUGAUUUGUGCAUCUUAUUAUUUUAUAGUGGUGGUGAUUUGAUUUUCAUGCAAGCCUAUGGUAAUGACAUUUCUUGUUCGACUAUUGAGUGCAUAGUAUUAUGCCUUAAACACUUUGAGGGCUUGAGUGAAUCUUUAAUGAGGAUGUCAAUUCUUGUUGAUUUUGAAUUAAAGGUAACUACUUAAAUAAGGGGAGCCACUUAUGUUUUCGUGCUUCAAAAUGUUAGCUUGGAUUGUUUGAGACUUUAAUGCCCUUUUAGUUGAAUUGCCAAUACAUGAUUAUUUGUGAAUUAUUUGGAGAUAUUAUUGAUGGGAAUUACAAGUUGAGAAAUAUUAACUUAAAUGUGAGUUGAGGAUUUUACUUGAGGACAAGCAAACGCUUAAGUGUGAGGAUAUUUGAUAAGCUAUAAAAGUAACAUAUUUUAAUCUCAUUCUUAAUGUGUUUUUGGAUGAUUAAUUAUGCAAAUUAGUGAAAUUGAUGCUCCUAAUCCUUUAAAUUCAUGUUUUUAUACUUAGGAGAGCAUUUGGGAACAAAAUAAGGGAAAAACGAGCAAAAAUCAGACAAAUAGAGUUGUUUUCAGGAGCUACACGGCCUGGGCAUUUCUACACGAGCUGGACAUAUGCCCCUGUGAGCCACACGAGCUGGACACACUCCCAUGUGCUAGCCUAUGUCGAUUUCACACCUUGCUUCCCAAACGCGCGGAAAAACACAAUUUUUAGGCUUUCUGAGCAUUCUAAAGUCUAUAAAUACCAAUUAGAAGAAGAGAUAUGGGAUUUAUCAGAGAAGAUCAUAGAAAACACUCGAAGAACACCAUCGAAGCCAACUCUGAAGCGGAUCUCCAUCAAGAUCGAAGACCUUCAUUUAAUUUCUUUUGAAGUUUAUAUGAGUUUCUUUAUUUCUUGUGGUUUUUCAGACUUUAAGAUGUUUUCAUUUAGGAUUAUGAACUAAUUCCCUAGAUACCUAGGGAAGAUGAAACCUAAGACGAAUUCUAUUAUUUGAUUUCUGAUUUACAUUAUAAAUACCUAAUUCUUGUUUUCAAUUAUGUGGGCUUAUUUCUUGUUUUAAUAUUUUCGAGAUAUUAAUUCAUGUUUAAUGUGCUUCAUUCAGUGGAAGAAAAGUCCCUUUUUAAUAGUAGAUCUAGCAUAAUUGAGUGGAGUUGCAUGCAAUCCUAGAAAUAGGACGACAUAAAUCUACUUGAUUAGAGUCAAAUCUAAUAGGGGAAUCCAUAAAUCAAGUUAAUGCGACGAUAGGGGUUUUAAUUAGAAUGAGAUUUCAAUUAAUCAACCUAGAGUCAGUUGUUCUUACUCUCGAAGAGAUAUUAACAUAAUUUAGGGAUUUCUACGAAUCAAGACACCAAGUGAAUAAAUCGUUUAAACCAAAUUCAUAAUAAUAGAAGUCUAGGUGGAUUCUUUUCUGGGUGUUGUCUCUCUCAUUGGUUAUCUUUCGAUUAUUUUCCUGAUUCGUUCUCUGUUGUGUUCUUAGUUUAAUUAGUUUAGUAAUUUUAGAUUAAAACUCAUCACUCCAAAUUAUCGGCUAAAUAAUAAGAAAAUGGUAAUUACUAAUACUUUUAGUCCUUGUGGAUAUGAUAUAUUUACUCACCAUAGUUUUACUAUUGUUCAAUAGGUGCGCUUGCCUUUGCCAUAUUUAUAGUUAGUUAAGUGAUCAUCGCUACUACAUAGAAGCCAAGGAGGAGUGUUACAAGUUAGCCAACCAUGCAGCAGCUGAAACUAUGAUGCAUGCUGAUUUUGUUUGAAGCAUGUUGGUUCAGCUUUAGUUUCCUUCUAGUCUCAUUUGAUUUGAUCUUAACCAAUGUAUUUGUUAUGCACUUAUUUGAUUAGGUGUUGAUUGACUUUUUAUGUUUAAGUGCAAGCAAUGUUUUGUCAGUUACAAUAUAGUUAGUGGGAGUAGUUGUGUAUUUGGUAAUGUUUAGUGACUUAAAUUGUAAUGUUUUUCCUGUUGAAUGAAUAAGCAGAUCAUUUUCAUGCUUCUUGCUGCUCGGUUUUUCAUAUGUUCUUUGUUUUUAGUUCUUUGAAAAACACCAACACUAUUUUAAAUAGUAGUAAAGUAAUACUAAUAUUUGCUACACCCUCAAACUUCAACCACGAUCCUUAAUUCUACUCACGGUAACUGCUCACUUUGGUUUUAUCUUCUUACACAAAUGUGUGCUUGCUUUUGUUGAUAAUCUAUAGCCAAAUUUUCUUUCGUUAAUGUUUUGUUUUUGUUUCAUAGUUUCUUGGGUUAUGCUAUGCUCUCAUCGCAAAACAUUAUUUUUUCUUUUGCAUUUAAUUUUCUCCUUUGGUUUUUUUCAGCGACGUUUCUUCUAUAUCUCUCUUGCGCCAUUUGCUAAUUGUCUAGUUUGGUUUUUAUCUUCCUAUGUUAUCGCAUGUUUGGUUUUGUAAACAAUUUUUGUUGUUUGCUUUCUUUGUCCUUUUUUUUGGGUUUUGCACACUUUUCUUUUGCUUUACUUUGGUUGUAUAUUGAAUCAAUUUUAUAUUUUUUUAUUCUAAAUGCUAACUUCUUCUUCUUUAUCUUGAUUUGAAUGAAGUGAUCGUUAAAAUUCUUACUAGAUAUCCAUUUAAUAUAAAUUCAAAUGGCGUGACCUAUCCCUCAUCUUCAAUAUUAUAUAAAAAAAUUGUCAGCUUCUUUGUUCGUAAGUAAAAAUAAAGUUUCAACUACUUUUAUUAUUUUUUUACAAAUCAUUAAUUAAUUAAUUUUGACAUCUAACUAUAUUUUAUUUUAUUUAUAACUAAAAAUCAAAAACACUAAACAAAUAAAAAAAAUAGAAAUUGCAUUAUAUUGUAUGUCAUGUUAAGCCAUAUCCUUCGAUUAUUGAAAAAUCUUAUUUUGAGUGACUUAUUUUUUUAAUACAAAAAUGGAAGAUAAGAGUUAAUCACUUACAUUUGUAAAUAUAGAUAGACUUGAUAAAAUCUUAUGUCUAUAUUUCGAGUAAAAUUAGAUUUAAACAAACAUAAAAUAUAUGAAUAUCAUACAUAAAUUCGACCCGAAAUUCACUCGACCGUACACGUAAAUACUUUUAUAACAAAUAGAACAACAAUAAGUUAACUUGCACAACACAACUAAUAAGGCAGUUCAAUCUUAACUUACCCAUGAUAAUCACAGUACAAAGAAAAACUAUUUCAGCAUAACCGCAAGCGCUCUUAAGUUGCAGCCUCACAUUGCAUAUCAAAGUAAAAUUUUCCAACCUACUUUCCAAUGCAUAAGAAAACUUAUAGUUAGAAGUUUUGUUAUAUAUAUAAAUAUUGGGAGGGAUUCAUUACACCGACGUAAAAUUAAAGUGAUUUUAUUCUAUAUAAAAUAAAUUAUGUUGCUUGUUGAAGUGCUAGCCGAAGUAAUCACCACUUUUGUUAGUAUUUUGUCAGUUAAUUCAAAAACACUUACCUCAACAAUAAAAUUUCUAUCAAUGGUGAAUAAGUCUUCCACAUUUAGAGCACAUAUCUAACUUCGCAAAGUAAAAUUUAAUUCAUCUUAAUUUACACAAAUCUCAUCAAAUCAAUUAUCCUUAAUAAAAUAUAGGAUACAAAAUAUCAUAAAAUUAGCUCAUACAUAAAAUUAAUUAUAAUUAGAUUGUUUGAUAAAUAAAAAUUUUAAAUUACGAAAAUAUUUAUUUUACAUUUUAUCAUUAACUUUUAAAGAUUUAAUCCAUCUUAAUUUUAAACGUUAUGAUAUUAAAAUAAAUUUGAAGUAUUUGAAAAUAUUUUCCACUAAGUAAUAAGCAAUUUUUAUUUACUUAUUUUUUUAUAAAAAAAAUACUAUUGACUUGUUUUUAUUAUCAAAUUUAUGUAAAAUAUUAAAAAUAUUAAUUUUCAGUUUUUCAAUUGUUUAUCGAUCAAGAUUUUGGUUAGUAAAUUACUAAUUGUACUUUUUUUAGAAAAAAUUAUACACUAAGGAAAUUAUAAAAUAUAAAAGAAUUUAAAAAUUUAAGAUGAUAAAAAUUGAAGGCAAAGUCUAAAAGCGUUUGUUCUUGUCUAUGGUACUGAGAUUUUUAGUGGAAGUCUUCUGUCAAAGAUGAAGAAGACAUAAUGAGUAUUAUAAAGGUUUUGAAGGGAUAGAGAUUUUCAGAGAAAAUGGAGAAUUAUGAAAGGAAACGAUUAGAUUAAUUUGUAGGAAUGUUGAUAAAUGGUGAUGUUUUUAGUGUUUGGCUUUUAGUAUUUGUUUGUUGGAGAAGGCAAAGGUCAAAUAUGGGGGAUGGGCGAAUAAGGACAUUCGGAAAACGCUGUUCAGGCGUUGGCUGUGGAUUAAUAAUGUGUUCCACAACUUGGUCGAAACUCACCACCAUUCUUUACGCGCUAAAUAAUGAAGCCAGUGGAAGAAGUCAUGAAAGUCGAAGGCAAUUGUAAAUUACGUAAACUAUAUUAAAAGUAUAAUAAUAAAACAAACAAAAAUUACAUGUUUUGUUUCUUUUGAAUUGCUUGGUGUUUAAGUAAUAGUUGCAGGAGCUGUAGUAUUUUUUUUAUUUUCUUUUUACUAAAAAAAUAAAAACUAAUUCGGAGAAACUUGGCUUCCAUUGGGGGCAUAUAGGUAAGCUUGUUAGUCAUUUCAAACGGCAUAAACAUUACUUUAUACAUUUAAAUCAAGUGAGUGCAUUGAGUUGAGUUGAGAUGAUGGAGCCGGUAUGGCUAAGGCUAAUCUUGAUAACUGUGUUGGUUUUAGAAGGUGCCCUGUGUUGCGCUCUUGCAACUCCAAUAUGUAUUAACAGAUAUAGAGUAUUCACGCGAGGGUUCAGAUUGCUGUCAGUGGGAAUGGGGGAAAUCCAAAUACCAAUUGGAAAUUAUAUGCCAAAUUGUCUUAAUUGAUUAAUUAAUGAAAUGAUGUGAAGCUGAAAUUUCAAAGGGGAAACUUCUCAAACCCUUCCCUAAGGAACUAACAUUGAAUUAACUGCGUAGGAGUUUGGAAUGGUUGGGCCGUUUGGAUGAAUUUUCCGUAAACUUCAUAUAAUUGAGAUUAGAUAGCUACCCUUGCUUCACACGUUUAUCCAUCGGCUUCUCAUCUCACAUUUUUUUAAAUUUAUUUUAUUUUUGAAAAUGGAUUAAAGAAAAUCGUGGGAAGAGGGUAGAAUUAUUGUGUUUGAAUUUCAUGUUUGUUUGUUUUUCUUUUUUAUUGGUUUUAUAUGGUAGUUGUGUUUAAAAUGUAAUAUACUUAUAUAAAUUUUGUCAUAUAAUUAUUUUAUAUAUUUACGUCAUAUUUGUGUUUAUAUUGCUAAUUACAUCUUAAUUUUGAUGGAUGGUUGGGUAAUAUUAUAUGAUAUAAUUUUAUUUUUAACGUUUUUUUAAUAAGAUUUUACAGUUCUUGAUUAAGUGCUCGAUUUAUUUGUAAGGCCGCUGAUAAACAGCUUUCUUGUCCUACUAUUGUUAAUUAUAUUUCCUACCUUCCAAGAAAAAAAUUUUAUAUAGUUUUGGGCUUUAGGUUGGUGUUUAUAGUCCUAACUCCUAAGUCAAUUGUAGACAUUAAAUUAGUUUAAGUAAUAAAGAAAGACUUUACUUUUAGAAAAAAAAGAAAGAAAAAAAAAAGCAGGAAAAGUUGUGGGGAAACUAGAGCGUCUACCUAUAUAAUGGAGUUAAGGGAUCACUUCCAAAAGCAUAAGGAGUACUAAUCGAAUUGAGAGCAUAAGGAGUUCUCAUGGUGAAUAUGUUUACAACUAUUCAAUUACGUUUCCAGGUAUUUUUGAAAUAUUAGAUAUUGUUAGGUCAUGACUGAAAUGAAGCCAAUUUUAUGCUGGCAAUGGAAGACAAUUGAGUUUGAUCAAUUUAGAAGAAAGUGAUUUGAGUAGUAAUAUGUUCAACAAUAGCAUACUAGCAGAGCUUACUGGGUUUUCAAAUCUAAAGUCAUUAGAUAUAAGAUGGAAUGAACUGGACGGAUCAAUAGAUGCUAAAGGUAAAAAAAAAUAUUUACACUUAUAUAAAUUUAGGGUUAGUAUUUGGUAAAUUGGUAGCGUACUUUUUUUUUAUUCCACAAACAACCUUAAAAAAUUGACAUAUGUAUAUAUAUUUUUUAAUAUUUAAUAUUUUAAUAUUUUACUAUACCCUUAUACAACACUUGUUAUCUCCUUAACACUAUUUAUGGAGCCUCAAAAUUUUAUCGGGAAUAUACCAAAUAUUUUCCUAACUUUAAAGGAAUUAAUUUAGGCUUAAAUAUAAUCUCAUGUUGUAUUAUUUGAUUGCAAGUGAAAGACUAAUUUUAUUUGCGAUUUUCCUAGAAUUUUGUGGUUUGAACAAUUUAGAGACUCUAUACCUGAGUGGCAAUGAGGUGAACCAAAUUUUUACUUCUAAAGGUGUGUAUUAAAAUGAAUAUGUAGGAACAGUUUGUUUCUCUUUUUGAAUGAAUAAAAUUUAAUUGUCCAAAAAAAAAAUUAUACAUAUAUAUUUUUCAAAAGACUUCCAUAUGAAACUAACUACAUUUUUGUUGCAGGAAAUAUAUUAUGUUUGAGGAAGUUAAAGACCCUCUACUUAUUAUUUAAACAAAACUGUGGCUAUUCAAGGUGAGUUAUGGUUAUUGUCUGUAAUACUUAUUGCAAAAAAAAACAAACAUCAAUUUUAUACAAAUUAAUUCUAAUUUCAUUUUAUUUUAAUAUUCACAGAGUUGCAGGUAUUGAGUAAUGUGGAGAAUCUGUUCUUGGAUUUUACUCCAUUGGACAUCAGCUUUUUGCAAAGCAUUGGCAUCUUGACUUCUCUGAAAAUCUUGUCUUUGUCUUACUGUGAUCUAAAUGACGCUUUACCUGCUCAUCAAGGUAAUACAAUUACUACAUUGUCUAAACUUAAACCUUUAAUUUUUUUUCUAAUUAAUAUUUUUCAAUAUAACAAUACAUACGAUAAGUCACACAUGGACGUGUUAAGCAUGGACUGCAAUGCAACAGGUAACCAUAAAGCUCACCAGCAGCAGCAGACCAGCUGUAGAAUCGAAUAGGAGCUGCUUGUUUCAUUUUGUUUAUUUUGAUUUUUUUGUAAAGCAAUCAAGUUGACAUGUAACUUGAUUUCUAGAGUUAGUAAGAUAUGAAAAUGAUGGAUGUAAUAGCUGAUUUAUUUUCAGCUUUUGACUUGUAUUAUUUUAGUUGGCAACUUGCCAAAUUUGGUGGGAGUAGUUACGUUUAGGUAACUGACUUGCUUUUGUAACUCUUAUAUAUUUUGAAAUGGAAAUGAAAGCAGUAUGGGACUUUCUCAUUCGGUUAUUUUUUUUUUAGCCCAUCAAUUGUUUAGCCCAUGGGAUUAUGCAACUUGGUCAAUCUUGAAUUCCUGGAUCUGUCUCUAAAUCAUCCGUCUGGGACUAUUCCAUCUUGCUCUAAUCUACAAAAGGUGUUGCAUGUACAUUUGGCCAAAAAUGAACUUGGUGGAACACUGUCAGAUGCCCUUUUUAUAAACUCUUCAUUGGUAACAUUGGAUUUCAGUGAAAAUAACUUAACAGGAAGAAUUCCAGAUUGGAUUAGCACGCUACCUGCUUUGAGCGUUUUUCUUCUAAAAGCAAAUCAAUUAGAAGGUGAAUUUCCUGUACAUUUAUGCAGACUGCAAUCAUUAAGCAUCUUGGACCUGUCACAGAAUAAACUUUCUGGUCAUAUACCUUCCUGUUUAAGUAAUUUAACUCUCAAGCCAAGGAGUGAAAAGUCUUACACCGGAUCUACUGAUUUUGGGC